AGCAGAGGAGAGGGAAGCCAUGGAUGUGCGCGAGGGGACGCGGAGGGUGAGGGGUGCUUCCAUCCCUGCUCCGCUCGAGGGGGAUGGCGAGAGCCUGCUGCUGAUGUAUCUGCCUCAGCCGGCGCUGGCGUCGGCGUCGGCGGCGAUGAUGCCCAUGCCGCCGCCCUCGUUGGAGGACUUUGAAGCUUUAGGAGAAGAUGGCAAGCCGUUGUGGCCGUCCAAGGAAUUCCUCCGGCAGAUGUUGGUGGCCAUCGCCCCGACCGGAUCGAUUCUGCCCACUGUCUAAUUAAUUACUACGAGUAGCUUUCUUUCUACUCGAUCGUCUGCCCAUAUGUAAUAAAUUGUGACCAUCGAUGAGGGCGACUACUUUAUUUUUAUGCACUGUCUUGUUUUAAUCGAUGAUGGACUGCCUACUGUCUAAUAAAUUGUCGUUUGUUUUGCAAAGCAAAUGUAACGCGUUCAGUAUGAUCCUAAUUCCUUGCUUGUUCCUCUGCAUAUUGAUUGCUCUUGGUGCAGAUGAACAUUUCACCUACACCUGCUGGGAACUUGAUUAUAACCGGCUGAGCCGGCAACUUGCGCGUCUUAUUUGAUUGCUUUGCUGCUAUGCAUAUCCUCAUAUCUAUCUACCUGCACAUCAGUGGGUCAGUGCUUCCAAGGACCCGAUGAAAAAGGGGAUUGAUCAGGAUUGGGUGGCAAGCAGAAAAAAGAUUAUAUGAGACCAGGUCUCACGGCUAGCAGGUGAGACCCACUCUGAUGGAUGACACAUGACAUUCACAAAGCAUCUAAUCUCUCCCACCCCCUCCCUCGAUUUUCAGAUAGGAAUGGGCUAGAUGCUUUAUGAUUUGUGAAUGUCACGUGUCAUCCAUCAGGGUGGGUCUUAACUGCUAGCCCGUGAAAUCUGGUCUUAUAAAAUUCUUUUCCGUGGCAAACACCACUUCGUUCCAACCAGCGCAUUUUUAUCAGGUUGAUGUUUCCCGUGCCUGCUUUUAUAGUCUCAAUAGACUAUGAUGUGCACUUAUAUUGGAGGUGUAUUUAUUUAUUUAUCUAUCUGAUAUCCGGGGCGAGGCACUCUGUUGGCCAUGCACUGGUGGUAGUCCUGUCGAAUGUGUUUUUGUUACAAACAUUAACACAUGGACACCACCGAAAAUACCUACGCAAUGUCAUAUAAGACAACAAGAUAAUUUCCCCGCACGUUGCAGCGGGAAUAUAAAGAUUAAUUGCAGAUGAGAUAUAUAUGAAGGAAAAUAUCUAAAUAAAAAGAUACUCCCUCCGUCCCAUAAUGUAAGACGGUUUUUGACUCUAGUGUAGUGUCAAAAAACGUCUUACAUUAUGAGACGGAGGGAGUACUAUUUUUUAUAUAGAAAUAUUCGGUACUUGCAUUGUGGGAAUAAAGAGUAUGCAUGUACACCGUACAAUAGCAUCUGCAACAAUUUAAUCAGGGCAUUUCACAACCUUCAAAGAGUAGACAAAUUCAAUAAUGACAUGUUGUACUACAUAUGUUUGUAAAGGACUUCUUGAGAGAUGCAACAAUGAAGAAAAAAUUAAAAUCUAGUAUCAUACGGAAAAUAUAUAACAACGCUCCAGCAGUCGAGAUACAUGUAUCAUAUUUCCCCGGAAUUUCAAUGUCACUUGAAAAAGUACCAUCACCUAGAAGAACAUGAAAGUACUGCGGGCGUUUACCUGUACAUCAAGGGAAGGAUUGUUUCAUGACAUCCACAUGGAUAAAUAAUUUUUAUGUAGCUAAUACUUAACAAAGGAUCAAAUUUGAGUUCAUUCAAAUUGAUAUAUGUGGACUGCUAGAAACAAAAAAGGAAAAAUUAUAAAUAGAUCUACACAUAUGUACAAAACUGAUAAAUGUCAAAGAAAAUAGCGCAGAUAAAAUAUUGAUGUUAUGGAAGAUCUGAAGGUACAUACCUAGAAUAUUGGGAGUUUACUAAAAACAGGGCACUGUGCCACCAAGCUUACGCAUGAGGUGAGCAUCAAUAACCCUAAGAAACAAAGGAAAUGAAACCCACAGAGAAGAAAUACUCAGAUAUUGCACUGGCAACAAAGUAUGUGUUACUACUACAUCCAAAUUUGGAGGUUUGUCAUUGUAUAAACAGUUGGUGAGCGUGCCGGAAAGCUCGAGUGAUAUUGCUGAAAAGGCAAGAGAAAGAACAUCCAUCUAUUAGAAAUGAAUCAUAUAUACUUUGUUGGACAAAAUGAUAAAAUCAUAACCAGGAAUCAGAACAUUUGAAUGUGAAAUAGCAAUUCACUAUAAUAUUGAACGAAAUUGAGAUUGAAAAAAUUGCUACCUCGAGUCCUUGACUCAACUGAGAGAUCUAUGGGAACCAAAAAGUUUCAUGCAAUUUAUCCAUGUUUAGAUAAUACAAAUAUGCAGACUAAUUAAGUUGUGUAGUAGCCAACUCAUAUAUAAACGAAGGUAGAAACUGGAGUGAUCAAACAUAUCUGGAUUGAUGUGCAAAGGCUAUGGUGACUUACAUGCUUGUAUUCAAUCAUCAUGAAGUGGGUUGGUGUGAUACGUAUCCAUGUUCGUCCUAUUCGUCAUAAGAACAGAUCCAGGGGGAAUAACAAAUUAACUUGUACUCCGAACUAAAACCACGACGAGUAAUUUGGAACGGAGGGAGUACAUCCUAUAGUUUAAUCACGUGCUCCUUGACCUCCAGAAAAUGUAGAUCGAGGAUGAUACCGCCAGCCACCAGUGGGGAGUAAGAAUGAGCAGUUGCUGCUGAUUUGGGAUUCCUACUUGGCCGGUGUAGAAGGGAGGAAGAGGUUUGGUGGAAUAGUUCGUUGUAUUGCUUUAGCCUCGUGGGCAUAUAUAUAGGAGUAUAAUGACCAACUUGGAGUACAAGACAAGGCAGGAACAAAUCCUAGUCUAUUCUAUACUUCCUAAUAUACAUUAUACUCAACAUCCCCCCGCAGUCACAACGGUAGCGACACAGACGGUGAGACUAGAGAAGAAUCCAAAGGGAAGCCGACGGACAGCCCCCCNNNNNNNNNNNNNNNNNNNNNNNNNNNNNNNNNNNNNNNNNNNNNNNNNNNNNNNNNNNNNNNNNNNNNNNNNNNNNNNNNNNNNNNNNNNNNNNNNNNNNNNNNNNNNNNNNNNNNNNNNNNNNNNNNNNNNNNNNNNNNNNNNNNNNNNNNNNNNNNNNNNNNNNNNNNNNNNNNNNNNNNNNNNNNNNNNNNNNNNNNNNNNNNNNNNNNNNNNNNNNNNNNNNNNNNNNNNNNNNNNNNNNNNNNNNNNNNNNNNNNNNNNNNNNNNNNNNNNNNNNNNNNNNNNNNNNNNNNNNNNNNNNNNNNNNNNNNNNNNNNNNNNNNNNNNNNNNNNNNNNNNNNNNNNNNNNNNNNNNNNNNNNNNNNNNNNNNNNNNNNNNNNGUAACGGUCAAUGCAUCGCGGAGUCGUGGCUCGAGUGAAAACUGACAAGGUUGCUCAAGCAAGGCGGUAGCCCUUUGUGCCAAUUUGUCGAUGUAGCCGAGAGCGGAGGGUGGUGUAGCUGUGGUCGAGGUAGCCGUGCGAAGAAUGCCGUGGUUGAUGUCGAGUCGGGGAGCCGGUGUCGAGGAUGUCGUCGUGGAGCCGCGGGCACAAGGAGGCGCCGAGUUAGCAUGGGCGCAAUGGUGUCAAAGUAGUGGUGCGCCGAGAAGAAGACAUUGUUACACGUCGCGGCGGGUUUGCCAAGCCCGGGGAUACAUCAUGAACGCAGGCACGCACCGGUGUUGCCAGCACCGGGUGAUACGUCCAUUUUGCAUCAUGCUUUGAUAUUGAUAUUUAUUGCAUUAUGGGCUGUUAUUACACGUUAUGUCACAAUACUUAUGCCUUUUCUCUCUUAUUUUACAAGGUUUACAUGAAGAGGGAGAAUGCCGGCAGCUGGAAUUCUGGGCUGGAAAAGGAGCAAAUAUUAGAGACCUAUUCUGCACAACUCCAAAAGUCGUAAAACUCCACGGAAGUUAUUUUUGGAAAAUAUUAAAAAUACUGGAUGAAGAAAAUAUCAGAGGGGGCCCACACCCUGGCCACGAGGGUCGGGGGUGCGCCCUACCCCCCUGGGCGCGCCCCCUUGCCUCGUGGGCCCCCUGGUGGCCCUCGAGUGCCCAUCUUCUGCUAUAUGAAGUUUUUUGUCCAAGAAAAAAUCAGAAGCAAGUUUACGGGGCGAGACUCCACCGCCACGAGGCGGAACCUUGGCGAAACCAAUCUAGGGCUCCGGCGGAGCUGUUCUGCCAGGGAAACUUCCCGCUGGGAGGGGGAAAUCAUCACCAUUGUCAUCACCAACAAUCCUCCCAUCGGGAGAGGGUCAAUCUUCAUCAACAUCUUCACCAGCACCAUCUCCUCUCAAAACCUAGUUCAUCUCUUGUAUCCAAUUCUUGUCUCUAAGUCUGAGAUAGGUACCUGUAGGAUGCUAGUAGUGUUGAUUACUCCUUGUAGUUGAUGCUAGUUGGUUUACUUGGUGGACGAUUAUAUGUUCAGAUCCUAUAUGCAUAUUAAUACCCCUCUGAUUAUGAACAUUAAUAUGCUUUGUGAGUAGUUACGUUUGUUCUUGAGGACAUGGGAGAAGUCUUGCUAUUAGUAGUCAUGUGAAUUUGGUAUUCGUUCGAUAUUUUGAUGAGAUGUAUGUUGUCUCUCCUCUAGUGGUGUCAUGUGAACGUCGACUACAUGACACUUCACCAUUAUUUGGGCCUAGAGGAAGGCAUUGGGAAGUAAUAAGUAGAUGAUGGGUUGCUAGAGUGACAGAAGCUUAAACCCUAGUUUAUGCGUUGCUUCGUAAGGGGCUGAUUUGGAUCCAUAUGUUUCAUGAUGUGGUUAGGUUUACCUUAAUACUUCUUUUGUAGUUGCAGAUGCUUGCAUUAGGAGUUAAUCAUAAGUGGGAUGCUUGUCCAAGUUGUUGGGGAUCGUAGCAGAAAUUUAAAAUUUUCUACGCAUUACCAAGAUCAAUCUAUGGAGUCAUCUAGCAACGAGAGAGAGAGGAGUGCAUCUACAUACCCUUGUAGAUCACGAGCGGAAGCGUUCAAGAGAACGUGGUUGAUGGAGUCGUACUCGUCGUGAUCCAAAUCACUGAUGAUCCUAGCGCUGAACGGACGGCACCUCCGCGUUCAACACACGUAUGGAGCGAAGACGUCUCCUCCUUCUUGAUCCAGCAAGGGGGAAGGAGAAGUUGAUGGAGAUCCAGCAGCACGACGACGUGGUGGUGGAAGCAUCGGAAUUCCAGCAGGGCUUCGCCAAGCGCUACUGGAGUAGGAAGAGGUGUCACGGGAGGGAGAGGGAGGCGCCAGGGCUUAGGGUGCGGCUGCCCUCCCUCCCCUCCACUAUAUAUAGGGGCUAGGGGGCGCAUGCCCCCUUGGAGAUCCCAUCUAGAGGGGGGGGCUCCCAAGGGUUUAGGGUGCGGCUGCCCUCCCUCCCCUCCACUAUAUAUUGGGGCAAGGGGGGGCGCAUGCGCCCCCCUGCGCUACUCUCCGGUACAAGAGGCAAUACUUCAUCAAGUUCUACUUUCCUCCCACUUACUUCUUUCGAGAGAAACUCUUUCUCUAGAAAGGAUCCAUUCUUGGCAACAAAGAUCUUGCCUUCGGAUCUGAGGUAGAAGGUAUACCCAAUAGUUUCCUUAGGGUAUCCUAUGAAGACACAUUUUUCAGAUUUGGGUUCGAGCUUUUCAGGUUGAAGUUUCUUGACAUAAGCAUCGCAUCCCCAAACUUUCAGAAACGACAACUUAGGUUUCUUCCCAAACCACAAUUCAUACGGUGUCGUCUCAACGGAUUUCAAUGGAGCCCUAUUUAAAGUGAAUGCGGCAGUCUCUAUAGCAUAACCCCAAAAUGAUAGCGGUAGAUCGGUAAGAGACAUCAUAGAUCGCACCAUAUCCAAUAGAGUGCGAUUACGACGUUCAGACACACCAUUACACUGAGGUGUUCUAGGCGGUGUGAGUUUUGAAACAAUUCCACAUUUCCUUAAGUGCGUGCCAAAUGCGUGACUCAAAUAUUCUCCCCCACGAUCUGAUCGUAAGAACUUGAUUUUCCUGUCACGUUGAUUCUCAACCUCACUCUGAAAUUCCUUGAACUUUUCAAAGGUCUCAGACUUGUGUUUCAUUAAGUAGACAUACCCAUAUCUACUUAAGUCAUCAAUGAGGGUGAGAACAUAACGAUAACCACCGCGAGCCUCAACGCUCAUUGGACCGCACACAUUAGUAUGUAUGGUUUCCAAUAAGUUGGUUGCUCGCUCCAUUGUUUCGGAGAAUGGAGUCUUGGUCAUUUUGCCCAUGAGGUAUGGUUCGCACGUGUCAAAUGAUUCAUAAUCAAGAGACUCCAAAAGUCCAUCUGCAUGGAGUUUCUUCAUGCGUUUGACACCAAUGUGACCAAGGUGGCAGUGCCAUAAGUAUGUGGGACUAUCAUUAUCAACCUUACAUCUUUUGGCAUUCACACUGUGAAUAUGUGUACUAACUAACAAUUAUUGAGGUUUAAAACUAAUCAUGUAGGUAAAUGUAGAGGUAGCGUGCCGACGGCGAUCACAUCGACCUUGGAACCAUUCCCGACGCGCAUCGUCACCUCGUCCUUCGCCAGUCUCCGCUUAUUCCGCAGCUCCUGUUUUGAGUUACAAAUAUGAGCAACCGCACCGGUAUCAAAUACCCAGGAGCUACUACGAGCGCUGGUUAGGUACACAUCAAUAACAUGUAUAUAACAUAUACCUUUGGUAUUGCCGGCCUUCUUAUCCGCUAAGUACUUGGGGCAGUUCCGCUUCCAGUGACCGUUUCCCUUGCAAUAAAAGCACUCAGUCUCAGGCUUGGGUCCAUGCUUUGGCUUCUUCCCGGCAACUGGCUUACCGGGCGCGGCAACUCCCUUGCCGUCCUUCUUGAAGUUCUUCUUACCCUUGCCUUUCUUAAACUUAGUGGUUUUAUUCACCAUCAACACUUGAUGUUCCUUUUUGAUCUCCACCUCCGCUGAUUUCAGCAUUGAAUAUACCUCAGGAAUGGUCUUUUCCAUCCUCUGCAUAUUGAAGUUCAUCACAAAGCUCUUGUAGCUAGGUGGGAGCGACUGAAGGAUUCUGUCAACGACCGCAUCAUCCAGGAGGUUAACUCCCAGCUGAGAUAAGCGGUUGUGCAACCCAGAAAUUUUGAGUAUGUGCUCGCUGACAGAACUAUUCUCUUCCAUCUUACAACUGUAGAACUUGUUGGAGACUUCAUAUCUCUCGACCUAGGCAUGAGUUUGUAAACCAUUUUCAGCUCUUGGAACAUCUCAUAUGCUCCGUGCUGCUCAAAAUGCUUUUGGAGCCCCGGUUCUAAGCUGUAAAGCAUGCCACACUGAACCAGGGAGUAAUCAUCACUACGCGAUUGCCAGGCGUUCAUAAUGUCUUGAGUUGCUGGGAAAACAGGUGCUUCACCUAGCGGUGCAUCAAGGACAUAUGCUUUCUUGGCAGCUAUGAGGAUAAUCCUCAGGUUACGGACCCAGUCCGUGUAGUUGCUGCCAUCGUCUUUCAGCUUGGUUUUCUCUAGGGACGCGUUGAAGUUGAGGGCAACAUUAGCGUGAGCCAUUUGAUCUACAAGACAUAUUGUAAAGUUUUAGACUAUGUUCAUGAUAAUUAAGUUCAUCUAAUCAAAUUAUUUAAUGAACUCCCACUCAGAUAGACAUCCCUCUAGUCAUCUAAGUGACACAUGAUCCGAGUCAACUAGGCCAUGUCCGAUCAUCACGUGAGACGCGCUAGUCAUCAUUGGUGAACAUCUUCAUGUUGAUCGUAUCUUCAAUACGACUCAUGUUCGACCUUUCGGUCUUCCGUGUUCCGAGGCCAUGUUUGUACAUGCUAGCCUCGUUAAGUCAACCUAAGUGUAUUGCGUGUGUAAAUCUGGCUUACACCCGUUGUAUGCGAACGUUAGAACCUAUCACACCCGAUCAUCACGUGGUGCUUCGGAACAACGGACCUUAGCAACGGUGCACAGUUAGGGGGAACACAAUUCUUGAUAUUUUUAUGAGGGAUCAUCUUAUUUAUGCUACCAUUGUUCUAAGCAAAUAAGAUGUAAAAACAUGAUAAACAUCACAUGACAUCAAAUAGUGACAUGAUAUGGCCAAUAUAAUUUUGCUCCUUUUGAUCUCCAUCUUCGGGGCGCCAUGAUCAUCAUCGUCACCGGCUUGACACCAUGAUCUCCAUCAUCAUGAUCCUUGUCAUCGUGUCUUCAUGAAGUUGUCUCGCCAACUAUUACUUCUACUACUAUGGCUAACGGUUUAGCAAUACAGUAAAGUAAUUACAUGACGUUUAUGUUGAGACGCAGGUCAUAAAUAAAUUAAGACAACUCCUAUGGCUCCUGCCGGUUGUCAUACUCAUCGACAUGCAAGUCGUGAUUCCUAUUACAAGGACAUGAUCAAUCUCAUACAUCACAUAUAUCAUUCAUCACAUCCUUUUGUCCAUAUCACAUCACACGGCAUAUGAUGCAAAAACAAGUUAGACGUCCUCUAAUUGUUGUUGCAAAUUUUUUUACGUGGCUGCUAUAGGUUUCUUAGCAAGAACGUUUCUUACCUACACCAAAACCACAACGUGAUAUUCCAAUUUCUAUUUACCCUUUAUAAGGACCCUUUUCAUCGAAUCCGAUCCGACUAAAGUGGGAGAGAUAGACACCCGCUAGCCACCUUAUGCAACUAGUGCAUGUCAGUCGGUGGAACUUGUCUCACGUAAGCAUACGUGUAAGGUCGAUCCGGGCCACUUCAUACCACGAUGCCGCUGAAUCAAGAUAAGACUAGUAACGACAAGUAAAUUGACAAAAUCGACGCCCACAACAACUUGCGUUCUACUCGUGCAUAGAAACUACGCAUAGACCUAGCUCAUGAUGCCACUGUUGGGGAUCGUAGCAGAAAUUUAAAAUUUUCUACGCAUCACUAAGAUCAAUCUAUGGAGUCAUCUAGCAACGAGAGAGAGAGAAGUGCAUCUGCAUACCCUUGUAGAUCGCGAGCGGAAGCGUUCAACAGAACGGGGUUGACGGAGUCGUACUCACCAUGAUCCAAAUCACCGAUGAUCCUAGUGCCGAACGGACGGCACCUCCGCGUUCAACACACGUACGGAGCAGAGACGUCUCCUCCUUGAUCCAGCAAGGGGGAAAGAGAAGUUGAUGGAGAUCCAGCAGCACGAUGGCGUGGUGGUGGAAGCAGCGGGAUUUCAGCAGGGCUUCGCCAAGCGCUACUUGAGGAGGAAGAGGUGUCACGGGAGGGAGAGGGAGGCGCCAGGGCUUAGGGUGCGGCAACCUCCCUCCCCUCCACUAUAUAUAGGGGCUAGGGGGCGCAUGCCCCCUUGCAGAUCCCAUCUAGAGGGGGGGACAGCGGCCCCUCGGGGGGCAACGGCCCCCUUAGGGUUUCCAACCAGGGGGGCGCAUGCCCCCUCGGGUUUCCAACCUUAGGCGCCUUGGGCCCUUGGGUGGGGCACACCAGCCCACCAGGGGCUGGUUCCCAUGCCACUUCAGUGUAACGCCCCGGAUUCGAUGCGCCAGGUGUCUGCCAGUUAUUCGCCGCCGUUGCCAUGUCUUUUGCUUGCGUGUUGCACUUUGCCAUGUCAUCAUCUGCAUUUCAUCUUCAUGUUUUUCAAAACUUGCAUCCGUUCAGGUCCUCCCGGUUCUCUCCGUUGUCCGUUCGGAGUUCAGACCACACUCGCACGCGCCCGCGGCACCUCCGAAAUAUUAUUUUAUAAGUGGCAUAAAAAUGUUCUCGGAAUGGGUUGCAACUUGUUGUGCAGUCUUAUUAUAGUGUAGACAGAGCGCCUGCCAAGUUUCAUCGCAUUCGGAGUCCGUUUGACUGCCCAACCGUUAAACAUAUAGCGGUACCGUUGCCGGUAUCUUCGUCGGACGUUUCGGUCUCCGAAACUGCCGCCGGGCCUCUCUUUCUCUUCUCUUCUCUCAGCCCGACCCCUCUUCUCAGCCCACCUGCAGCCCACCUAAACCCCCCUCCAUUCCGGAUCGUCAGAUUGCGAUCGUAGGGCUCCAAAACCCCCAAAAACCCUAGCUAUGUGCUAUAAAUGGACACCCCUUGUCCAUUUUGGGCAGCCUAACCCCCUCCACCUACCUCUAGCCUCCCCCUCCUCAGAUUCCGCACCGCCGCCCUCUCCUCCAAAUCCGCGCCGCCGCCCGUGGCCACUCCUCGUGCGCCACGACGCCCCAAUUGCCCCACUUCGCCGCAGCCCAGAUCCGGCCUGCCCCCGGGCCGCAGCGGGCCCGCCUGGCCCGAAUCACGCCGCCGCGCUCUCCCGCUCGCUCCGCCUGAGUCCCGCUCGCCCCCGCGCUCGUCCUGCUCCCCGCACCAGAGGCCGACCCCGCCGCCUCGCCAGAGGACACGCGCCGCCGCCGCCGGCGACCUCGACGCCCAGGCCAGAUCCGCUGACCUCUGCCUUCUUCUCCUUCUCUCCCUCUUCUCCUCCCUCUAAUCUCUCUCCUUCCCCGCAGGGAACCGCCGCCGCCGCCGCCUGGGGAUCUCGCCUCCGCGCCGGAGCUCCCCGCCCCGUUCCGGCGCCGGGAAUGGGCUCCCGACGCCCGGAUCCGGCCUCCCCUCGCCGGAUCUGUCCUCCUCUGCCUUCCAUCGCCGAGACCCGCCGUCCUUCGUCCCCGUUCGGGAGAGACGACGACAGGCGUUACCAGCCACGUGGGCCCCUACCCGCGAGGCAUUGCCGCCGGCCCAGCUCGGCCUGCCCCGGCCUGCCUCCACACCGACCGGGCCAAGGCCUGCAUGGUGAGCGUCCACUAAAUCCCGCCCGUGCAUCGGAUAACUAUUCAACGCUCAUUCAUUUUUUUCAGAAAAACUGCUAAGUCCCGAAGUAUUUGCAUAAUCAUGCCAUGUUCAUCGCAUCGUAACUCUGCAUCGCUAGCUCCGUUUUGUGCAUGCAAUAUGUCAAAUUGUUCGUCUCAACGAGUACUUCAUUUCAUUCCAUUUCAUAAUUUUCAUUUGAGCUCAUCUUGAUGCCCGAAAUGCUAUUGGAAGAGUGCAUGUUGCUGUUAAUCUGCUGAAACUGUUAUAACAUGCUCAUUUGUCAUUUUUGCCAUAUUUGAUGUGUGCAUCCUAUGAGGUUGAUGUCUACAUGUGUUUUGAUCUAUACCAUGCCAUCUUUCCAAAGGUGCAAGCCAUGUAAUUUUGUGACUUGUGUGCUGAGUGCAUCGAGCUUGUUAAGUAGGGCACUUGCUGUUACUAUUUUGCUAGGCUGAAUCUGUUAUAUUUUGUUGCUAUGUUAACCUGCUGCUACUAAUCAUUCUAUGCAUAAUCUGGAGAUGUUCUAUAAACAUGUUUUGAUCUACAUGUAAUCCUCUAUCCAUCCAUGCCCCGGGUUGCAUUUAUAGGUUGCUGUAGCUUGUUGUAAUCUUGCUCUAAAGUUGCUUGAUGAUGUUGCUGGCAGCUUGUUAACAUGAAGUUCAGUUUUGGCCAUGUGCUUUUCUAGUGAUCCAUACACCCUAUGAACUUGUUACUGCCAUGCUUAGCUUCACAAACAUGUCUUCUUACUGUUGGUUGCCUUUCCAUGCCAUGUAUUGCUCUGUGGUGUGUGGUACAAGCUCACCAACAUGCCUACUUAUUGUUGUUCCUGCCAUGUUUAAAUCUGUAAUAUAACUUGCCAUGUUUACAUGGGUGCCAUCAUAUUUUCUAUGCAUUUUUGACUCUUGGUCAGUAAGGGACUUUUGAUCUAUGCAAUUAGUAAAUUCAUGCCAUGCCUUUGUUUGCCAUUAUAAGUUCCUGUAACAUGUUGUUUGAUAGCUCUAAACAUUGCAACCUGAUGUUAUUUCCUGAUAAGUCUGAAACUGUUAUUAUUUGCAAUCUUACCAUGUCAUUUUGAGCAUGUUCUAGUCUUUUCUGGAGAUAGCUCAGUGUUCAUGUUUUGUUGUCCUUUACCUGUACUUCAUGCUCAUGCCUUUUGUUCUUAUGUUGGGGUGCUGUAGCUUGUUGUUUUGAUGCUUGUAAGAUGCCUAGUUGCUGUUAUGGACAGAUUGUUGCUAUAACUUGUAUAGAGUGCAUGUGUUGAACCGUUGCUCCGUUUUGAGUGUGCUCUAUAUGAAACUUGCUUGAUUUUGCAUGUAGUUUCAUAUUAUCAUGUUGCAUCCUUGUUUUGAGGUGUUUGCUUGAUGUUUGUAUGCAUUUUGCAUCGAUGCCAUGUUUAACUUGUUUUGCUCAUAUCUUCUAGGCCGUAGCUCCAAAUCUAAUGAACUUUAUAUGUAACUUGACUAGAAUUUCGUGUAGAUCCUCUUGGUGCUCUACAGCAAUGCUGUUUAACAACUUGAACAUAAGGUUUGUUCAGAUCUGGACCAAUUUCGAAAUUUGCAUAUGAGGAUUUACCGGAAUUGUUAUAUGUUGUUUCCGGCCUCAUUUAAACUUGCCUUGAUGUGUUGUUCUUGUUUGCAUCAUCUCUUGCCAUGAGUAGCUUCAUGUAGCCUUGUCAUGCAUCAUGCUUGUGUGCAUCAUGUCUUGUUCAUGUGUGGUGUGUUUACUAUGUUGUGUGCUUCUUUUCGAUAGUUCCUGUUUUGUUGCGAUCGUGAGGAUUCGUUCGUCUACGCUUGGUUCGUCUUCGUGGCUUCAUCUUCUUCAUGGAAUCGUUCUUCUUCCUUGCGGGAUUUCAGGCAAGAUGACCUCUACCCUGGAUCUCACUACUAUCAUUGCUAUCCUAGUUGCUUCGUUCUAUCGCUAUGUUGUGUUACCUAUCAUUUGCUCUUCAAGCCUCCCAGAUUGCCAUGAACCUCUAACCUUUGACACCAUUCCUAGCAAACCGUUGUUUGGCUAUGUUACCGCUUUGCUCAGACCUCUUAUAGCGUUGCUAGUUGCAGGUGAAGUUGAAGAUUUCUGCAUGGUGGACAGGAUUUUGGUUGGGAUAUCACAAUAUCUCUUAUAUUAUUAAUGCAUCUAUAUAUUUGGUAAAGGGUGGAAGGCUCGGCCUUAUGCCUGGUGUUUUGUUCCACUCUUGCCGCCCUAGUUUCCGUCAUACCGGUGUUAUGUUCCCGGAUUUUGCGUUCCUAACGCGGUCGGGUGAUUUAUGGGACCCCCCUAACAGUUCGCUUUGAAUAAAACUUGUCCAGCAAGGCCCAACCUUGGUUUUACCAUUUGCCUCACCACCACCUACUUUUCCCUUGGGAGUAAUUAACCCAAGGGUCAUCUUUAUUUUAGCCCCCCCCAGGCCAGUGCUUGUCUAAGUGCUGGUUCGAACCGAGUAGACUGCGGGGCCCCCUCGGGGAAACUCGAGGUCUGGUUUUACUCGUAGGAUGUCUGAUCCGGUGUUGCCCUGAGAACGAGAUAUGUGCAGCUCCUAUCGGGAUUGUCGGCGCAUGGGGCGGCUUUGCUGGUCUUGUUUUACCAUUGUCGAAAUGUCUUGUAAACCGGGAUUCCGAGACUGAUCGGGUCUUUCUGGGAGAAGGUCUAUUCCUUCGUUGAUCGCGAGAGCUUGUCAUGGGCUAAGUUGGGACACCCCUGCAGGGUUUAAACUUUGGAGAGCCAUGCCCGCGGUUAUGUGGCAGAUGGGAAUUUGUUAAUGUCCGGUUGUAGAUAACUUGACACCUGAUCUGAAUUAAAACGCAUCAACCGAGUGUGUAGCCGUGAUGGUCUCUUCUCGGCGGAGUCCGGGAAGUGAACACGGUUUCUGUGUUAUGUUUGACGUAAGUAGGUGUUCAGGAUCACCUCUUGAUCAUUGCUAGUUGACGACCGUUCCUUUGCUUCUCUUCUCGCUCUUAUUUGCGUAUGUUAGCCACCAUAUCAUGCUUAGUCGCUGCUGCAACCUCACCACUUUACCCCUUCCUUUCCCAUUAAGCUUUGCUAGUCUUGAUACCCAUGGUAAUGGGAUUGCUGAGUCCUCGUGGCUCACAGAUUACUACCACAACAGUUGCAGGUACAGGUUAUGCGAUGAUCUUGACGCGAGAGCGAUGUUUGCUUGUUAUGAGUUCUUCUUCUGCUUCUUCUUCGAUCAGGGGAUAGGUUCCAGGUCGGCAGCCUGGGCUAGCAGGGUGGAUAUUGGUUGAGUUUCUGUUUAUGUUUCAUCCGUAGUCGGAUGUUGAUCUUGUAUAUGAUGUGAUGUUGUAUUCGUGUGGCAUUGUAUGCCUUUUGUAUGUAUCCCCAACUAUUAUGUAAUGUUUAAUGUAAUGAUAUCCACCUUGCAAAAGCGUUCCAAUAUGCGGGUCUAUCCUUGGUGGGACUUUCGAGUUCCUUUUGGAUAGGGUCGCUGUCGGUGUCAAAACCGGCGGAUCUCGGGUAGGGGGUCCCGAACUGUGCGUCUAGGCGGAUGGUAACAGGAGACAAGGGACACGAUGUUUUGCCCAGGUUCGGGCCCUCUCGAUGGAGUUAAAACCCUACGUCAUGCUUGAUUAAAUAUGAUGAUAUGGGUAGUACAAGAGUGGAUCUACCACGAGAUCAAGGAGGUUAAACCCUAAAGCUAGCCUAUGGUAUGACUGUUGUAAUGUAUGUUGUGUCCUACGGACUAAAGCCCUCCGGUUUAUAUAGACACCGGAGAAGGCUAGGGUUACACAGAGUCGGUUACAAUGGUAGGAGAUCUACAUAUCCGUAUCGCCAAGCUUGCCUUCCACGCCAAGGAAAGUCCCAUCCGGACACGGGACGGAGUCUUCAAUCUUGUAUCUUCGUAGUCUUGGAGUCCGGCGGACGAUGAUAGUCCGGCUGUCCGGACACCCCCUAGUCCAGGACUCCCUUAGUAGCCCCCGAACCAGGCUUCAAUGACGAUAAGUCCAGCGCGUAUAUAGUCUUCGGCGUUGCAAGGCGGGUUCUCCCUUCAAGUUCCAUGUACCUGCCGAACAGUGUACGGCUUCAUCAUAAAUACUUUGUUUCUUGGCUUCUACGCCCAAUAAUGGCCUUCUUCCACGCGUCGCAUGAAUGCAAAAAGCCAGGGCGUCUUUUAUGUUUCACCCCCUAGUCGUGCGAGUCAUCCGCCUACAAAAGAGGCAAAAAUCCAGAUCCAAACCACACCAUCUUCCUUCUGCGAAUACUCAUCGGAGCGCUUUCGACCUAAAAAUCCAUUCCACCAUGGACCGUCGACGCGGCUCUUCCUCUCGCGCUCCCAGCCCACCGCUAGGGGAUUGGAGGAGGUGCUCUGUUCCACACAACGAGCUAGAGAAGCUCCAAGCGGGGGGAUAUCUCCCUCCGGCCUUCAUGGUCCCGUUUCGAGCCGGGCUGGCCACCUACCAAGGUGGGAAGCAAGCGGAGGCUACCCCAAGUCCCAACAAAGGGGAGCGGGUAUGCUUCAUCCCCUAUCUGAUAAGGGGACUCGGAUUCCCAAUACAUCCGUUCCUCCACGGGCUCCUGGAGUUCUACGGACUCCAGCUCCAUCAGCUUACGCCCACCUCUAUCCUGCAUAUCGCGGGCUACGUAGCUCUUUGGGAGCUUUUCCUGGGCAUCGAGCCCCAUUUUGCAUUGUGGAAGAGGUUGUUCUACCUCGUACCCCGUUCUUACGAGGGAUCCAUAUAUCAAGUAGGCGGCGCCGAAAUAUGGCGCAUUACCGGGACUGGAUACCCAUCCGGUACUCCUAAGAAGGUGUCCGAAGACUGGCCUUCGGAGUGGUUUUACAUAGAAGACGCUCCGCUGCCGGACCCAGUCCGGAUUGGCCUCCCGGAGUUUAGUGCUGCUCCUCUGAAGAAACGCCUCAGCUGGCGCCCACGGAGCCCCCGAUUGGAGGAAGACAAGAGCGUCCGUUACUUGAUGGGCCGAAUAAGUUUACUGUCCCAUUCCGGGUUGACCAUGAUUGGAGUCAUGGCGACAUGCAUCAUGCGGGGGGUACAGCCAUUGCAAUACAGAGGCCACCCCAUGUGGGAUUUCAACGGGGAAGACGAUGCCACCCGUCAUGGCCGCGAAGGGCCGGAUUCGACCGAGGAUCUGGUGCAGAUCAUGUCCAGCCAGUACAAGGGGGAGAAGGAGGACUUCCUUCGGACGAACCCUUUGAAUGGGUUUUCCAUGAACAACCCUAGAGGCUGGGUAAGUGAACACUUUUAAGGGCUCAACCCAUGCUUUCGAAGUUUAGGCUUCUUACAUUAUGUCUUCGGCGCAGGAUCUACGCCGGACUGUGGAGGACAUGGUAAGUCCCGCUCCGCAACCCGAGGAUCCAGAAAGAUCCCUGGAUCCGGCCUCCGAAGAGGAUCCGGACAUCAAGGUGGAGAUGAUCGACGGGGUGUUUCACUAGCUCAGCAUGGACAAUGCUUUGGUCGCCAUUACAGCGGACUACCCCGGACUGUAUCCGGCUUCCCAGGUGACUGUGACCGAGGUCCGGACACCAUUAUCUCUUCCUUGCCCAUUUCUGACCUUCACGAACGAUGGUGUUUUACAGGAAGCGCCUUUAAGGCAGGAAGCCGAGCCCGCGGCGGCUGACCAACAAAGGUUAGUCCGGACCAGCAGGCGGAAAAGGAGCGGGGCGCGGACUGAAACGUCGCCGCAAAGGUAUAGCUCGUGUUUAAAUUUUCAGAGCAACGCUCCUAGGAAGCGUCUGAGUGCUCAUGAUCUUUGUAGGAGAAAAAGCGCCCGCCGGACUGCGGGCGUAGAGGUUGCCGAUCCGACCUAUACCAGCUAGGUUCCAGCGCCCGGCCUGGAGGGGGAGGCAAGCGCAAGGCGCGGGCCGGAUACUCCUCCAACGGAGGAUGCUGGCAGACUGUCCGCCACCAAGUCUGAGGUGGAGAGCGCCAUGAACCACAGGCGCCGCCGGACAGUAUUUCGUGAAGCGUGCUUCUCCCCUGAGGCAUUGGACGCCUUUAACGCAGGGGAUGCGCACCUCCGUGCUGCUCAAGACGGUUUUACCCGAGCCACGGAGCAGUAUGUAAAAGACAUACGGGUAAGGGAAUUUAAUGGUUAUAUAUGCCAGUAGCCCCCGAGACUUAAAGUAGUUAUGUUAACUGAUUUAAGGAUCAUUUGAAACGCAGGCUCUUACUGAGAAGAAUGCCCAGCUGUCUCAGGAGCUGCAAGAAUGCAAGGCCCAACUUGAGGCCGCACUUGCUGCCGCAGGAGGAAACUCAGAGACCCCUCCUGGUAACACAUUUUUAUUAAUAAAUAUAAGCGCUGUGCGGCGUGCGCGCAAGUCUAAUAAUGACUAUGCAGGUGCCGCCGGACAAGAUCCGGACAGGCAAGGAUUACUGCGCCAGCUGAAGGCCGGCGAGAGUGUGCUGAAUAGGGUGCAGCAAGAAAGGAACAAACUCCAGGAUGCCAACGCCAAGCUCGGAGAAGAGCUGAAAGGCGCUCGCGCCGGGCUGUCCGGCUCUGUUAAGGAGAAUGAGCGGCUUCCUCGCGGCAUUUAUAGUAAGUGCUUGAGCGGACUCCUUUGAAAAGAAGAGUUCGGCGAGGAAGUAUAUUGACAUGAUAUGUCUUGUAGGUAUACUCACAGGUCGCCCUGUAGAGGAGAUGCCCAUAUCAACGGGUGAUCAACUUCCCGAGCUGUUGCAACUGCUCGAACGAGUUCGGCAGGCAAUGAGCGGCAUCGUCCAGGCUUUAUGGCCAGCCCUCUCCCAACCCGAGGGCCUUGGGGAGCUUGCGGAAAAGCUUCAGGGAGUGCGGCAGCGCUUCCGUUUGUGGAAGAUUUCGGCUUGCCGUCAAGGUGCCAGGGAGGCUUGGGCCGUGGUGAAGACGCGUUACAAGAAGGCGGAUCCCAACCACAUGGACGAAGUUGGACCGGUGGGGCCCGAUGGGAAGGAGAUCCCUGUGAGUUUAGUAUACAGCCAGGUAGAGUUGGCUGCUAAGUUUUCCCAAGGGGACUGUAAGUUAGACAGCCUGUUAGACGGGAUUGAGGAGGAAUACAAUCAGUAAAUUUGACAAUGUAUUUUAAAAUGACAUGUGAAAUGCCUUCUAGCCGGAUUGUAGAUCGUUUGUCUUUGCCGACCUUUUCGCUUCGACCUCGGGACGCUAGAGUCUGGAGUGUGUCUGAAUACCUUCUUGGUUAAGAAACAACCGGGGUAUGCAUGGAGACCAGGCGUAGGGGUCAUUAGUGCUUUAUCAGACAAGUGCCCAACUAGUUAUGUUAUAUUACAUGGUUAGUAAGAAACAUCUUCCAGGGAGAAUAGUUCCGUUAAGGGUUCCUUUCCCUGGGAGGCAUGCCCUAAAGUGCAUGUCCGGACUGCGAAAAGAGCAGGAAAACAUCUGGGGGCAGAUAAAUAAAUAGGUAGAAAAUCAUCUUUCAAAUCACCGACCGAAUAUUCCCUUAAGAACGCUAGCUUUCGGCUUCACCCAGUCUGAGGUACACAUCCGGCUGACCCGGUAGUAACAAUCACAGAGGUGCUCCCUUUACCUCCUAGCCGAACAAUCGGGAACGUAGGGGUAAGCACAGGAGCCAGGCAACCCAGCUUGGCCAAAACUUAAGUCAUAUCGAUGCAUAUAAUGGUGAGUAAAAGGUACAUGUGGAAGCUUGACACAUGUGCUGGGCAUGAAGCCCUUAUAAUUGAGCUUCUGGAAAAGAAGCCCCCAGGUAUAAUGAGUGCGGAUGGCACAUCAAGUGUAUGCGAACAAUGCGAAGGUAGGCCCUUAGGGGCUUUUUAGUAAAAAGGUUAGGAGAAGAAAGAGAAACAAAAGACAGCCGAAGUGUAAAAAUUUGAACGUAGGAAGGGGACGAACUCUUAGUCCGGCGCUAGGCAUAGAAUCUUCGGAGGCUGGCUGCGUUCCAUGGGUUCGGCUCGAGUCGGUUAUCCAACGCAUUUCGUAGACGGUACGCUCCGCCGGUCAGGACUUGAUCGAUAAUGAAGGGGCCCUCCCAUUUGGGUUUGAGCUUGUCCUUUUUCUUGUCCGGCAGGCGUAGAACUAGUUUGCCAACGUUGUAAGUCUUGGCCCGUACUUCUCUGCUUUGAUAUCUUUGGGCCUGCUGCUGAUAAAAUGCGGAACGAGCCUUGGCGACGUCGCGCUCUUCCUCCAAUGUGUCCAAGCUGUCCUGCCGAUCCAGCUCGGCCUCUCUUUCUUCGUACAUCCGCACUCGAGGUGAGUCAUGAAUAAUGUCGCAGGGCAGGAGUGCCUCUGCGCCGUAGACCAUAAAAAAUGGUGUGAAUCCGGUAGUGCGGUUAGGCGUUGUCUGCAGCCCCCAGAGUACGGAGUCGAGCUCCUCGACCCAGUGCGUGUCAGAUUUAGUAAGUGACCGCACUAGUCUGGGUUUAAUGCCACUCAUUAUUAGACCAUUUGCUCGUUCCACUUGACCGUUGGUUUGUGGGUGAUAGACUGAAGCGUAGUCGAGCUUGAUGCCCAUAUUUUUGCACCAUGACUUAACCUCGUCGGCUGUGAAGUUCGUGCUGUUGUCGGUGAUGAUGCUGUGGGGGACUCCGUAACGGUGUACUACCACGGAUAUAAAGUCUAUCACUGGUCCGGACUCUGCCGUUUUGACCGGUUUGGCCUCUAUCCAUUUGGUGAAUUUAUCCACCAUGACCAAUAGGUACCUUUGCUUGUGGGUUCCCCAUUUAAGGGGUCCAACCAUAUCAAGCCCCCAGACCGCGAACGGCUAGGUAAUGGGUAUAGUUUUGAGGGCGGUGGGCGGCAUAUGGCUCUGAUUAGCAAAGAGCUGACAACCAACGCAUCUCUGGACUAAGUCCUGGGUAUCUGCCCGGGCCGUCGGCCAAUAAAAUCCUGUACGGAAUGCCUUUCCUACAAGGGCCCGGGCUGCUGCGUGGUGUCCGCCUAGUCCGGCAUGAAUUUCAGCCAGGAGGUCUCGCCCUUCCUCUUCGGAGAUACACCUUUGAAGGACUCCGGUUGUACUUUUCUUAUAAUGUUCUCCCUCAUGGACCUUGUAGGCUUUCGAUCGCCGGUCUAUGCAGCGGGCCUCGUUUUGGUCUUCGGGGAGUUCCUGCCUAAGAUAGUAGGCUAGGAAUGGUACUGUCCACAGGGCGAUUACUGCCAUUAUGUCGUGGGCUGAAGGUGUUAUGUCAUCGGCUGAAUCGCCGGUUGGCGAGGUUUUUUCCGGUUUGUCACUUCCGGGCUCCUCUUCCCAUAGUACGGAUGGCUUGAAGAGCCGUUCCAGGAAGAUAUUUGGAGGGACAGCAUCACGUUUCGCACCGAUGCGUGCCAGUACGUCGGUCGCUUGGUUAUUAUCUCGGGCUAUGUGAUGGAAUUCGAGUCCUUCAAACCAAGCUGACAUUUUUAUGACAGCGUUGCGGUAUGCUGCCAUUUUCGGAUCCUUGGCGUCAAAGUCUCCAUUUAUUUGGGAUAUUGCAAGGUUUGAAUCCCCGCACACCUCUGGCGUUGAAUGCCCAUGGAGACUGCCAUCCGGAGACCAUGUAACAGGGCCUCGUAUUCGGCUGCGUUAUUGGAGUCCGUGUACAUUAUUUGAAGUACAUACUGGACUGUCUCCCCGGUUGGGGACGUCAAUACGACGCCAGCCCCCAGUCCGGCCAACAUUUUAGAGCCGUCGAAGUGCAUAAUCCAAUUGGAGUAUGCGCCGUACUCUUUAGGGAGUUCGGCCUCGGUCCAUUCAGCGACAAAGUCAGCCAAAACUUGUGACUUUAUAGCUCGCCGAGGUUUGUAAGUUAUAUCGAAUGGUAAGAGCUCAAUGGCCCAUUUUGCAAUCCUACCCGUUGCGUCACGGUUAUUUAUGAUGUCAUUGAGUGGUACUUCGGAGGCCACUGUUAUCGAACACUCUUGAAAGUAGUGUCGGAGCUUCCGGGAUGCCAUGAACACCGCAUACGCUAUCUUCUGAUAGUGUGGGUAACGGGACUUGCAGGGGGUUAACACAGUGGAAACAUAAUACACUGGUUUUUGGAGAGGGAAUUUAUGCCCUUCUGUCUCUCGUUCGACGACGAGUACCGCGCUUACAACUUGAUGCGUUGCUGCGAUGUAUAACAACAUUGGUUCGCCCCGGUUGGGCGCAGCCAGGACCGGAUUUGUACUGGCCUUUAUUUCUUCGAGUCCGGCAGUGGCAGCAUCCGUCCACUCGAAGUGUUCGGUGCGCCUGAGGAGGCGAUAGAGAGGCAAUGCCUUUUCUCCUAGACGGGAGAUAAAGCGGCUUAAAGCUGCCACGCAUCCUGUUAAUUUUUGUAUCUGCUUGAGGUCUUUCGGGAUAUCCAACUGUGACAGAGCUCAGAUUUUUGCCGGGUUUGCUUCAAUUCCUCUACCGGAUACAAUGAAGCCCAGCAGCUUUCUGGCUGGUACGCCGAAAACGCAUUUUUCCGGAUUCAGCUUGAUGUCAUAUGCUCUGAGGUUGUUGAAUGUGAGCCUCAAAUCGUCUACUAGAGUUUCGACGUGUUUUGUUUUGACGACUACGUCUUUUACGUAUGCUUCGACUGUUUUGCCGAUCUGGGUAGCCAGACAUGUUUGAAUCAUGCGCUGAUAUGUUGCACCGGCAUUUUUAAGUCCAGAGGGCAUUGUGUUGAAGCAGAAUGGUCCGUACGGAGUGAUGAAUGCCGUUGCGGCUUGGUCUGCUUCCGCCAUCUUGAUUUGAUGGUAGCCAGAGUAUGCGUCGAGGAAGCACAAUGAAUCAUGUCCUGCAGUAGCAUCGAUAAUUUGAUCGAUGCGGGGGAGGGGGAAGGGAUCCUUUGGGCAAGCCUUAUUAAGGUCUUUAAAAUCGACGCAUAGGCGCCAGGAUUUGUCCUUCUUUGGUACCAUUACCAGAUUUGCUAGCCAAUCCGGAUGUUUGAUACCUCUGAUGAAUCCGGCUACCAAUAGUUUGGCUAGCUCUUCUCCCAUUGCCUGUCGUUUGGGUUUGGAAAAUCACCGAAGAGCCUGUUUGACUGGCUUAAAUCCUUUUAGGUUGUUUAGGCUAUGUUCUGCCAACCUGCGUGGGAUUCCGGGCAUAUCCGAAGGAUGCCAGGCGAAAAUGUCCCAAUUUUCCCGAAGGAAUUCGCGCAGUGCGGCGUCUACUUCGGGGUUCAAUUGUGCCCCAAUGGAGGCCGUCUUUGUUGGGUCCGUUGGAUGGACCUGGAAUUUGAUUAUUUCAUUUGCUGGUUUGAUGGAGGUGGACUUGGAUCUUUUAUCGAGUAUCACAUCCCCCCUGUUCACCGUAGAGCGCAGCGCGGUGAGUUCUUCUGCAGCUAGGGCUUCGGAUAGUGCCUCCAGGGCUAGUGCGGCUGUCUUGUUUUCGGCGCGGAGCGCUAUGUCCGGAUCACUAGCGAGAGUGAUUAUUCCGCCGGGCCCAUGCAUUUUGAGCUUCAUAUACCCGUAAUGGGGUACGGCUUGAAAAAUUGUGAAUGCCUCUCGUCCUAAUAUAGCGUGAUAUCCGCUGUUUAACGGGGCCACCUGGAACGUGACUUCUUCGGAUCUGUAAUUGUCCGGCGAGCCGAACACCACAUCGAGUGUGAUUUUUCCGGUGCAGCGCACUUCCCAGCUAGGGAUUAUUCCUCUGAAGGUUGUGCUGCUUCGCUCAAUACGACUCCAGUCGAUUUCCCUUUUUUGAAGAGAUUCCUCGUAGAUGAGGUUUAGUCCGCUGCCGCCAUCCAUGAGGACCUUUGUAAGUUGAAAGCCGUCCACUAUGGGACUAAGCACCAGUGCGGCUGGUGCUCGGGCUGUUCGGGAUUUAGGUUCAUCGCUGGCGUUGAAGGUGAUGGCUGUGUCGCUCCAUGGAUUUGCUGUUGCUACUUGGUAGACUUUGGCGAGGCCGCGGAUUGUUCGUUUUCGCAUAUUAUUUGAUGCGAAGGUCUCGAAGACUGUUGAUACCGUACCGGUAUUGUUGGAAUGGUUUUCCAGGGCUAGAAGCUCCUAGCCACUUUUGGCCACCUGCUGUAGUAUCCAACAUGCUCGAAGGCUAUGUGUUGGGACGGCUCCCUCUGUACUAUGAAGCUUACAGGGUCCAUUGAGCCAUCCCUCCAGUACGGUUCCGUGCCCUUUAUGGGGUUUGUGCUUUUUGGUUUUUGUAUCUGGGGCCUGAGUGUGAUGCACCCUUUUGUUGCGGCUGGGGUUGUAUUCGGGGCCGGAUUGUCCCAAAACUGGUUUUCGGUUUUCCGGAAACUCUCCAUCGCACAGUACUUUCGUACUAUGGACGCCAGAUCGGUGAAGCGUAUAAUUUUAUGACGACCGAUGGCGUUCAAUAUUCCCUUGUCCGUGCAAUUAUUGCAAAAGAUUGAGACUGCGUUCUCCUCUCGGCAGUCCUUUAUCCUGUCCAUAACCAGGAGGAAUCUGGCCCAGUAGUGAUGCACUGUUUCAGCGGGCUCUUGCCAUAUUAGAGAUAGAUCACAUAUGUCUGGGCGGGUGGGUGGAAUAAAAUCCGGAUCCCUACCCAUCUUGAGGCUUAAAGGCCGAGGAGUUUCCGAAUUCGGAAGCUUGGAUUGCUGGACAUGAUCCAGCGGGUCCGGAACGAUGCAUGAUUUUAAGUUCAAUGCUCGAUCAAAGUCCGUCCCUCCGCGGAAAUCCGGCAUGGAGGGUUCAAGAAUCCGGACGUGACUAGAUUUCAAUAUAGGCGAAAAAUCGCCGCAUUGCUCCUCAACCACUGCGACGCGGUGGGUGGCCUGGGGAGAGUUAAUCUCUCUCAGAUCGGUUUUAAGCCCAAUCUGAUUGUAGUCUGUAGCGACUCCCAGGGCGGCGAUGCGAUCCAAGAGCUCGUUGACAGACGAGAGCUCUAUUAGAUCCAGCCGCUCGGCGAAUUCCGAGCUGACGCGGAGAUUGCUUCCGACGACUUGGGAAGUCAUUGUCGGAGCCGUGGCCGGACAGGCGGUCAUAAGAAAACUACCUAGCCGGAUAGUUUGGCCGGCGGCCAAGGCCCCUUUGGCGAAAAUACCGUCUUUGAAGACGAGUGGAGGCAUCCUUCCUAUCGGUGACGACACAGAGGAACUCUCAAUGAAAGCACCAAUGUCGGUGUCAAAACCGGCGGAUCUCUGGUAGGGGGUCCCGAACUGUGCGUCUAGGCGGAUGGUAACAGGAGACAAGGGACACGAUGUUUUACCCAGGUUCGGGCCCUCUCGAUGGAGGUAAAACCCUACGUCCUGCUUGAUUAAUAUUGAUGAUAUGGGUAGUACAAGAGUGGAUCUACCACGAGAUCAAGGACGCUAAACCCUAAAGCUAGCCUAUGGUAUGACUGUUGUAAUGUAUGUUGUGUCCUACGGACUAAGGCCCUCCGGUUUAUAUAGACACCAGAGAAGGCUAGGGUUACACAGAGUCGGUUACAAUGGUAGGAGAUCUACAUAUCCGUAUCGCCAAGCUUGCCUUCCACGCCAAGGAAAGUCCCAUCCGAACACGGGACGGAGUCUUCAAUCCUGUAUCUUCGUAGUCUUGGAGUCCGGCGGACGAUGAUAGUCCGGCUGUCCGGACACCCCCUAGUACAGGACUCCCUCAGUCGCAUAUUGGGCGUGACAAGUUGGUAUCAGAGCCUCGACCGACCCUAGGGGCCCCCUUGAUGAUCGUGUAGUUUGGCCGUUGUCGAGUCUAGAAGAAAACUGUUUUCGGAGUCUAGUUAUAUCGGAGAGUAGGAAUUCUUUUUACUCCUCAGCCCCUUCGUCGCUCUGGUAAGGAAUCUUGACGUAGGUGUUUUGAAUUACUCCUCUUCCCGUUCAAAUUUUUCUUUAGGAUCACGUGGUUAGUUUCGUGAGUUGUCCAUCCUCUUUUGUCCGGUGCAUUUCUCGUCAAGUUGACUCGAGCCUCUUCAUCGUUGUCAAGUUCAAUCCUCAGUUGUUUUAUUUUCUCACCCACCCUCCCCUUUUUUCUCCUCGGAACCGGAGUCCGUAAUCGAGUAUCCAUCCUACUCGUGCGAAGUCUCUGCUUUCUUUCCUCAAUGAUUUCAACCGGUGUUUUCUCUUCAAGUUAUUCGUCGGGUCCCCCUUCCAGUUGCCUAUGUUUUUCCCGCCCUCCCACCCUUUUUCUUCCCGGAACCUGAGUCUCUUUCGAGCAUCAAUUUUCAUUCAUACGGAGUCUCUUCAGUCUUCCCUUAAUUAUUUCUAUGGUUAAUUCUUGUCUCGUUCGUCAUUCUUCAUCUCUUUUUCUUCUCCGGCGGACUCAAUUCAAGUUUUUCGGGUUGAUCAUAUUCUUUUCCUUGGAUCAAGUGUUCUCCUUGCUCAUUCGCCUCUCGCCAGAUUAUCCUUCCGGAGUGUUCAAGAUAUCUCAGGAGAUUCGUCUGUGUUUGAAUUAAUUUGAGGUUGUCACCUCAUUCUAAUAUUUCAAUUGUUCUGGUGCAUCAUCUAUCUGUUCAACAAUCCUUUUCAACGGUGUUUUUCUCUUUAGUGGGCCCUAACCCACAGGUCUUUUCCCGGGAUCUUACCUGACUCUUCUAAUUCCCCCGGAGUUAUUCUCAAUUCUUUUCAAGUGUGACGUAAGAAUGGAUUCCAUCAGUCACAUGCCUUCUCCAAGAUCGCUUUCAAAAUCAUUUCAUUGUUGGCUCAACCUCUUCGCUUUUCAUUCUUCCGGAGUGUCUUAGUAAUUUUGGUGGUGUUUCUCGUCAUCAUUUGAAGAUCGAAGAAGAUUUCUCUUAAAUCAUGUCCGUUCCACUGGAGAUCCGCGGUCCUAGCUCGAUGUUAUGCUAUAAAAUUGUUUCUAGUCAUGCAAAUUCUUUUCAUCCAUCCGGAGCAUUUCAGGAGUUGCUUUCUCUCUCGAUCAUCUGGAGGCCAUCUUUUCGGAAGAUUUCUUCGUUCUAAGUUUUCAGAUUCAUUCUCCAAUUAUUGUAUAUCUGUGCCCUUUCGUUCGUCUCAAUAUUCUUCCGGUGCUUCGUUCAAGUAUUCUCCAAUCAGUUCGCGAUCCAUUCGUUAUCUUAUCUCUAAAUUCCCUCAAGUAUCCUUUUGCGUUUCUAAUUCUUCCCGGUGAUUCAUACUCCUUCACCAGUCUUUUCCGAAUUCUAACGGUGGUUCGUUCAAGAUUCUUUUCCUUGUUUAUCUUAUUACUUCAUUCGUUCUUUCCAAUCCUAUCGGUGAUUCAUGAAGACUUUCUCAAGUUUGAGAUAUGUCACUUCUCAAUUCUUUUUCAAGAAGAAUAAGUAGUAUGUAAAAUCCAUUGCUUGUCAUCAAUUUAAUUUGAUGAAGGAUAAGCAUACAAUAAAUCUUAUUCUUAUUUCCUCAAAGUGUUUAAUCCCUUCCUUUAGAGUUUGUUCUUGAUGAAUAAAUUCUAGUUCCAAGUGUUUCAUCUUUUCUUUUCCGGAGUUCAAUUUUCCUCGGCCAUUUCGUAGGAAUCUCCAUCUAAGUCAUCGCAAGAUUUAGUCUUAUUCUUUUCAUCCUUUAAUUCUAUCUCAUCAUCCUUUUGUUACCGGAGUUCUUCACGAUGGAUCGUCAUGAUCUAAUUCAUUCUUCAAGAGUUCAUCAAGUAUCAUUCCAUCCUCCCUAGCUCGUGUUCUAUUCCCCCAUGUUUUAGCCGAAGUGCUGCCUAAAUCCUUUCAGUCUUAUUCGUUUCUUUUCUCAUUCUAACCACUCCGGUUAGAACGAGUGGUUUCAUGGACUAUCUGAUCCCGUGAGCUUUCGAUUCUCGUCAUUCUUAUCGUCCCUCUCUUCUUCUCGAGUGCUCUCGAUUCUUUGCUUCUUCUCUUGAGUUCUUGUUUCACCUCAUCCUUUUUUCCCUUCCGUCUCGGUCCUAAGAUCUCGGGACGAGAUCUCUUGUUAGUGGAGGAGUGUUGUAACGCCCCGGAUUCGAUGCGCCAGGUGUCUGCCAGUUAUUCGCCGCCGUUGCCAUAUCUUUUGCUUGCGUGUUGCACUUUGCCAUGUCAUCUUCAUGUUUUUCAAAACUUGCAUCCGUUCGGGUCCUCCCGGUUCUCUCCGUUGUCCGUUCGGAGUUCAGACCACACUCGCACGCGCCCGCGGCACCUCCGAAAUAUUAUUUUAUAAGUGGCAUAAAAAUGUUCUCAGAAUGGGUUGCAACUUGUCGUGCGGUCUUAUUAUAGUGUAGACAGAGCGCCUGCCAAGUUUCAUCGCAUUCGGAGUCCGUUUGACUGCCCAACCGUUAAACAUAUAGCGGUACCAUUGCCGGUACCUUCGUUGGACGUUUCGGUCUCCGAAACUGCCGCCGGGCCUCUCUUUCUCUUCUCUUCUCUCAGCCCGACCCCUCUUCUCAGCCCACCUGCAGCCCACCUAAACCCCCCCUCGUUCCGGAUUGUCAGAUUGCGAUCAUAGGGCUCCUAAACCCCCAAAAACCCUAGCUAUGUGCUAUAAAUGGACACCCCUUGUCCAUUUUGGGCAGCCUAACCCCCUCCACCUACCUCUAGCCUCCCCCUCCUCGGAUUCCGCGCCGCCGCCCUCUCGUCCAAAUCCGUGCCGCCGCCCGUGGCCACUCCUCGUGCGCCACGUCGCCCCAAUUGCCCCACUUCACCGCAGCCCAGAUCCGGCCCGCCCCCGGGCCGCAGCGGGCCCGCCUGNNNNNNNNNNNNNNNNNNNNNNNNNNNNNNNNNNNNNNNNNNNNNNNNNNNNNNNNNNNNNNNNNNNNNNNNNNNNNNNNNNNNNNNNNNNNNNNNNNNNNNNNNNNNNNNNNNNNNNNNNNNNNNNNNNNNNNNNNNNNNNNNNNNNNNNNNNNNNNNNNNNNNNNNNNNNNNNNNNNNNNNNNNNNNNNNNNNNNNNNNNNNNNNNNNNNNNNNNNNNNNNNNNNNNNNNNNNNNNNNNNNNNNNNNNNNNNNNNNNNNNNNNNNNNNNNNNNNNNNNNNNNNNNNNNNNNNNNNNNNNNNNNNNNNNNNNNNNNNNNNNNNNNNNNNNNNNNNNNNNNNNNNNNNNNNNNNNNNNNNNNNNNNNNNNNNNNNNNNNNNNNNNNNNNNNNNNNNNNNNNNNNNNGGGCCCGCCUGGCCCAAAUCGCGCCUCCGCGCUCUCCCGCUCGCUCCGCCCGAGUCCCGCUCGCCCCCGCGCUCGUCCUGCUCCCCGCACCAGAGGCCGACCCCGCCGCCUCGCCAGAGGACACGCGCCGCCGCCGCCGGCGACCUCGACGCCUAGGCCAGAUCCGCCGCCCUCUGCCUUCUUCUCCUUCUCUCCCUCUUCUCCUCCCUCUAAUCUCUCUCCUUCCCCGCAGGGAACCGCCGCCGCCGCCGCCUGGGGAUCUCACCUCCGCGCCUUCAGCUCCGCGCCGGAGCUCCCCGCCCCGUUCGGGCGCCGGGAAUGGGCUCCCGAUGCCCGGAUCCGGCCUCCCCUCGCUGGAUCUGGCCUCCUCUGCCUUCCAUCGCCGAGACCCGCCGUCCUUCGUCCCCGUUCGGGAGAGAUGACGACAGGCGUUACCGGCCACGUGGGCCCCUCCCCGCGAGGCCUUGCCGCCGGCCCAGCUCGGCCUGCCCCGGCCUGCCUCCACACCGACCGGGCCAAGGCCUGCAUGGUGAGCUUCCGCUAAAUCCCACCCGUGCAUCGGAUCACUAUUCAACGCUCAUUCAUUUUUUUUCAGAAAAACUGCCAAGUCCCGAAGUAUUUGCAUAAUCAUGCCAUGUUCAUUGCAUUGUAACUCUGCAUCCGUAGCUCCGUUUUGUGCAUGUAAUAUGUCAAAUUGUUUGUCUCACCGAGUACUUCAUUUCAUUCCAUUGCAUCAUUUUCAUUUGAGCUCAUCUUGAUGCCCGAAAUGCUGUUGGAAGAGUGCAUGUUGCUGUUAAUCUGCUGAAACUGUUAUAACAUGCUCAUUUGUCAUUUUUGCCAUAUUUGAUGUGUGCAUCCUAUGAGGUUGAUGUCUACAUGUGUUUUGAUCUAUGCCAUGCCAUCUUUCUAGAGGUGUAACCCAUGUAUUUUUGUGACUUGUGUGCUGAGUGCAUCGAGCUUGUUAAGUAGGGCACUUGCUGUUACUAUUUUGCUAGGCUGAAUCUGUUAUAUUUUGUUGCUAUGUUAACCUGCUGCUACUAAUCAUUCUAUGCAUAAUCUGGAGAUGUUCUAUAAACAUGUUUUGAUCUACAUGUCAUCCUCUAUCCAUCCAUGCCCUUGGUUGCAUUUAUAGGUUGCUGUAGCUUGUUGUAAUCUUGCUCUAAAGUUGCUUGAUGAUGUUGCUGUCAGCUUGUUAACAUGAAGUUCAGUUUUGGCCAUGUGCUUUUCUAGUGAUCCAUACACCCUAUGAACUUGUUACUGCCAUGCUUAGCUUCACAAAAAUGUCUUCUUACUGUUGGUUUCCUUGCCAUGCCAUGUAUUUCUCUGUGGUGAGUGGUACAAGCUCACCAACAUGCCUACUUAUUGUUGUUCCUGCCAUGUUUAAAUCUGUAAUAUAACUUGCCAUGUUUACAUGGGUGCCAUCAUAUUUUCUGUGCCUUUUUGACUCUUGGUCAGUAAGGGACUUUUGAUCUAUGCAAUUAGUAGAUCCAUGACAUGCCUUUGUUUGCCAUUAUAAGUUCCUGUAACAUGUUGUUUGAUAGCUCUAAACAUUGCAACCUGAUGUUAUUUCCUGAUAAUUCUGAAACUGUUAUUAUUUGCAAUCUUACCAUGUCAUUUUGAGCAUGUUCUAGUCUUUUCUGGAGAUAGCUCAGUGUUCAUGUUUUGUUGUCCUUUACCUGUACUUCAUGCUCAUGCCUUUUGUUCUUAUGUUGGGGUGCUGUAGCUUGUUGUUUUGAUGCUUGUAAGAUGCCUAGUUGCUGUUAUGGACAGAUUGUUUCUAUAACUUGUAUAGAGUGCAUGUGUUGAACCGUUGCUCUGUUUUGAGUGUGCUCUAUAUGAAACUUGCUUGAUUUUGCAUGUAGUUUCAUAUUAUCAUGUUGCAUCCUUGUUUUGAGUUGUUAGCUUGAUGUUUGUAUGCAUUUUGCAUGGAUGCCAUGUUUAACUUGUUUUGCUCAUAUCUUCUAGGCCGUAGCUCCAAAUCUAAUGAACUUUAUAUGUAACUUGACUAUAAUUUCGUGUAGAUCCUCUUGGUGCUCUUUAACUUGCUGUUUAACAACUUGAACAUAAGGUUUGUUCAGAUCUGGACCAAUUUCGAAAUUUGCAUAUGUGGACUUACCGGAAUUGUUAUAUGUUGUUUCCGGCCUCAUUUAAACUUGCCUUGAUGUGUUGUUCUUGUUUGCAUCAUCUCUUGACAUGAGUAGCUUCAUGUAGCCUUGUCAUGCAUCAUGCUUGUGUGCAUCAUGUCUUGUUCAUGUGUGGUGUGUUUACUAUGUUGUGUGCUUCUUUUCGAUAGUUCAUGUUUCGUUGCGAUCGUGAGGAUUCGUUCGUCUACGCUUGGUUCGUCUUCGUGGCUUCAUCUUCUUCAUGGAAUCGUUCUUCUUCCUUGCGGGAUUUCAGGCAAGAUGACCGCUACCCUGGAUCUCACUACUAUCAUUGCUAUGCUAGUUGCUUCGUUCUAUCGCUAUGUUGUGUUACCUAUCAUUUGCUCUUCAAGCCUCCCAGAUUGCCAUGAACCUCUAACCUUUGACACCAUUCCUAGCAAACCGUUGUUUGGCUAUGUUACCGCUUUGCUCAGACCUCUUAUAGCGUUGCUAGUUGCAGGUGAAGUUGAAGAUUUCUGCAUGGUGGACAGGAUUUUGGUUGGGAUAUCACAAUAUCUCUUAUAUUAUUAAUGCAUCUAUAUAUUUGGUAAAGGGUGGAAGGCUCGGCCUUAUGCCUGGUGUUUUGUUCCACUCUUGCCGCCCUAGUUUCCGUCAUAUCGGAGUUAUGUUCCCGGAUUUUGCGUUCCUAACGCGGUCGGGUGAUUUAUGGGACCCCCCUAACAGUUCGCUUUGAAUAAAACUUGUCCAGCAAGGCCCAACCUUGGUUUUACCAUUUGCCUCACCACCACCUACUUUUCCCUUGGGAGUAAUUAACCCAAGGGUCAUCUUUAUUUUAGCCCCCCACCCCCCGGGCCAGUGCUUGUCUAAGUGCUGGUUCGAACCGAGUAGACUGCGGGGCCCCCUCGGGGAAACUCGAGGUCUGGUUUUACUCGUAGGAUGUCUCAUCCGGUGUUGCCCUGAGAAUGAGAUAUGUGUAGCUCCUAUCGGGAUUGUCGGUGCAUCGGGCGGCUUUGCUGGUCUUGUUUUACCAUUGUCGAAAUGUCUUGUAAACCGGGAUUCCGAGACUGAUUGGGUCUUCCUGGGAGAAGGUCUAUUCCUUCGUUGAUCGCGAGAGCUUGUCAUGGGCUAAGUUGGGACACCCCUGCAGGGUUUAAACUUUCGAGAGCCGUGCCCGCGGCUAUGUGGCAGAUGGCAAUUUGUUAAUGUCCGGUUGUAGAUAACUUGACACCUGAUCCGAAUUAAAACGCAUCAACCGAGUGUGUAGCCGUGAUGGUCUCUUCUCUGCGGAGUCCGGGAAGUGAACACGGUUUCUGUGUUAUGUUUAACGUAAGUAGGUGUUCAGGAUCACCUCUUGAUCAUUGCUAGUUGAUGACCGUUCCUUUGCUUCUCUUCUCGCUCUUAUUUGCGUAUGUUAGCUACCAUAUCAUGCUUAGUCGCUGCUGCAACCUCACCACUUUACCCCUUCCUUUCCCAUUAAGCUUUGCUAGUCUUGAUACCCAUGGUAAUGGGAUUGCUGAGUCCUCAUGGCUCACAGAUUACUACCACAACAGUUGCAGGUACAGGUUAUGCGAUGAUCUUGACGUGAGAGCGAUGUUUGCUUGUUUUGAGUUCUUCUUCUGCUUCUUCUUCGAUCAGGGGAUAGGUUCCAGGUCCGCAGCCUGGGCUAGCAGGGUGGAUAUUGGUUGAGUUUCUGUUUAUGUUUCAUCCGUAGUCGGAUGUUGAUCUUGUAUAUGAUGUGAUGUUGUAUUCGUGUGGCAUUGUAUGCCUUUUGUAUGUAUGCCCAACUAUUAUGUAAUGUUUAAUGUAAUGAUAUCCACCUUGCAAAAGCGUUCCAAUAUGCGGGUCUAUCCUUGGUGGGACCUUCGAGUUCCUUUUGGAUAGGGUCACAUAUUGGGCGUGACAUUCAGCCCAUGGGGCCCUCCUGGAUAGGUGGCCCCACCCGGUGAACCCCGGGACCCUUCCGGUGGUCCCGGUACAAUACCGGUGACCUCCGAAACUCCCUCGGUGGCCGAAACUGGACUUCCUAUAUAUAAGUCUUUACCUUCGGACCGUUCUGGAACUCCUCGUGACGUCUGGGAUCUCAUCCGGGACUCCGAACAACUUUUGGUUAACCGCAUACUAAUAUCUCUACAACUCUAGCAUCACCGAACCUUAAGUGUGUAGACCCUAUGGGUUCGGGAGACACGUAGACAUGACCGAGACAACUCUCCAGUCAAUAACCAACAGUGGGAUCUAGAUACCCAUGUUGGCUCCCACAUGCUCCACAAUAAUCUCAUCGGAUGAACCACGAUGUCUAGGAUUCAAUCAAUCCCGUAUACAAUUCCCUUUGUCUAUCGAUACGAUACUUGCCCAAGAUUCGAUUGUCGGUAUACCGGUACCUUGUUCAAUCUCGUUACGACAAGUCUCUUUACUCGUUCCCGUAACAUAUCAUCCCGCGAACAACUCCUUGAUCACAUUGAGCUCAUUAUGAUGAUGUCCUAUCGAGUGGGCCCAGAGAUACCUCUCCAUCAUACGGAGUGACAAAUCCCAGUCUCGAUUCGUGCCAACCCAACAGAUACUUUCGGGGAUACCCGUAGUGUACCUUUAUAGCCAGCCAGUUACAUUGUGAGGUUUGGCACACCCAAAGUACCCUUACGGUAUCUGGGAGUUGCACAAUCUCAUGGUCUAAGGAAAGGAUACUUGACAUUAGAAGAGCUUUAGCAGACGAAUUACACGAUCUUGUGCUAUGCUUAGGAUUGGGUCUUGUCCAUCACAUCAUUAUCCUAAUGAUGUGAUCCCAUUAUCAAUGACAUCAUAUGUCCAUGGUUAGGAAACCGUAACCAUCUAUUGAUCAACGAGCUAGUCAACUAGAGGCUCACUAGGGACAUGUUGUGGUCUAUGUAUACACACAUGUAUUACGAUUUCCGGAUAACACAAGUAUAGCAUGAACAAUAGACAAUUAUCAUGAACAAGGAAAUAUAAUAAUAACCUUUUUAUUAUUGCCUCUAGGGCAUAUUUCCAACAGUCUCCCACUUGCACUAGAGUCAAUAACCUAGUUACAUUGUGAUGAAUUGAACACCCAUAGAGUUCUGGUGUUGAUCCUGCUUUGCACGCAGAAGAGGUUUAGUCAACGGAUCUGCAACAUUCAGGUUCGUAUGCACUUUACAAAUCUCUGUGUCUCCAUCCUAAAAUUUUUCACAAAUGGAGUUGAAGCGACGCUUGAUAUGCCUUGUCUUCUUGUGAAACCUGGGCUCCUUGGCAAGGGUAAUAGCUCCAGUGUUGUCACAGAAGAGAGUCAUCAGGCCCGACGCAUUGCUAAUAACUUGUAGGUCGAUAAUGAACUCCUUCAUCCAAAUUGCUUCAUGUGCUGCCUCCGAGGCUGCCAUGUAGUCCGCUUCACAUGUAGAUCCCGCCAUGAUGCUUUGCUUGCAACUGCACCAGCUGACUGCCCCACCAUUCAAAAUAUACACGUAUCCGGUUUGUGACUUGGAGUCAUCCAGAUCUGUGUCGAAGCUAGCAUCAACGUAAACCUUUACGACGAGCUCUUCGUCACCUCCAUAAAUGAGAAACAUAUCCUGAGUCCUUUUCAGGUACUUCAGGAUAUUCUUGACCGUUGUCCAGUGUUCCAUGCCGGGAUUACUUUGGUACGUUCCCACCAAACUUACGGCAAGGUUUACAUCAGGUCUGGUACACAGCAUGGCAUACAUAAUAGACCCUAUGGCCGAGGCAUAGGGGAUGACACUCAUCUUUUCCCUAUCUUCUGCCGUGGUCAGGCAUUGAGUCGUUCUCAAUCUCACACCUUGCAAUACAGGCAAGAACCCUUCUUGGACUGAUCCAUAUUGAACUUCUUCAAUAUCUUGUCAAGGUACGUGCUUUGUGAAAGACCAAUGAGGCGUCUCGAUCUAUCUCUAUAGAUCUUGAUGCCUAAUAUGUAAGCAGCUUCUCCAAGGUCCUUCAUUGAAAAACACUUAUUCAAGUAGGCCUUUAUGCUUUCCAAGAGUUCUAUAUCAUUUCCCAUCAAUAGUCUGUGAUCCACAUAUAAUAUGAGAAAUGCUACAGAGCUCCCACUCACUUUCUUGUAAACACAGGCCUCUCCAUAAAUCUGCGUAAACCCAAAUGCUUUGAUCAUCUCAUCAAAAUGAAUGUUCCAACUCCGAGAUGCUUGCACCAGCCCAUAGAUCGAGCGUUGGAGCUAGCAUACCUUGUCAGCAUUCUUAGGAUCGACAAAACCUUCCGGCUGCAUCAUAUACAAUUCUUCCUUAAGGAAACCAUUAAGGAAUGUCGUUUUGACGUCCAUUUGCCAUAUCUCAUAAUCAUAGAAUGCGGCAAUUGCUAACAUGAUUCGAACAGACUUCAGCUUCGCUACAGGUGAGAAGGUCUCAUCGUAGUCAACCCCUUGAACUUUUCGAUAACCCUUAGCAACAAGCCGAGCCUUAUAGAUGGUUACAUUACCAUCCGCGUAUGUGUUCUUCUUAAAGAUCCAUUUAUUUUCUAUGGCUCGCCGAUCAUCGGGCAAGUCUGUCAAAGUCCAUACUUCGUUUUCAUACAUGGAUCCUAUCUCGGAUUUCAUGGCUUCAAGCCAUUUGUCGGAAUCCGGGCCCGCCAUCGCUUCUUCAUAGUUCGAAGGUUCACCAUUUUCUAACAACAUGAUUUCCAGGACAGGGUUGCCAUACCACUCUCGUGCAGAACGUGUCCUUGUGGACCUACGAAGUUCAGUAGCAAAUUGAUCUGAAGUUUCAUGAUCAUCAUCAUUAACUUCCUCUCAAGUCGGUGUAGGCACCACAGAAACAUUUUCUUGAGCUGCGCUACUCUCCAGUUCAAGAGGCAAUACUUCAUCAAGUUCUACUUUCCUCCCACUUACUUCUUUCGAGAGAAACUCUUUAUCUAGAAAGGAUCCAUUCUUGGCAACAAAGAUCUUGCCUUCGGAUAUGAGGUAGAAGGUAUACCCAAUAGUUUCCUUAGGGUAUCCUAUGAAGAUGCAUUUUUCCGAUUUGGGUUCGAGCUUUUCAGGUUGAAGUUUCUUGACAUAAGCAUCACAUCCCCAAACUUUCAGAAAUGACAACUUAGGUUUCUUCCCAAACCACAAUUCAUACGUUGUCGUCUCAACGGAUUUCGACGGAGCCCUAUUUAAAGUGAAUGCGGCAGUCUCUAUAGCAUAACCCAAAAUGAUAGCAGUAGAUCGGUAAGAGACAUCAUAGAUCGCACCAUAUCCAAUAGAGUGUGAUUACGGCGUUCGGACACACCAUUAUGCUGAGGUGUUCCAGGCGGCGUGAGUUGUGAAACAAUUCCACAUUUCCUUAAGUGCGUGCCAAAUUCGUGACUCAAAUAUUCUCCCCCACGAUCUGAUCGUAAGAACUUGAUUUUCCUGUCACGUUGAUUCUCAACCUCACUCUGAAAUUCCUUGAACUUUUCAAAGGUCUCAGACUUGUGUUUCAUUAAGUCGACAUACCCAUAUCUACUUAAGUCAUCAGUGAGGGUGAGAACAUAACGAUAACCACCGCGAGCCUCAACGCUCAUUGGACCGCACACAUCAGUAUGUAUGAUUUCCAAUAAGUUGGUUGCUCGCUCCAUUGUUCCGGAGAACGGAGUCUUGGUCAUUUUUCCCAUGAGGUAUGGUUCGCAUGUGUCAAAUGAUUCAUAAUCAAGAGACUCCAAAAGUCCAUCUGCAUGGAGUUUCUUCAUGCGUUUGACACCAAUGUGACCAAGGCGGCAGUGCCACAAGUAUGUGGGACUAUCAUUAUCAACCUUACAUCUUUUGGCAUUCACACUGUGAAUAUGUGUUUCAUCACGUUCGAGAUUCAAUAAGAAUAAACCAUUGACCAGCGGGGCAUGACCAUAAAACAUGUCUCUCAUAUAAAUAGAACAACUAUUAUUCUCAGAUUUAAAUGAGUAGCCAUCUCGCAUUAAACGAGAUCCAGAUACAAUGUUCAUGCACAAAGCUGGUACUAAAUAACAAUUAUUGAGGUUUAAAACUAAUCCCGUAGGUAAAUGUAGAGGUAGCAUGCCGACGGCGAUCACAUCGACCUUGGAACCAUUCCCGACGCGCAUCGUCACCUUGUCCUUCGCCAGUCUCCGCUUAUUCCGCAGCUCCUGUUUUGUGUUACAAAUAUGAGCAACCGCACCGGUAUCAAAUACCCAGGAGCUACUACGAGCGCUGGUUAGGUACACAUCAAUAACAUGUAUAUCACAUAUACCUUUGGUAUUGCCGGCCUUAUUAUCUCCUAAGUACUUGGGGCAGUUCCGCUUCCAGUGACCAUUUCCCUUGCAAUAAAAGCACUCAGUCUCAGGCUUGGGUCCAUGCUUUGGCUUCUUCCCGGCAACUGGCUUACCGGGCACGGCAACUCCCUUGCCGUCCUUCUUGAAGUUCUUCUUACCCUUGCCUUUCUUGAACUUAGUGGUUUUAUUCACCAUCAACACUUGAUGUUCCUUUUUCAUCUCCACCUCUGCUGAUUUCAGCAUUGAAUAUACCUCAGGAAUGGUCUUUUCCAUCCCCUGCAUAUUGAAGUUCAUCACAAAGCUCUUGUAGCUAAGUGGGAGCGACUGAAGGAUUUUGUCAACGGCCGCAUCAUCCGGGAGAUUAACUCCCAGCUGAGAUAAGCGGUUGUGCAACCCAGACAUUUUGAGUAUGUGCUCGCUGACAGAACUAUUCUCCUCCAUCUUAAAACUGUAGAACUUGUCGGAGACUUCAUAUCUCUCGACCCAGGCAUGAGCUUGUAAAACCAUUUUCAGCUCUUGGAACAUCUCAUAUGCUCCGUGUUGCUCAAAACGCUUUUGGAGCCCCGGUUCUAAGCUGUAAAGCAUGCCGCACUGAACCAGGGAGUAAUCAUCACUACGUGACUGCCAGGCGUUCAUAAUGUCUUGAGUUGCUGCGAAAACAGGUGCUUCACCUAGCGGUGCAUCAAGGACAUAUGCUUUCUUGGCAGCUAUGAGGAUAAUCCUCAGGUUACGGACCCAGUCCGUGUAGUUGCUACCAUCAUCUUUCAGCUUGGUUUUCUCUAGGAACGCGUUGAAGUUGAGGGCAACAUUAGCAUGGGCCAUUUGAUCUACAAGACAUAUUGCAAAGUUUUAGACUAUGUUCAUGAUAAUUAAGUUCAUCUAAUCAAAUUAUUUAAUGAACUCCCACUCAGAUAGACAUCCCUCUAGUCAUCUAAGUGAUACAUGAUACGAGUCAACUAGGCCAUGUCCGAUCAUCAUGUGAGACGGGCUAGUCAUCAUUGGUGAACAUCUUCAUGUUGAUCGUAUCUUCUAUACGACUCAUGUUCGACCUUUAGGUCUUCCGUGUUCCGAGGCCAUGUCUGUACAUGCUAGGCUCGUCAGGUCAACCUAAGUGUAUUGCGUGUGUAAAUCUGGCUUACACCCGUUGUAUGCGAAUGUUAGAACCUAUCACACCCGAUCAUCACGUGGUGCUUCGGAACAACGGACCUUAGCAACGGUGCACAGUUAGGGGGAACACAAUUCUUGAUAUUUUAAUGAGGGAUCCUCUUAUUUAUUGAAGGAAAUAUGCCCUAGAGGCAAUAAUAAAGUUAUUAUUUAUUUCCUUAUAUCAUGAUAAAUGUUUAUUAUUCAUGCUAGAAUUGUAUUAACCGGAAACAUAAUACAUGUGUGAAUACAUAGACAAACAGAGUGUCACUAGUACGCCUCUACUUGACUAGCUUGUUAAUCAAAGAUGGUUAUGUCUCCUAGAAAUAGACAUGUGUUGUCAUUUGAUUAACGGGAUCACAUCAUUAGGAGAAUGAUGUGAUUGACAUGACCCAUUCCGUUAGCUUAGCACACGAUCGUUUAGUAUGUUGUUAUUGCUUUCUUCAUGACUUAUACAUGUUCCUAUGACUAUGAGAUUAUUCAACUCCCGUUUACCGGAGGAACACUUUGUGUGCUACCAAAUGUCACAACGUAACUUGGUGAUUAUAAAGGUGCUCUACAGGUGUCUCCAAAGGUACAUGUUGAAUUGGCAUAUUUCGAGAUUAGGAUUUGUCACUCCGAUUGUCGGAGAGGUAUCUCUGGGCCCACUCGGUAAUGCACAUCACUUAAGCCUUGCAAGCAUUGCAACUAAUGAGUUGGUUGCGGGAUGAUGUAUUACGGAACGAGUAAAGGGACUUGCCGGUAACGAGAUUGAACUAGGUAUUAAGAUACCGACGAUCGAAUCUCGGGCAAGUAACAUACCGAUGACAAAGGGAACAACAUAUGUUGUUAUGCGGUCUGACCGAUAAAGAUUUUUGUAGAAUAUGUGGGAGCCAAUAUGACCAUCCAGGUUCUGCUAUUGGUUAUUGACCGGAGACGUGUCUCGGUCAUGUCUACAUUGUUCUCGAACCCGUAGGGUCCGCACGCUUAACGUUACGAUGACAGUUUCAUUAUGAGUUCAUAUUUUUUGAUGUACCGAAGGUUGUUCAGAGUCCCGGAUGUGAUCACGGACAUGACGAGGAGUCUCGAAAUGGUCGAGACAUGAAGAUUGAUAUAUUGGAAGCCUAUGUUUGGACAUCGGAAGUGUUCCGGGUGAAAUCGGCAUUUUACCGGAGUACCGGGAGGUUACCGGAACCCCCCGGUAACCUAAUGGGCCUUAAUGGGCCUAGUGGAGGUAGAGGAGAGGAGGCCAAGGGGCAGCCGCGCACCCCUCCCACCCAAGUCCGAAUUGGACAAGGAGGGGGCGGCCCCCCCUUUCCUUUCCCCUCUCUCUCUCUCCUUCCCCCCCAAGUCCUAGUCCAACACGGAAAAGGGGGGGUCCUACUCCCGGUAGGAGUAGGACUCCUCCUGGCGCGCCCCUUGCCUGGCCGCACCUCCUCCCCCUUGCUCCUUUAUAUACGGGGGCAGGGGGCACCCCAUAGACACAACAAUUAAUCAUUGAUCUCUUAGCCGUGUGCGGUGCCCCCCUCCACCAUAAUCCUCGAUAAUAUUGUAGCGGUGCUUAGGCGAAGUCCUGCGACGGUAGAACAUCAAGAUCGUCAUCACGUCGUCAUGCUGACGGAACUCUUCCCCGACAUUCUGCUGGAUCGGAGUCUGGGGACCGUCAUCGAGCUGAACGUGUGCUAGAACUCGGAGGUGCUGUAGUUUCGGUGCUUGAUCGGUCGGGCCGUGAAGACGUACGACUACAUCAACCGCAUUGUCAUAACGCUUCCGCUUUCGGUCUACGAGGGUACGUGUACAACACUCUCCCCUCUCGUUGCUAUGCAUCGCCAUGGUCUUGCGUGUGCGUAGGAAUUUUUUUGAAAUUACUACGUUCCCCAACAGUGGUAUCAGAGCCUGGUUUUAUGCGUUGAUGUUAUAUGCACGAGUAGAACACAAGUAAGUUGUGGACGAUACAAGUCAUACUGCUUACCAGCAUGUCAUACUUUGGUUCGGCGGUAUUGUUGGAUGAAGCGGCCCGGACCGACAUUACGCGUACGCUUACGCGAGACUGGUUCUACCGACGUGCUUUGCACAUAGGUGGCUGGCGGGUGUCAGUUUCUCCAACUUUAGUUGAACCGAGUGUGGCUACGCCCGGUCCUUGCGAAGGUUAAAACAGCACCAACUUGACAAACUAUCGUUGUGGUUUUGAUGCGUAGGUAAGAACGGUUCUUGCUAAGCCCGUAGCAGCCACGUAAAACUUGCAACAACAAAGUAGAGGACGUGUAACUUGUUUUUGCAGGGCAUGUUGUGAUGUGAUAUGGUCAAGACGUGAUGCUAUAUUUUAUUGUAUGAGAUGAUCAUGUUUUGUAACUGAGUUAUCGGCAACUGGCAGGAGCCAUAUGGUUGUUGCUUUAUUGUAUGCAAUGCAAUCGCCCUAUAAUGAUUUACUUUAUCACUAAGCGGUAGCGAUAGUCGUAGAAGCAUAAGAUUGGCGAGACGACAACGAUGCUAUGAUGGAGAUCAAGGUGUCGCGCCGGUGACGAUGGUGAUCAUGACGGUGCUUCGGAGAUGGAGAUCACAAGCACAAGAUGAUGAUGGCCAUAUCAUAUCACUUAUAUUGAUUGCAUGUGAUGUUUAUAUUUUAUGCAUCUUAUCUUGCUUUGAUUGACGGUAGCAUUAUAAGAUGAUCUCUCACUAAAUUUCAAGAUAAAAGUGUUCUCCCUGAGUAUGCACCGUUGCCAAAGUUCGUCGUGCCCAGACACCACGUGAUGAUCGGGUGUGAUAAGCUCUACGUCCAUCUACAACGGGUGCAAGCCAGUUUUGCACACGCAGAAUACUCAGGUUAAACUUGACGAGCCUAGCAUAUGCAGAUAUUGCCUCGGAACACUGAGACCGAAAGGUCGAGCGUGAAUCAUAUAGUAGAUAUGAUCAACAUAGUGAUGUUCACCAUUGAAAACUACUCCAUUUCACGUGAUGAUCGGUUAUGGUUUAGUUGAUUUGGAUCACGUGAUCACUUAGAGGAUUAGAGGGAUGUCUUUCUAAGUGGGAGUUCUGAAGUAAUAUGAUUAAUUGAACUUAAAUUUAUCAUGAACUUAGUACCUGAUAGUAUUUUGCUUGUCUAUGUUUGAUUGUAGAUAGACGGCUCGUGUUGUUGUUCCGUUGAAUUUUAAUGCGUUCCUUGAGAAAGCAAAUUUGAAAGAUGAUGGUAGCAAUUACACGGACUGGGUCCGUAACUUGAGGAUUAUCCUCAUUGCUGCACAGAAGAAUUACGUCCUGGAAGCACCGCUGGGUGCCAGGCCUACUGCUGGAGCAACACCAGAUGUUAUGAACGUCUGGCAGAGCAAAGCUGAUGACUACUCAAUAGUUCAGUGUGCCAUGCUUUACGGCUUAGAACCGGGUCUUCGACGACAUUUUGAACGUCAUGGAGCAUAUGAGAUGUUCCAGGAGUUGAAGUUAAUAUUUCAAGCAAAUUCCCGGAUUGAGAGAUAUGAAGUCUCCAAUAAGUUCUAUAGUUGCAAGAUGGAGGAGAACAUUUCUGUCAAUGAGCAUAUACUCAAGAUGUGUGGGUAUAAUAAUCACUUGAUUCAACUGGGAGUUAAUCUUUCGGAUGAUAGCGUCAUUGAUAGAAUUCUCCAAUCACUCCCACCAAGCUACAAGAGCUUCGUGAUGAACUAUAAUAUGCAAGGGAUGGAAAAGACGAUUCCUGAGCUCUUCGCAAUGCUAAAGGCUGCGGAGGUAGAAAUCAAAAAGGAGCAUCAAGUGUUGAUGGUCAAGAAGACCACUAGUUUCAAGAAAAAGGGCAAAGGGAAGAAGAAGGGUAACUUCACGAAGAACAGCAAGCAAGUUGCUGCUCAGGAGAAGAAACCCAAGUCUGGACCUAAGCUUGAAACUGAGUGUUUCUACUGCAAGCAGACUGGUCACUGGAAGCGGAACUGCCCCAAGUAUUUGGCGGAUAAGAAGGAUGGCAAGGUGAACAAAGGUAUAUGUGAUAUACAUGUUAUUGAUGUGUACCUUACUAGAGCUCGCAGUAGCACCUGGGUAUUUAAUACUGGUUCUGUUGCUAAUAUUUGCAACUCGAAUUAGGGACUACGGAUUAAGCGAACACUGGCAAAGGACGAGGUGACGAUGCGCGUGGGAAAUGGUUCCAAAGUCGAUGUGAUCGCGGUCGGCAAGCUACCUCUACAUCUACCUUCGGGAUUAGUUUUAGACCUAAAUAAUUGUUAUUUGGUGCCAGCGUUGAGCAUGAACAUUAUAUCUGGAUCUUGUUUGAUGCGAGACGGUUAUUCAUUUAAAUUAGAGAAUAAUGGUUGUUCUAUUUAUAUGAGUAAUAUCUUUUAUGGUCAUGCACCCUUGAAGAGUGGUCUAUUUUUGAUGAAUCUCGAUAGUAGUGAUACACAUAUUGAUAAUGAUAGUGCAACUUAUUUGUGGCACUGCCGUUUAGGUCAUAUCGGUGUAAAGCGCAUGAAGAAACUCCAUACUGAUGGACUUUCGGAACCACUUGAUUAUGAAUCACUUGGUACUUGUGAACCGUGCCUCAUGGGCAAGAUGACUAAAACACCGUUCUCCGGUACUAUGGAGAGAGCAACAGAUUUGUUGGAAAUCAUACAUACAGAUGUAUGUGGUCUGAUGAAUGUUGAGGCUCGUGGCGGAUAUCGUUUAUUUCUCACCUUCACAGAUGAUUUAAGCAGAUAUGGGUAUAUCUACUUAAUGAAACAUAAGUAUGAAACAUUUGAAAAGUUCGAAGAUUUUCAGAGUGAAGUUGAAAAUCAUCAUAACAAGAAAAUAAAGUUUCUACGAUCUGAUCGUGGAGGAGAAUAUUUGAGUUACGAGUUUGGUCUACAUUUGUAACAAUGCGGAAUAGUUUCGCAACUCACGCCACCCGGAACACAACAGCGUAAUGGUGUGUCCGAACGUCGUAAUCAUACUUUACUUGAUAUGGUACGAUCUAUGAUGUCUCUUACUGAUUUACCGCUAUCAUUUUGGGGUUAUGCUUUAGAGACAGCUGCAUUCACGUCAAAUAGGGCACCAUCAAAAUCCGUUGAGACGACGCCUUAUGAACUGUGGUUUGGCAAGAAACCAAAUUUGUCGUUUCUGAAAGUUUGGGGCUGCGAUGCUUAUGUGAAAAAGCUUCAACCUGAUAAGCUCGAACCCAAAUCGAAGAAAUGUGUCUUCAUAGGAUACCCAAAGGAAACUGUUGGGUAUAGCUUCUAUCACAGAUCCGAAGGCAAGACAUUCGUUGCUAAGAAUGGAUCCUUUCUAAAGAAGGAGUUUCUCUCGAAAGAAGUGACUGGGAGGAAAGUAGAACUUGACGAGGUAACUGUACCUGCUCCCUUAUUGGAAAGUAGUUCAUCGCAUAAACCAGUUUCUGCGACACCUACACCAAUUAGUGAGGAAGUUAAUGAUGCUGAUCAUGAAACUUCAGAUCAAGUAAUUACUGAACCUCGUAGAUCAACUAGAGUAAGAUCCGCACCAGAGUGGUACGGUAAUCCUGUUCUAGAAGUCAUGUUACUAGACCAUGAUGAACCUACGAACUAUGAAGAAGCGAUGGUGAGCCCAGAUUCCGCAAAAUGGCUUGAGGCCAUGAAAUCUGAGAUGGGAUCCAUGUAUGAGAACAAAGUGUGGACUCUGGUUGACUUGCCCGAUGAUCGGCAAGCAAUUGAGAAUAAAUGGAUCUUCAAGAAGAAGACUGACGCUGACAGUAAUGUUACUGUCUACAAAGCUCGACUUGUCGCAAAAGGUUUUCGACAAGUUCAAGGGAUUGACUACGAUAAGACCUUCUCACCCGUAGCGGUGCUUAAGUCUGUCCGAAUCAUGUUAGCGAUUGCCGCAUUUUAUGAUUAUGAAAUAUGGCAGAUGGAUGUCAAAACUGCAUUCCUGAACAGGUUUCUAGAAACAGAGUUGUAUAUGAUGCAACCGGGAGGUUUUGUCGAUCCAAAGGGAGCUAACAAAGUGUGCAAGCUCCAGCGAUCUAUUUAUGGACUGGUGCAACCCUCUCGGAGUUGGAAUAAACGCUUUGAUAGUGUGAUCAAAGCAUUUGGUUUUAUACAGACUUUUGGAGAAGCCUGUAUUUACAAGAAAGUGAAAGGGAGCUCUGUAGCAUUUCUGGUAUUAUAUGUGGAUGACAUAUUGCUGAUCGAAAAUGAUAUAGAAUUUCUGGAUAGCAUAAAGGGAUACUUGAAUAGGAGUUUUUCAAUGAAAGACCUCGGUCAAGCUGCUUACAUAUUGGACAUUAAGAUCUAUAGAGAUAGAUCAAGACGCUUAAUUGGACUUUCACAAAGCACAUACCUUGACAAAGUUUUGAAGAAGUUCAAAAUGGAUCAGGCAAAGAAAGGGUUCUUGCGUGUGUUACAAGGUGUGAAGUUGAGUAAGACUCAAUGCCCGACCACUCCAGAAGAUAGAGAGAAGAUGAAAGAUGUUCCCUAUGCUUCAGCCAUAGGCUCUAUCAUGUAUGCAAUGUUGUGUACUAGACCUGAUGUGUGCCUUGCUAUAAGUCUAUCAGCGAGGUACCAAAGUAAUCCAGGAGUGGAUCACUGGACAGCAGUCAAGAACAUCCUGAAAUACCUGAAAAGGACUAAGAAUAUGUUUCUCGUAUAUGGAGGUGACAAAGAGCUCAUCGUAAAUGGUUACGUUGAUGCAAGCUUUGACACUGAUCUGGACGAUUCUAAAUCGCAAACCCGAUACAUGUUUACAUUGAACAGUGAAGCUGUCAGAUGGUGUAGUUCUAAACAAAGCGUCGUGGCGGGAUCUACAUGUGAAGUGGAGUACAUAGCUGCUUCGAAAGCAGCAAAUGAAGGAGUCUGGAUGAAGGAGUUCAUAUCCGAUCUAGGUGUCAUACCUAGUGCAUAAUGAAAAUCUUUUGUGACAAUACUGGUGCAAUUGCCUUGGCAAAGGAAUCCAGAUUUCACAAGAGAACCAAGCACAUCAAGAGACACUUCAAUUCCAUUCGGGAUUUAGUCCAAGUGGGAGACAUAGAAAUUUGCAAGAUACAUACGGAUCUGAAUGUAGCAGACCCGUUGACUAAGCCUCUUCCACGAGCAAAACAUGAUCAACACCAAAGCUCCAUGGGUGUUAGAAUCAUUACUGUGUAAUCUAGAUUAUUGACUCUAGUGCAAGUGGGAGACUGAAGGAAAUAUGCCCUAGAGGCAAUAAUAAAGUUAUUAUUUAUUUCCUUAUAUCAUGAUAAAUGUUUAUUAUUCAUGCUAGAAUUGUAUUAACCGGAAACAUAAUACAUGUGUGAAUACAUAGACAAACAGAGUGUCACUAGUAUGCCUCUACUUGACUAGCUUGUUAAUCAAAGAUGGUUAUGUUUCCUAGCCAUAGACAUGUGUUGUCAUUUGAUUAACGGGAUCACAUCAUUGGGAGAAUGAUGUGAUUGACAUGACCCAUUCCGUUAGCUUAGCACACGAUCGUUUAGUAUGCUGCUAUUGCUUUCUUCAUGACUUAUACAUGUUCCUAUGACUAUGAGAUUAUGCAACUCCCGUUUACCGGAGGAACACUUUGUGUGGUACAAACGACACAACGUAACUGGGUGAUUAUAAAGGUGCUCUACAGGUGUCUCCAAAGGUACAUGUUGAGUUGGCGUAUUUCGAGAUUAGGAUUUGUCACUCUGAUUGUCGGAGAGGUAUAUCUGGGCCCACUCGGUAAUGCACAUCACUUAAGCCUUGCAAGCAUUGCAACUAAUGAGUUGGUUGCGGGAUGAUGUAUUACGCAACGAGUAAAGAGACUUGCCGGUAACGAGAUUGAACUAGGUACUAACAUUCUGACGAUCGAAUCUCGGGCAAGUAACAUACCGAUGACAAAGGGAACAAUGUAUGUUGUUAUGCGGUCUGACCGAUAAAGAUCUUCGUAGAAUAUGUGGGAGCCAAUAUGAGCAUCCAGGUUCCGCUAUUGGUUAUCGACCGGAGACGUGUCUCGGUCAUGUCUACAUUGUUCUCGAACCCGUAGGGUCCGCAUGCUUAACGUUACGAUGACAGUUUCAUUAUGAGUUUAUAUGUUUUGAUGUACCGAAGGUUUUUCGGAGUCCCGUAUGUGAUCACGGACAUGACGAGGAGUCUCGAAAUGGUCGAGACAUGAAGAUUGAUAUAUUGGAAGCCUAUGUUUGGACAUCAGAAGUGUUCCGGGUGAAAUCGGCAUUUUACGGGAGUACCGGGAGGUUACCAGAACCCCCCGGUAACCUAAUGGGCCUUAAUGGGCCUAGUGGAGGAAGAGGAGAGGAGACCAAGGGGCAGCCGCGCGCCCCUCCCACCCAAGUCCGAAUUGGAUAAGGAGGGGGGGCGGCGCCCCCCCCUUUCCUUUCCCCUCUCUCUCCCCUUCCCCCCAAGUCCUAGUCCAACAUGGAAAAGGGGGGAGUCCUACUCCCGGUAGGAGUAGGACUCCUCCUGGUGCGCCCCUUGCCUGGCCGCACCUCCUCCCCCUUGCUCCUUUAUAUACGGGGGCAGGGGGCACCACAUAGACACAACAAUUAAUCAUUGAUCUCUUAGCCGUGUGCGGUGCCCCCCUCCACCAUAAGCCUCGAUAAUAUUGUAGCGGUGCUUAGGCGAAGCCCUGCGACGGUAGAACAUCAAGAUCGUCAUCACGUACCGUCGUGUUGACAGAACUCUGCCCCGACAUUCUGCUGGAUCGCAGUCCGGGGAUCUUCAUCCAGCUGAACGUGUGCUAGAACUCGGAGGUGCCGUAGUUUCGGUGCUUGAUCGGUCGGGCCGUGAAGACGUACGACUACAUCAACCACGUUGUCAUAACGCUUCCCCUUUCGGUCUACGAGGGUACGUGGACAACACUCUCCCCUCUCAUUGCUAUGCAUCACCAUGAUCUUGCGUGUGCGUAGGAUUUUUUUUGAAAUUACUACGUUCCCCAACAUUUAUGCUACCGUCGUUCUAAACAAAUAAGAUGUAAAAACAUGAUAAACAUCACAUGCAAUCAAAUAUUGACAUGAUAUGGCCAAUAUCAUUUUGCUCCUUUUGAUCUCCAUCUUUGGGGCGCCAUGAUCAUCAUCGUCACCGGCUUGACACCAUGAUCUCCAUCAUCAUGAUCCUUGUCAUCGUGUCUUCAUGAAGUUGUCUCGUCAACUAUUACUUCUACUACUAUGGCUAACGGUUUAGCAAUAAAGUAAAGUAAUUACAUGACGUUUAUGUUGACACGCAGGUCAUAAAUAAAUUAAAACAACUCCUAUGGCUCCUGCCGGUUGUCAUACUCAUCGACAUGCAAGUCGUGAUUCCUAUUACAAGAACAUGAUCAAUCUCAUGCAUCACAUAUAUCAUUCAUCACAUCCUUUUGGCCAUAUCACAUCACAUGGCAUAUGCUGCAAAAACAAGUUAGACGUACUCUAAUUGUUGUUGCAAAUUUUUUUACGUGGCUGCUAUAGGUUUCUUAGCAAGAACGUUUCUUACCUACGCCAAAACCACAACGUGAUAUGCCGAUUUCCAUUUACCCUUUAUAAGGACCCUUUUCAUCGAAUCCGAUCCGACUGAAGUGGGAGAGACAGACACCCGCUAGCCACCUUAUGCAACUAGUGCAUGUCAGUCGGUGGAACCUGUCUCACGUAAGCAUACGUGUAAGGUCGGUCCGGGCCGCUUCAUCCCAUGAUGCCGCCGAAUCAAGAUAAGACUAGUAACGACAAGUAAAUUGACAAAAUCGACACCCACAACAACUUGUGUUCUACUCGUGCAUAGAAACUACGCAUAGACCUAGCUCAUGACGCCACUGUUGGGGAUCGUAGCGGAAAUUUAAAGUUUUCUACACAUCACCACGAUCAAUCUAUGGAGUCAUCUAGCAACGAUAGAGACAGGAGUGCAUCUACAUACCCUUGUAGAUCGCGAGCAGAAGCGUUCAAGAGAACGGGGUUGAUCGAGUCGUACUCGUCGUGAUCCAAAUCACCGAUGAUCCUAGCGCCGAACGGAUGGCACCUCCGCGUUCUACACACGUACAGAGCGGAGACAUCUCCUCCUUCUUGAUCCAGCAAGGGGGAAGGAGAAGUUGAUGGAGAUCCAGCAGCACGGCGGCGUGGUGGUGGAAGCAGCGGGAUUUCAGCAGGGCUUCUUCAAGCGCUACUGGAGGAGGAAGAGGUGUCACGGGAGGGAGAGGGAGGCGCCAGGGCUUAGGGUGCGGCUUCCCUCCCUCCCCUCCACUAUAUAUAGGGGCUAGGGGGCGCAUGCCCCUUGCAAAUCCCAUCUAGAGGGGGGAGGCGGCGGCCCCCAGGGCAGCGGCCCCUCGGGGGCAACGACCCCCUUAGGGUUUCCAACCAGGGGGCGCAUGCCCCCUCGGGUUUCCAACCUUAGGCGCCUUGGGCCCUUGGUUGGGGUGCACCAGCCCACCCGGGGCUGGUUCCCACGCCAUCCCAUGGGGCCCUCCGGGAUAGGUGGCCCCACCCGGUGAACCCCCGGGACCCUUCCAGUGGUCCCGAUACAAUACCGGUGACCCCCGAAACUCUCCCGGUGGCCGAAACUGGACUUCCGAUAUAUAAAUCUUUACCUCCGGACCAUUCCGGAACUCCUCGUGAUGUCCGGUAUCUCAUCGGGAACUCCGAACAACUUUCGGUUAACUGCAUACUAAUAUCUCUAUAACUCUAGCGUCACCGAACCUUAAGUGUGUAGACCCUACGGGUUCGGGAGACACGUAGACUUGACCGAGACAACUCUCCGGUCAAUAACCAACAGUGGGAUCUGGAUACCCAUGUUGGCUCCCACAUGCUCCAUGAUAAUCUCAUCGGAUGAACCACGAUGUCGAGGAUUCAAUCAAUCCCGUAUACAGUUCCCUUUGUCUAUCGGUACGAUACUUGCCCGAGAUUCGAUCGUCGGUAUACCGAUACCUUGUUCAAUCUCGUUACGGCAAGUCUCUUUACUCGUUCCCGUAACACAUCAUCCCGUGAACAACUCCGUGAUCACAUUGAGCUCAUUAUGAUGAUGUCCUACCGAGUGGGCCCAGAGAUACCUCUCUGUCAUACGGAGUGACAUAUCCCAGUCUCGAUUCGUGCCAACCCAAUAGAUACUUUCGGGUAUACCCGUAGUGUACCUUUAUAGCCACCCAGUUACGUUGUGACGUUUUGUCACACCCAAAGUACCCUUACGGUAUCGGGGAGUUGCACAAUCUCAUGGUCUAAGGAAAGGAUACUUGACAUUAGAAAAGCUUUAGCAGACGAAUUACACGAUCUUGUGCUAUGCUUAGGAUUGGGUCUUGUCCAUCACAUCAUUAUCCUAAUGAUGUGAUCCCAUUAUCAAUGACAUCCUAUGUCCAUGGUUAGGAAACCGUAACCAUAUAUUGAUCAACGAUCUAGUCAACUAGAGGCUCACUAGGGACAUGUUGUGGUCUAUGUAUUCACACAUGUAUUACGGUUUCCGGAUAACACAAUUAUAGAAUGAAAAUAGACAAUUAUCAUGAACAAGGAAAUAUAAUAAUAACCUUUUUAUUAUUGCCUCUAGGGCAUAUUUCCAACACAAGUAAGGGCAGCACCCAAGCACCGGUCCACCCACAUAUCAAAUUAUCAAAGUACCAAACGCGAAUCAUAUGAACAUGAUGAAAACUAGCUUGAUGACAAUUCCCAUGUGUCCUCGGGAGCGUUUUCCUUUAUAUAAGAAAUUGUCCAGGCUUGUCCUUUGCUACAAAAAGGAUUGGGCCACCUUGCUGCACCUUAUUUACUUUUAUUACUUGUUGCUCGUUACCAUUUACCUUAUCACAAAACUAUGUGUUACCGAUAAUUUCAGUGCUUGCAGAGAAUACCUUACUGAAAACCGCUUGUCAUUUCCUUCUGCUCCUUGUUGGGUUCGACACUCUUACUUAUCGAAAGGACUACGGUAGAUCCCCUAUACUUGUGGGUCAUCAAGACUCUUUUCUGGCGCCGUUGCCGGGGAGUGAAGCGCCUUUGGUGAGUGGAACUUGGUAAGGAAAAAUUUAUAUAGUGUGCUGAAAUUUACUGUCACUUGUUACUAUGGAAAGUAAUCCUUUGAGGGGCUUGUUCGGAGUAUCUUCACCCCGUCCAGAAGAGCAAAGAGUUGCUCCUCAACCUACUGAACCUUUUGAAAAUGUUUGCUUUGAAAUUCCUUCGGGUAUGUUAGAGAAACUGCUAGCUAAUCCUUUUGCAGGAGAUGGAACAAUGCAUCCCGAUUUACACCUAAUCUAUGUGGAUGAAGUUUGUGGAUUAUAUAAGCUUGCAGGUAUACCCGAUGAUGUUAUUAAGAGGAAGGUUUUCCCUUUAUCUUUGGAGGGAGACGCAUUGACAUGGUACAGGCUAUGUGAUGAUACGGGAUCCUGGGACUAUAAACGAUUGAAAUUGGAAUUUCACCAGAAGUUUUAUCCUAUGCAUCUUGUUCAUCAUGAUCGCAAUUAUAUAUAUAAUUUUUGGCCUCGUGAAGGAGAAAUCAUCGCUCAAGCUUGGGGGAGGCUUAAAUCAAUGUUAUAUUCAUGCCUGAAAGCACAAGUGCUCCCUGGGUGGUUUUGGUAAUUAAUGUCAACAUAUCUCUUGUUGGACUAACACAUUUACCUAGUAUGUUUCAGAGAAGUUCAACAAUGGAGUGGCAUGGACAAGAGGAUGUGGAACCCUUCAAGAUGCUAAGGACAAAGGAUUGACGCAAGCUUCAAGAUCAAGACUCUACAUUUUCUAUUUUAGUGAUCCAAGAUCACAUUGAGUCUAUAGGAAAAGCCAAUACUAUCAAGAGGGGAUGAGGUGUUGCUUAAUGGCUUGCUUGCUCAAAGUGCUUAGUGAUAUGCUCCAAAACCCUCAACUACCUUUCCACAUCCACAUAUGACCUAAACCAAAAGUCAAACUCGGCCCCACCGAUUCUUUCUAUCCGGCGCCACCGAGUUUCAGAUGUCAUAGCCACUUCCACAAACCCUAGGCAAAUCGGUUUCACCGAUAGGGAUCUCGGUCUCACCGAGAUGGGAUUGUAAUCUCUCUGUGUAUGUCCAUUACCAAAAUCGGUCUCACCGAGUUUGAGUAAUCGGUACUACCCGGUCGAAGCGUACGUAGCGUUCUCAUUCUGGUCGCGAACGUGUACGUACAUACUGGUCGAUUGGUCUAUCUGCAGGCUGCAGCGAUGAACCGUGGCCGUGUAAGGAAGGGCACGUGUGGUAGUAGAGGCGAGCACGUGUGGUAGUAGAGGCGCGCACGUAGCAUGUACACGUACAUACAGCGGCCAUGGUGCAAGAAAAUAAAUACGGCCACGUACGUACAUAUGGGUGUGGUCUCGAACGCCUACUUGCGCAUACGUACGGCCAGGGCUCGUGUACAUGGCUGUCACUGGGUCGGAACGGAGAAACUGCGUCGUCAUCGUGUUCGUGGGGAGGCAACGGAAUGCAUCGUGUUCAAAGGGAGGCAACGGAACGCGUGCUGUUCAUUGGGAGCCAACCGGCUUGGACGGAACAGGCGAUGGAAACGAGGCCCGGCGUACCGCAGAACGGAGGAAACGGCCUUGUGUUCGACCGGCCACGGUGGAAACGGGAUCCUGUUCAUCGGGAGGGGUUUGGCGUACCGCAAAAUGGAGGAAACAAACCUCCUACGGUCGAAACGGGGUCCUGUUGAUCGGGAGGGGUGUGGCGUACCGCAAAACGGAAGAAACGGACUUGUGUUGGAGUGCUACGGUCGAAACGGGGGUCCUGUUCAUCGGGAGGGGUGUGGCGUACCACAAAACGGGACUCCACAGGAUACUGCUCAUCUCCACCGUCGACCUCCUCCAGCCUCCACGGGCUACUGUUCAUCCACCAUCGACCUCCUCCAGCCUCCACCUAUGACUGUUCAUCCACGGGCUCCUGUUCAUCCAGCCUCCACCGCGCGCUCCUCCAUCGGUUACUGUUCAACCAGCCCUCUCCACGGGGGUCCUAUUCAACCACCCCUCCAUGGCCUACUAUUCAUCCAGCCCUCCACCGGCUACUGUUCAACCAACCCUCCACCGGCUACUGUUCAACCAGCCCUCCACGAGGUCCUGUUCAUCCAGCCCUCCACGGGGUCCUGUUCAUCCACCGGCUCGAUCGAUCGGGGUACUGUUCAUCCAGCGGCAACGGCCUCUACUACCACGGGUUCCUGUUCAUCCAAACCCCCCAACAAUGCUCACUAUUCAUCCAGAGGCAGCAUCGAUCAGCUUCAGUUAGCAGCAGUAGCGAAGGAAUCGCUUGAUCGGGUUCAGUUAACAGCCAUCGAUCAAUCGCUCGGGUUCAGUAAUGCGUAGCCUGCAGUGCAAUAGCUCGGGUUCAGUUAGAGCCCAACGCCUCACUCGGGUUCAGUUAGAGCGCAACGCCUCGCACACAUGGGCGUACGUACGAGAGAAACGAGCAUCGCUCGACCCCCGACCACCCACCGUAACCGGGAAAUCCCCCGAUAUUUUCCUCGCCCUCGCUUCUACCACGGUUUUCUCUGUCAUGGACGGCCCAAAGAAUGUCAUGCAGCUGCGUCUCCGGACCGCCCAGGACGAAAAGGCCAGUUCUGUCAUGGUUUUUUGUCAUAGAAGCAGGAGCCCACCACAUAUAUGAUGAUACCGGGUUUUGUCACAAUUAUCAUCAUAGAAGUGUCAUAAGCAUGACAGGAAAAAUAUUCGUUCGGCCCAAAAUGUCAUGGAUGUGUCUUUUUUUGUAGUGAUACCUACCUAUUAUGGCAUUUCCAUAGCCAUUCCGAGAUAUAAUGCCAUGCAACUUUCCACCGUUCCGUUUAUUACGACAUGUUCCAUCAUUGUCAUAUUGCUUUGCAUGAUCAUGUAGUUGACAUCAUAUUUCUGGCAAAGCCACCCUUCAUAAUUUUUCAUACAUGUCACUCUUGAUUCAUUGCACAUCCCGAUACACCGCCGGAGGCAUUCAUAUAGAGUCAAAUUUUUUUCUAGGUAUUGAGUUGUAAAUAAAUAGAAGUGUGAUGAUCUUCAUUAUUAGAGCAUUGUCCCGUGUGAGGAAAUAAAAAAAGAGGGCAAAAGAGUCUCCAAAAAAAAGAGAAAGAGUCUCCAAAAAAAGAAGGGAGUCUCUAAAAAAAGAGAGAAAAAGAGAGAAGGGACAAUGUUACUAUCCUUUUUUCCACACUUGUGCUUCAAAGUAGCACCAUGAUCUUCAUUAUAGAGAGUCUCAUCUUUUGUCACUUUCAUAUACUAGUGGGAAUUUUCGUUAUAGAACUUGGCUUGUAUAUUCCAACGAUGGGCUUCCUCAAAUGCCCUAGGUCUUCGUGAGCAAGCAAGUUGGAUGCACACCUACUUAGUUUCUUUUGUUGAGUUUUCAUACAUUUAUAGCUCUAGUGCAUCCAUUGCAUGGCAAUCCCUACUCACUCACAUUGAUAUCUGUUGAUGGACAUCUCCAUAGCCCAUUAAUAUGCCUAGUUGAUGUGAGACCGUCUUCCUCCUUUUUGUCUUCUCCACAACCACCAUUCUAUUCCACCUAUAGUGCUAUGUCCAUGGCUCACACUCAUGUAUUGCGUGAAAGUUGAAUUUUUUUGAAAAUACUAAAGUAUGAAACAAUUGCUUGGCUAAAACCGGGGUUGUGCAUGAUUUGAAUAUUUUGUCUGACAAAGACGGAGCAUAGCCAAACUAUAUGAUUUUGUAGGGAUGAACUUUCUUUGGCCAUGUUAUUUUGAGAAGACAUGAUUACUUUGUUAGUAUGCUUGAAUUAUUAUUAUUAUUAUGUCAAUAUUAAAAUUUUGUCUUGAAUCUUUCGGAUCUGAACAUUCAUGCCACAAUAAAGAAAAUUACAUUGAUAAAUAUGUUAGGUAGCAUUCCACAUCAAAAAUUCUAUUUUUAUCAUUUACAUACUCGAGGACAAGCAGGAAUUAAGCUUGCGGAUGCUUGAUACGUCUCCAACGUAUCUAUAAUUUUUUAUUGUUCCAUGCUAUUAUAUUUUCUGUUUUGGAUGUUUAAUGGGCUUUAAUAUGCUCUUUUAUAUCAUUUUUUGGACUAACCUAUUAAACGAAGCCCAGUGUCAGUUUCUGUUUUUUGCCUAUUUCAGUGUUUUGCAGAAAAGGAAUAUCAAACGGAAUCCAAACGGAAUGAAACCUUCGUGAUGAUCUUUCUUGGAACAAACGCAAUCCAGAAGACUUGGAGUUGAAGUCUGGAACUCUGCGAGGCGGCCACGAGGCAGGAGGGCACGCCCAGGGGGUAGGCACGCCCCCAGCCUCGUGGGCCCCAUGAAGCUCCACCGACAUACUUCUUUCCCCUAUAUAUACUCUUAUACCCUAAAAACAUCAAGGGGAGCCACAAAACCACUUUUCCACCGCCGUAACCUUCUAUACCAGUGAGAUCCCAUCUUGGGGCCUCUUUCGGUGCUCUGCCGAAGGGGGAAUCGAUCACGGGGGGCUUCUACAUCAACACCAUAGCCUCUCCGAUGAAGCAUGAGUAGUUUACCACAGACCUUCAGGUCAAUGGUUAUUAGCUAGAUGGCUUCUUCUCUCUCUUUGAUUGUCAAUACAAAGUUCUCCACGAUGUUCUUCGAGAUCUAUUCGAUGUAAUACUCUUUUGCGGCGUGUUUGCCGAGAUCCGAUGAAUUGUGGAUUUAUGAUCAAGUUUAUCUAUGAAUAUUAUUUGGUUCUUCUCUGAAUUCUUAUAUGCAUGCUUUGAUAUCUUUGCAAGUCUCUUCGAAUUAUCAGUUUAGUUUGGCCUUCUAGAUUGAUCUUUCUUGCAAUGGGAGAAGUGCUUAGCUUUGGGUUCAAUCUUGCGGUGUCCUUUCCUAGUGACAGUAGGGGCAGCAAGGCAUAUAUUGUAUUGUUUCCAUCGAGGAUAAAAAGAUGGGGUUUAUAUCAUAUUGCUUGAGUUUAUCCCUCUACAUCAUGUCAUCUUGCUUAAUGCGUUACUCUGUUCUUAUGAACUUAAUACUCUAGAUGCAUGCUGGAUAGCGGUCGAUGUGUGGAGUAAUAGUAGUAGAUGCAGAAUCGUUUCGGUCUACUUGACACGGACGUGCUGCCUAUAUUCAUGAUCAUUUCCUAGAUAUUCUCAUAACUAUGCGCUUUUCUAUCAAUUGCUCGGCAGUAAUUUGUUCACCCACCGUAAUACAUGCUAUCUUGAGAGAAGCCACUAGUGAAACCUAUGCCCCCUGGUCUAUUUUCCAUCAUAUUAUCUUCUAAUUUACAUAAUAUAAGUUUCCGAUCUACAAUUCUAGUUUCCUAUUUGUUUUAUGUUGCAAUCUUUACUUUCCAAUCUAUACAACAAAAAUACCAAAAAUAUUUACUUUACUAUCUCUAUUAGAUCUCACUUUUGCGAGUGACUGUGAAGGGAUUGACAACCCCUUUAUCGCAUUGGUUGCAAGGUUCUUGAUUGUUUGUGAAGGUACAAGGUGACUUGCAUGUUAUCUCCUACUGGAUUGAUACCUUGGUUCUCAAAAACUAAGGGAAAUACUUACGCUACUUUGCUGCAUCACCCUUUCCCUCUUCAAAGGAAAACCAACGCAUGCUCAAGAGGUAGCAGGCAGCCGAUCGUCCCCAAUCGAUUCACCUCCAAUUGUUGGUGACUCGGGAAUCAAUUCAUACUCCAUUAGUAGAGUAGUUGUAACCAAGGAAAAAAUAGCGCUUACAGCAAAAUAGCGGCAGCCUCAGAAUACGCUAUUAGCGUGCUAUAUCGUGUUAUAGCAUGCUAUUAGUGAGACGUUGUACACUAAUUUAUUUAGCGAGACAAUUCUCAAUACGCUAUAGCGUGCUAUUAGCAAUGUUAUAGCGCGCUAUUUUUUCAGUGGUUGUAAUGGGCCAUUAGUGGCAAAUAAAUGGGGUGCACUCACUAGCGGCCCAUAAUUGGAGGUCAGUUACAAUAUGGAUUUAUCAUAUCUAUAUAAUCUACAUUGUCCAGCUUCUCCUUACACAAAUCCUUUGGCGGACCGGCAUGGCUGACUCUCAGAUCGAUAAUUAGUCUCCCCACUCCUGGCCUUCCACAAGUGUGCCCUCGUUCGUACCUCAACUCUCUCUCAAAUUCGGCAUGGAUUUUCCAAUUGAUGUUAUUCUUUGUGCUCUCAAAUGAAUGCAGGUUUCAUUGUCUUCCACGGGGUUCACUGGAUUGGCUCAUUCUGCUACAUAAGUAAGUUGCAACGUGAGGCACUACUUUCACCUUCAAUCAUUUCUUGCCUGACUAUAUUAUUCAUGAAUUCCACCAUCUUUGCAACCCAAGGUGGUAAUGGUUAAAUCUUUUGGUGUGGUCUAAUAUACUUUUGUGCUUCUCUAUUGCAGAUAAAGCAGAUGUACUCAAACUUAUAAUUUUGAUUCUACUUCUACAGCAAUUUUGAUAUAUACACAGUGUGUGUUUCAUAAUUGGUAUGAACGUGUGUGUUUUAUGCAAACAUAAUUCGAAAUGAAUGCAUGGGCCAUUGUAGGAUGAAUUUGAGCCCGGUACUGCUUUGUUUGCUGCUUCUACCCGGUAGUAUUCUUCCUUACAGCAGAUUUCAUGGAACUCCAAUGGCUAAUGGACAAGUUAUUAUCUAUGCACUGUUAUGCCUCAUGUUAAUUAUCUUGCAACGUGAUUUUAUAUGUUUGGUAUUAUGGAGUAAUUGCUCUAGGUGGAACUGGCUAUUCUAAGUCACCACUCCAUUCUUGAUUCCAAUCAUGUAUGUGAUAAUCUCCAUGACAUCGAAAGAGUGGAUUGAAAACAAUUGUUCUACUGAUGUAUCAUGCUUUUGAGCCAACUCCUACCCUAUGUUUUCACGGGUUCCACCUGCUGUCAUCGGAUGCGCAAGGAACAAAUGGCAUGCAGCGAUGUCCAUCUGCAGUAGCUCAUUGAACAUGACAGGAUCCAAUUGAUAUACUCAAACCACCAAGAUGACCGGUUAAUUUGGGAGCUGGCCAAUCAUGUGUAGCAACCCUUAAGAUAACUACUGCUAUAUUAUUACUGAAGUCUGCAGUCGGGUGACUUCCAAAAAAUGCGACGUUGCACUCCUAUAAUCUAGUGUCUUCCUCUCUAUUUAUAUGGGUAACAUAUGCGAACAUGUUUAAUUGUUGGUCUAAAAAAGUUUCAGUUGAUUAUAACUGCUACUUCAUCAUAUGACAAAAAUGGCAUUUGCUAGGAUUUAAUCAAUGCUAUUGUAUAUUGGGAUUUUCAUGUUAAGUUUUGGGAUGCUACUAUCAAGUUAUGCAUUUUGUGCCUGUAGUAGUACAAUCUCCUCGAAUAUCAGCUUGUGGUGUUCCCCUACUGGUAACUUUAUUGCUACAAGCUAUCUCUGCAUCAAAGAUUGUUCUCCCUCACUUGGAUGCCAACAAAUCAUGUUAUCAUCUUCAAAUAUAUACAAACAAAGUAGUUUAAGUGCAAAACACUUGAAUUUUAUAGAUUAGUAUUAUAUAUCCAUAAAAGGUUCAAGGUUUUUACGUGAGUUAGUUUUUCUGUACAAAAGUUGGAUCUCGGGCUGUCAAUAUUGUCCAAUUUCAUGCUUAUAUAAAAAAUAUAUUCUUAUAGAAUAAUUUUCUUAUAGGAUAACUAUCUUAUAGCUUAGAUUUCAGGCUUUCGAUAUUGUUCAAUUUUAUGCAUAAAUUCAGGUGCUAGAUGAAAUUUCAGUCGAAUGACGCCUUUGAUGCCAUCAACAAUUCUAGCCAGCGAUCACUUGCAUUGCUCCUGAAGCGUACCAAUUAUUACGUCAUGCUAGCUAUAUCACCUUGAUGUUUCAUUGUUCAUGAAAGGAACCAAUUUAAUCUUCAUGUUUUGCCCUCAGGCCGGGCAAUUUUUCUAAAUACCAACCAUUUUAUUGUAAAAAUGUACGGGUGCAGCAACACGUGUUAUCAAUGAUCUAGUUAUAUUAUCAACCUUGGGUGUUUUAUAUGCAUUAAUAUGCUAUUUUAUAUCAUUUUUGGGACUAACCUAUUAACCUAGUGCCUAGUGCCAGUUUAUGUUUUUUCCUUGUUUUUGGCUUUCGCAAAAAAGGAAUAUCAAACGGAAUAAAACUUUACAAUGAUUUUUCUUGGACUAGCAGACACCUACGAGACUUGGAGUGGGGGCCAAGGGACCCACGAGGAAACAACAAGCCGUAGGGGCGUGCCCCUUGGGCUUGUGGCCCCCUCGGGGGUCCCCUACAUCGCCUCUUUUGCCUAUAAAUUCCCAAAUAUUCCAGAAACCCUAGUGGAGUCACCAGAAAUACUUUUCCACCGUCGUACGUCUUUGUUCCCGUGAGAUCCAAUCUUGGGGCCUCUUCCGGUACUCCGUCAGAGGGGGAUUUGAUCACGGAGGGCUUCUACAUCAACCUUGCUAACCUUCCGAUGAUGUGUGAGUAGUUUACUAUAGACCUAUGGGUCCAUAGCUAGUAGCUAGAUGGCUUCUUCUCUCUCUUUGAUCUUCAAUACAAUUUUCUCCUCGAUGUUCUUGGAGAUCUAUUCAAUGUAAUCUUCUUUUGCGGUGUGUUUGUUGAUAUCCAAUGAAUUGUGGAUUUAUGAUCAAAUUAUCUAUGAAUAUUAUUUGAGUCUUCUCUGAACUCUUUUAUGCAUGAUUGAUAGCUUUGUAUUUCUUUCCGAUCUAUCGAUUUGGUUUGGCCAAAUAGAUUGGGUUUUCUUCUAAUGAGACAGGUGCUUAGUGAUGGGUUCAAUCUUGCGGUGUCCUCACCCAGUGAUAGAAGGGGUAGCGAGGCACGUAUUGUAUUAUUGCCAUUAAGGAUGAAAAGAUGGGUUUUAUAUCAUAUUGCUUGAGUUUAUCCCUCUACAUCAUGUCAUCUUGCUUAAGGCAUUACUCUGUUCUUAUGAACUUAAUACUCUAGAUGUAUGCUGGAUAGCGGUCGAUGUGUGGAGUAGUAGUAGUAGAUGCAGGCAGGAAUCAGUCUACUUGUCACGGACAUGAUGCCUAUAUUCAUGAUUAUUGCCUUGGAUGUCGUCAUAACUAUGCACUUUUCUAUCAAUUGCUCAACAGUAAUUUGUUCACCCACCGUAUGCUUUCUUCGAGAGAGAAGCCUUUAGUGAAACCGAUGGCCCCUGGGUCUACUUUCCAUCAUAUAUUUUCAGAUCUAUAAAACCAAAAACCCAAAAAUAUCUUGCUGCAAUUAUUUUGUGUUCACUUUAUUUUUCCUUUUACUUUUAGUUUAAAUCUAUCUCUAUUAGAUCUCACUCUUGCAAGUAACCGUGAAGGGAUUAACAACCCCUUUUUCGUGUUGUGUCAAGUGUUUGUUAGUUUGUGCAGGUGCAUAUAUUGGAGACUUGCUUGUGCCUCCUACUGGAUUGAUACCUUGGUUCUUAACCGAGGGAAAUACUUAUCUACUACUUUGCUGCAUCACCCUAUCCUCUUAAAGGGAAAAAUCAACGCAAGCUCAAGAAGUAGCAAGAAGGAUUUCUGGCACCGUUGCCGGGGAGGUUCUACAUCAAGCCUACCAAGUACUUGGCAUAAAUCUAAUCUCUUGCACUUACAUUAUUUGCCAUUUGCCUCCCGUUUUCAUCUCCCCCACUUCUAAAAUGUUUUGAGAAAAACACAAAAAUAUUUGCCUUUUUAUUCACCCUUUCUUCGUUCGUCUUUUUGUUUGCUUGUGUGCUAGAUCGCUUGCUUUGUCACAAUGACCCAAGAGAAUACUAAGUUGUGUGACUUUUCCAACACUAAUAAUAGUGAUUUUAUUAGUACUCCGAUUGCUCCCGCCACUAGUGCGGAAUCUUAUGAAAUCAAUGCCGCUUUAUUGAAUCUUGUUAUGAAAGAACAAUUUUUUGGUAGUCCUAAUGAAGAUGGUGCAUCGCAUCUAAAUUUUUUUUGUUGCAUUGUGUGAUAUGCAAAAUAAAAAUAUGUGGAUAAUGGUAUCAUUAAAUUGAAGCUUUUUUCUGUUCUCAUUACGAGAUCGUGCUAAAACUUGGUUUUCAUCUUUGCCUAAAAAUAGUAUUGAUUGAUGGAAUAAGUGUAAAUAUGCCUUUAUUUCCAUGUAUUUUCCUCCCACUAAGAUCAUCUCCCUUAGGAACGAUAUAAUGAAUUUUGAGCAACUAGAUCAUGAGCAUGUUGCACAAUCAUGGGAAAGGAUGAAACUAAUGAUAAGAAAUUUCCCUACUCAUGGUUUAAGCUUAUGGAUGAUCAUACAAAAAAUUUAUGCCGGAUUGAAUUUUGCAUCUAGAAAUCUUUUAGAUACCGCCGUGGGAGGUACUUUCAUGGAAAUCAAAUUAGGAUAAGAUACUAAACUCCUAGAUAAUAUUAUGGAAAAUUACUCUCAAUGGCAUACCGAAAGAUCAUGUACUAGUAAAAAAAAGUGCAUGCAAUUAAAGAAAUAAAUGUUUUGAGUGCAAAGAUGGAUGAUCUUAUGAAAUUAAUUGCUUGCAAAGGUGCUCCUAUAGACCCUAAUGAUAUGCCUUUGUGUACUUGCCAAUAAUAAUGAAUCUAUGGAUGUGAAUUUUGUUGGUAGGAACAAUUUGGUAAUAACGCGUAUAGAGGUAAUUUCAACCCUAGGCCGUUUCCUAGUAAUUCCUCUAAUAAUUAUGGUAAUUCUACAACAAUUUUUAUGGAAAUUAUAAUAAGAUGCCCUCUGAUCUUGAGAAUAAUAUUAAAUAUUUUAUAAACUCCCAAAAGAGUUUCAAUGCUAUGGUAGAAGAAAAAUUGCUUAAUAUUAAUGAUUUGGCUAGAAACGUUGAUAGAAUUUCUCAUGAGAUUGAUUCUUUAAAAAUUAGAUAUAUGCCACCAAAGCAUGAUAUUAAUGAUUCUCUGAAAGUUAUGCAAAUUUCUAUUAAUGAGAGUAGAGAGACCAGCUAGGUUGCGUGCUAAAAAAGAAAUGUUAGAAAAAACAUGUUCUUCUAGUUUUUGCGGUAACAAUGAUGAAGAUCUUAAGAUGCUUGGCUUGACUCCUAUUUAAUAUUUGUUUGCUAAUAUAGAUCUUGAAAAAUAAGGGACUGGUGAUGAUUCAACUUUAGAUAAAAGGCGUCCCGAUAAUUUGGAGAAUAAAGAUCUUAACGAAAAAAGUGAUAAAAGUGGGAUUGGAGAGGUCAAAACUUUAGCAAGCAAUGAACCCACUAUUUUGGAUCUCAAGGAUUUUAAUUAUGACUAGCACACAUGCCCGUGCGUUGCAACGGAAGAAAAAAAUGUCAACUGCCCCCAAUGAACAUCAAAACAUGUUCAAGACCCCACAUAUCCACGUCCGUUCUUUGAAAGUGGGAACAUGAGUGAAACUGGGUGGAUAGGGGAUAGAAGAUCGACAAGUAGAAAAACAUUCCUCGUUUUACUAUCAUUCCUAACAAAACGAGCUAUAGAUAAAAUUGUACAGUAUUCCAAAUAAGUGUAUAGCUACAAAGAAAAUGAUCAUAUAUAGUAGAAUGUGUACAUUAUCUAGCCAACCAUUUUGUAAUGAUAUGUUCACAAACUUAGUUGUAUUAUUACUGGCUCGUGUAUCAUUCUCUCCCAUAGAAAUCAUACAACAAAAGCUUCAGAAUGCAAAUGACCAACAUACUCCGAAUCAGUUCUCAUACACACACUCUAUAAUAUAAAUUCAGACCAUAUACUUUCAGCUUCUACGACAAAGAAAUUGAAGCAAGGAAUGCUGCGUUGGUCAGUUCGUCCAUGAGAAAAUGUAGUUGAAGGCCUCCAUCCUAAAAGCCGAGACCAGAACCGUCAUCUUGUCGUGGUCGCUGUGUAACCGGAAGAAGGAGCUCAUGCUAAGCAACCAUAGGUUGGUGGCUGCCACGUUAUCUUCGGCAGAUCGUUGGCUAAGGUCGAGAGCCUUGACAGUGUCUGAGCAGAGGGCGAGCGAGUGCGCAGCAUAUGUAUGCAGACUCCUCAGCAAAAUUGGAAAAAAAAACUCAACUCUGUCAGCCCGGCGAAAGGGCCAGGUUAGUUCAAAAUGUGCCACUUGUUGGUGUAAAAACAUGGAGCAAUGACGCAUGUAUGCUCAGGAAGCUAUCUAUACCAUUGUAAUGGGAUUAAAAUUAGCUAGCUAGUAUCGUAUUUCUGCAAACUUGUCAUCUUAAUUAUGCAAAAACAAAAAUCUGAAGCUAGCUGAGCAUAAAUGGUUUGGUGCCCCUUGGGUUGUUUUCUUGUCCUAACAUAACAUGGAGGAGGUACCAAGGGUUCAACAUUGAGCUUUGAUUUACCUCCAUUAUCCCCGAGAUACUGGUGUUUGUGAUGAACUAAAUAGACAAUUUGUUGUGUUGGGAUGAUUCAUGAUGGAUUGAUAAGAUGAGCUUCGCAACAACUACCAUCAUGCAUGAGCAUGGGUAAAAUCCAAAAUUUCCCAAAGCAGCCAUGUUUUAAUGUGUAUUAUGUUUCUUAUUUCCCUCUGAAAAUUGACAAAACAUCCACACUUCUAGUCUUAUAUCCCUAUGAAAAUCUAUUAAACAUACACAAAUCUGCUUUUGGAGUAAGAAAUUAUAACCCAUAAAUAAGAAAAUUUUAACUUAAUUAGUUUUACCAAUCUACAUAACAAAAUUUGAUUUAUCCACUACCGAUUAAUUGUAACAAGACAGAAAAUCAAGUCGCACACUCACACCUCAAAUCUUGAGGCAUGCGCAGUCUAUUGAAGCCUCAAACAUAGAACCAUAUCAUGUGACUUUCCAACAAAAAAUUAGGACUACAUUUGCCUGUUUGAUCCUUACCAGUUUAUUAGUUACGUAUCUAUCAAUUCCAUGAUCUUCCACAAUGCUUCCAACCGCUUCAUAACUCCUGUCGGUCCCUCGAGGUGGAAAUUUUCACGCUGAGAUGCAAUAGAAUUUAUAUCAUGCAUUAAGUCAUGCAAAAAUACCAACCUACAUAUGCCAGUAUAGUUUGACAUAGAUACAAAUUACCAUCCUUCUCAGUAGCAUCUCAAAACACCAAAAGGCAUCUACAUCAUCCUCGUAUAGAACAACAAAAGGGGAAACCAGAUCGCUCAUACCUACAAUCAAUUUGUACCAUUUAGGCAGUUUAAAUAAUGAAAGCAAAAUGAUGCAAUACUCCAUUGAAAUGCAAACCUUGACGGUAUCCAGGGGAGGGAUCAACCCAUGCAUAAAAUGGAAAUAUAUCUGACAAACCUUCAUGGAAGCCGCCGCUUGAACCCCACGAAGCCGCUCGUCGCCAGCCCCUCCAGAAUCGCCAGAUCCAGCCGCCUCCACUCCAUUCUCGGUGUCGGGCCUCGAGAGCUCCUCCCCUCGUCCUCCUACAUCGACCCGAGCCACCAUGGACGGCCACUGCGUCCGCGUUGACUGCGGGCGAACGCGCGCGUCUGACGCAUAUGGACCUGCCUCCGUGCCUCCGCUCAUGCUCCUCCUCUCGUCCGCCAUGUGCUCGCCGCCGUCGUCCUGCUCCCGAUCGAAUAGGGAGCGCCGCCGCUCGAUCUGCAAUGCAAAAAGAAUAUCGAACAGUUUUUUCUUAACUCAAAUAUAGUUCACACGGGUUAAUUUAUUGUUUCAUGUGCACAUAUUGAUCAAUUUUUUUUUGCGAAUACGCAAAGAUUGCGUAUCAUUGCAUUGAUAGGAGGGGGUUGAAAGUACAUAGAGACAUGCUGACAAUGGCCACGCGUACACAGGUCGGCGCGGGCACAAGUGGCCGGAGCAGCUAGGAGAGGGGCUGCUCAACCCUCAUUACAAAAAAGCUAAGCCUAAAUCUCAGGAAUCAGGUUCGCCAAGCCGUUGGCGCCGACACAAGCCCACAUGCGAGUGUCUUCUUGAAUGGAUUGCAGCAGAGUUGCGAUCGAGGGUUGCCGCUGAUCGAACACACAUCCAUUCCGGUGUCUCCAGAUGGCCCAAGCGGUGAGGGCGAUGAAGGAGCAGAGUCCCUUCCGCAGCGCCGAGGGUGAUGAAGUGCAAGCAUCCAUCCACCAGUCCGCGAACGUUGUUUCGGGGUUGGGGAUCAUGGCAGUCGAUCGGCACCAAGAAAGGACCUCAUGCCAAAUUUGGUGGGAGAACGGGCAGGAGGUGAACAAGUGGUGCAUGUCCUCAGUGGUCUAGUCGUACAGCAUGCAACUGUCAUUGUGGGGCAGUCCUCGCCGGGCAAGGUGGUCGGCCGUCCAACAUCGGUCUUGCAGGGCAAGCCAGAUGAAGAUCUUGAUGCGUAAGGGGGCCCAAGUCUUCCAGGUGAGCUUCUAGGAUGCGUCGGUCGUGGAUCCGUGAAAGAGCGCAAGGUAGCAGGAUUUGGCGGAAUAGACGCCGAACUCCGUCCACUUCCAUCGCAGCACAUCAGGCCCAGCCGAGAGGGUAGCGCUUUGAAGCAUGCGCCAGAGCUCGACAUACUGGAUCAGGGCUACCGGGCUGAGCGCGUCGGCAAUGUCGCGCACCCAGGCGCGCCCAGGAAGCCCCUCGGCCACCGUGCGAUUGCGACGAUGCCGUCUGGAGACCAGGGAGAACACGAGGGGGGCAAGCUCAGGGAUGGCCUUGCCAUCGAGCCAGGGGUCAGUCCAGAACCUGCAGGUGCGACCAUCACGCACCUCCCAAGAGGUGGAGGCCCUGAAAAUCUGCGAGGCCGCAGGGUCAUGGGGGAGGUGCAGAUGACUCCAGGGGCGCGAAGCAUCAGUACGCUGGAGCCAGAGCCAUCGGGUGCGCAAGGCGACGCCGGCGCGCUGCAGGUCGCGUAUCCCCAAGCCGCCGAGGAAGGUGGGGCGACACACCCGAGCCAAGUUCACUCGGCAUUACCCUCCGCGCGCGUCCUUGCGGCCAACCCAAAGGAAGCUCCGGAUGAUCCGGUUGACCCGAGCAAGGAUGGACUUGUUGACAGCAAUGGCGAUGAGGAUGUGGAUGGGCAUGGCGCAGAGGACGUGCCGACAGAGCGCGAGGCGAUCCCUCAAGGAGAGCAUGGAUCCCAGCCAGGUAGAGAGCUUCCUCUCGAGCUUGUCGACGAGGGGUAAAAGGUGGACAGUCGAGGGCUUACGGAGGGAAAGCGGGAGGCCGAGGUACUUCACGGGAAAGUAAGAGAUCGGGCAGGCCAUCUCAGAUGUGAUCAUGGCGACGUGCCCCUCGUCGCAGCGAAUGGGGGAGGCCGAGCACUUGGCGAUGUUCGUGCAGAGCCCGGACGCCUUGCCGAAGACAUCCAGAAUGCGGCGAAUGGCGUGGAUGUCAUGGGUGUCGGGGUGGCUGAAGAUAACGACAUCGUCGGCGUAGAGGAAGACGCUCGAAGGCAUGUGCCGCGCGGUCAAUCGCUGUAGGGGGCCGCGCUCGACGGCUCGCUGAAGGAGCGAGUUGAGCACGUCGAUGAUGAUGACGAAGAGCAUAGGGGAAAUGGGGUCCCCUUGCCGUAGCCCACACGCGUGAAGAAUUGGUGGCCCGGGGACACCAUUGACAAGCACACGCGUCGAUGCGGUAGAGAGCAGGAUGGAGAUCCAUUCGCACCACCAGUCUCCAAAGCCUAGGUGCUUGAGCGUGUCGAGCAGAAAGGGCCAUGCCACCGAGUCAAAAGCCCUCGUGAUGUCGAGCUUGAGGAGCAUUCGCGGCAUUUUGAGGUUGUGAAGAAGUCUGGCCGUCUGUUGAACAAGGAGGAAGUUGUCGUGAAUGCUUCGGCCGGCGAUGAAUGCGCUUUGAUUGGUAGAAACCAUCUUGCCCAGGUGGGGCGCCAGCCGAAGAGAGAGCGCCUUCGCGAACAGCUUCGCAAUGAGAUGGAUGAGGCUAAUGGGGCGGUAGUCGAAGAGAGAUGUCGCGUCCUGCUUCUUCGGAAGGAGGGUGAGGAGCGCCUCAUUGAGCCUCUGGAAACCCUAUCCGUUGAGUGCGUAUAGCUUAUCGAAGACGGCGCAGAUGUCCUGCUUGAUCACGUCCCACGCACUCCGGAGGAAUUCGGCGGUGAAGCCAUCGGGGCCGGGCGCCUUCCCAAGCGGCAAGCUUUUGACCGCAGCCUAGAUCUCGUCCUCUGAGAAAGGUGCAUCGAGGCUGGAGAGGUCAAAUGGCCCAACGUGGAGCGCAGAGAGGUCUAAGGAGAAAGGCCGUGGCUUCGCCGAUCCAAGGAUGUCGCAGAAGUGAUUGAACGCAGCCUCAGCGAGAGCGGCCGGGUCGGAGAUGGAAGUGUCUACGACCUGCAACUCGAUGAUCCGGUUCUUUGGCUUGCGGUGUGCUGCAUGCACUCUGAAGAACUUCGGACCCGCGUCGCCGUCUCGCAACCAGGAAAGCCUAAUGCACUGGCACGAGAUCGAGCGCUCAAGGGACGCCAGCCCUAGGUACGCCCCUUUGAGGCGCCUGCGUAGCCAGGCCUCGGCCGCGUAAAGGGGCCGGAAGUCUUGCGCCGCAUCCAGGCGCGCGAUCAGCUCACGAGCGACAAGGAGUUGCCGGGACACGUCCCCAAUCUUCUUCGCGCUCCAGCUUUGGAGACGCCGUGCAGUGUUCUUGAGGCGCGCCACCAGCCUGCGGAAGGGGUCCGGCUCGUCGGCCGCAGCAGCCCAGGCCUCGAGCACGACCUGCCUGUAGCCAUCUGUGCGCGGCCAGAAUCUUUCGAAGUGGAAUCUUCGCGUGCCAGGCGAGCGCGCAGUGCAGUCGAGAAGGAGAGGUGCAUGAUCAGAUGCUGCGGAGGAGAGGCAGCGUAGCAUGCAAUGCGGGUGGAGAGCUUCCCAUGCGGAAUUGGAGAUCACCCGGUCAAUGCGCGUGAGGGUGGGGGUGCCGCGUUCGUUUGACCAAGUAUAUCGUCGCCCGUGCAGGUAGAUGUCAUGCAGUUCCUCGUCGGCGAGGAAGCGACGGAACCGCGACAUGACCCAGUGAUUGAGCCGGGAGUUAUUCUUGUCCGCAGCCCCAGAGAUCAUGUUAAAGUCACCCCCAAGGAUCCAAGGGCCCGCUCGCAGUGAUCGGACCUCACUGAGGUCCCCGAGGAAAGCGAUCUUGUCAUCAUCACCUUGCGGGCCAUAAACGCCAGUGAGCCACCAGUGGUGGGCGCCAUCCAGGGAAGAGGCCAGCGCGGUGAUGUGGUGGUCACCACGGUAUGGAUCGGAGAGCGCGAUCAUGUCCGGCCGCCAAGCAAGCAGGAUACCCCCACGGGUCCCAUCCGCGGGAAGGAAGAAGAACUUGGAGAAGGACGAGCCGAGCGUCUCAGCGACAAGCGAGGACGAGAGAGCAAUCAUAUUAGUCUCUUGGAUGCAAACAAUACAAGGCGAGGCAGCGGUGAUCACGCUGCGAACGGCGGUGCGCUUGGCCGGGGCAUUAAGGACACACACGUUCCAGAAUACAAUGCGAAGGUUGUGAUCCAUGGAGAGAGGUGGAGUCCUGCGGUGGCUUAGGCAGCCACUAGGCCUCGACCGCGCGAGGCAGGGGGGAGGGCGAGUUGACAGGCGGGUCGAUCAGCUCGGGGAUGCGCCAGCCGAAGAGAUCGGCGAAUGCCUGCAGCACGUCGUGCGCCAGCGGCUUCUAGAAGAGGUGCUCGUACUUCGCUAGCAUAGCAGCGGAGAUGGGGGCGUCGUCCGAGACGAGCUCAAGGCGACGGAGGAGCACCUUCUUGGCCUUGAGCUCAGAAUUGAGGCCGCAAUCAGCCUUGGCAAUCCCGCCGCUCCGACGGGGCGUGAAGUUCGGCGGUAAAUCCUUCCUCCGGGAGAGGGAGGGGCGCAGGGAGAAUCUGCAAGAUCGGCCUCCGAAUGGAGUCUAAAAACGCAUCCACAGGCUCCACGUCGGCGUGCGCACCACGUGGUGAGUCCGGGGCGGUUGCAUGGGAAGCAAGAUUCGCCGAGGGCGCGGGAUCGCUCGGGAUUAGAGCGGGCGAACUUUCCACAGCGGGAUCCGAGGCGGGGGAGGGGAGUGGCCCAAUGGCGGGGCAGCGCAGGGGGCCUGGUGGGUCCGCGCCUUGGCUAGACAACACCAGUUGUCCUGCAGAGGGAGGGGAGGAUGGCCCGCUUUCAAAUUUCUCAAGAUCCGCCAGCGGGUUUGUCGCGGAUCCUGAUGGGGCCGUGCAAAGCGGCAGCAGGCUAGGGGUGACCACUGGGGCGGGAUCAACAUGGGGUUGCGCGCCGGUCUCCAGCAGGUGUUCGGGUGGGUCAGGCGAUGACACAUUAGCAAACGGUGGGGUGGUGGGCGCGGGAGCAGCGACCCGGUCAACAGGGUUGGGGUUUGAACUGGGAGCGCCAAUGGGCGGGGACGGGGCGGGAUGGCCAGCUGUCACCGUGGCUUUCUGGAAAGCCGCCUUGUCCCCCAGGCGCAGCUUUGCCGGGCCCCGCGUGACGCCAGCCACGACCGGCGGGUAUGGCCCGAGAACCCCAUGCCAGAUGCGCGAGAUGGCGAGGGGGCGGUUGCGGCGGCGACUGGAGCGGCCGGACCGGCGCGAGUUGCCGGUGAUACCACGGCGUGGCGGCGCCGGAGGGUGAUCAUACUGGCCCGUCCAGGGUGCAGGACAGGAUGGAGAGUCUUGGCCGGGGCCAGCGCCAUCGUCGGAGUCCGGGCCUGGAGAGACACGCGGCGGCAGAGGCGGCGGGGCGGGUCGACGGAAGUCCUCGCAGCGGGCCACAUGAAUCGCUACUGGGAAACACAGUAGGUCCAUGCCAAGGCGCUCAGCCACGUCUGGGUCCGCGUCGACGGCAACGCCAUCGCGCACCGGGAGGAAGAGGUCGGCGGCUAGCGGGAUCGCGUCAGGGUUGGCCGUCCAUGCCGAGAGCCGGAAGAUGUCCAGGUCGACGCCAUGGUGAGUGCGCGGCUCGAGGUGCUCCACCAGGCAGAACGGCGAGAGCAGCGCGACCGUGGUGGCGCGGUGCCAGACAUGAUCGGGCACCCCGGUGAGCUCGAGGUGGACCCGGAAGCGGGCGCGCACCUGCUCCGCACCGGCAAGCGCGCUCCAUGGGUGAAGCAGCAGGCGGAAGCGGGCGGUGCGGACACCGUCAUUGGCCACCAGGGCCCGAUCCUCCGCACGCAGGAAGCGGAUGAGGAAAUCCUCCGGCAGGUGGCGGUGAACCAAGAAGCGCGCCUCCGGGAUGCCAAAACGCGAGCAAAUCACGUCGGAGACCUCCUGACAUGAGACCCCGGUCCUGCACCCCGCGACCGUGGCAAGCAACGCACGGUGGAGCUCCUCCUCGGCGGCGUCGAUCUCCGCGGAAAGAGGAAGGAAGCACGCGGGCGCAGCGGCUGGACGCAGCAAGGGGUGGCCGGUGAAGGGGGCGCAGGGGGAGGCGGGCCGCGUAGCCUGGGAGGCACGGGGGGAGGGGACGGCAAGCCCGGAGGACGCAGGCUGCCAAGACCCUUGGACGGACGUGGGCGAAGCCGAAGGCGAAGGCUCCGGGGAGGGCGAAGGCUGGGCGGGGAAGGCCCACGAAGGCGCUUAGGCGACGGGCUGGAGCGCGAGGAGGGCGACGGCGAGCGCGGGUUCGUGCACAUGCGUGCCACAUGGCUUCCAAUCUAGUUAAUUGUACUGCUGGAUUUUGGUGGUCAUUCUGAAUGUACAGAUUUGUUGUGCGGAUCUCUGAACUAAUAUGGAUCUGUUGACGAACUAUAACUUAGCACUAUAUCUGGUUCUUGCUAUCAUUUUGAUUUUGGUCAUCCAAGUGGAUAUAUACACCAAUCAUGCAGCCACAGUCUGCACUGUUUGGUUAAUGAGAACGGGAGGAGCACAACACUGACCCCAUCGCUAUCUCAGCUAGCUUCAGGUCCACCAUGGCCACCUACACCGAGCACCAUAUCAUGUCUCCGAGCUUAGUUGUCGAUUCAUCUACACCAACCCAAUCACCACAAACAGGGAUAUAAUCAGAUCUAAUAAGAGAUAGCUCCAUGACCAUGAAGAAAGGACGAACCGUGGGAGCAGCCCGUAGGCGGCCGCGCUGGACCACAUCCGCUCGUCCGUGUAUCCAAGAGCUAAUCAGGGCAAGGCGGUCGGUGCUGGGCGACCACAGCAACGGCCAUGUAACCAGGACACGAGGCGGAAGGAAUCUGUAGGCGGUGUGAUGCCCUCGUCCUCCGGCGUGUAGUCUGAUCUGUCCCCGUCAUCCCCGUUCCCUCCUCCGCCGCCUCCAGCUCCCUCUCCCACUCCUACUGGCUUCUCUGCCGCCUCCACCUUCCUCUCCUCCUCCUACCAGUUCCUCCGCUGUCUCCACCUCCCUCUCCUCGUCCUACCACCCGUUGCUCGUGGCGGCGCUGAGUGUGCCGAGCAGCCCGUCGCGGUCGGUGGCACGCGCUCGAGACGGCCGGCGCGAGCCCGAAGCGCGGUGGCCUGGGCCUCGGCGUCGGCGAACUACAUGCGGAGGACUCGGACGACACGGGGAGGAGGGCGCGGCGGACGAUGCGGGCCGGCGGCGGGGAGGCGGCGGAUCUAGAUGGGGGUGCGAGGUGCGGUCGCUUGACUCGGGGGUGAUUUUUUUUGUCAAGCAUGUCCACGCGUCGGUAAACCCGGAGUCAAUCCGUGUUUUCAUGAUCACAUGAUAAAUAGUACCACCUCGGAUGUAGAAAAUAUAAUAUAGGUGAAAAAAAACUGAAAGCGUACAUUUACAGGAAAAAGCGUAUUGUGACGGUGAACCUGACAAAGUCAAUCCAUGCUUUAUUAUUAGGGAUAGAUAGUUGUUCUUUGAUAGGUUGUAUUUCCUUGUUGCAAUAAAUGCUUAAUUCUCCUCAUGCUUAUAAUCAAAAUAAGGCUUUUACGAAGCAUAUUGUUGAUGCUAUGAUGAAAUCUUUUGAAGAAAAACUUGAGUUGGAAGUUUCAAUCCCUAGAAAGCUUUAUGAUGAUUACCUACUAUUAAAAUCAAGAUUAAAGAUUAUGAGUGUAAUGCUUUCUAUUAUUUGUGUGCUAGCGUUCAACAAUUCCAAAAACUUGAUGAUUGUUCUUUAAAUUUGCAUCUAGCGGAUUCCACUAUUAAAAAACUUAUGGGAAUGAUUAAUCAUGUUAUUAUUUUUGAAAAUAGGAAUUAUGUGCCUGUAGAUUUUAUUGUUCUUGAUAUAGAUUGCAAUCGGACAUGCCCUAUUAUUCUUGGUAGACCUUUCCUUACAACGAUUGGUGCAAUUAUUGAUAUGAAAGAACGAAACAUUAGAUUUCAAUUUCCAUUAAGGAAGGGCAUGGAACACUUUCCAAGAAAGAAAAUUAAGUUACCAUAUGAAUCUAUUAUGAGGGCUAAUUAUGGGAUGAAUACCAAAGAUGGCAAUACCUAGAUCGUUGCUUUAUGCCUAGCUAGGGGCGUUAAACAAUAUCACUUGUUGGGAGGCAACCCAAUUUUAUUUUGGUUUUUACUUUUUGUUCAUGUUUUUGAAUAAAUAUAUAUAUAUAUACAUAUACAUAUAUAUAUAUAUAUAUAUAUAUAUAUUAGUGGGUUAGAGAAGUUUUUAUGAUUUUUAUUAGUGUUUGUGCCAAGUAAGACCUUUGGGAUGAUUUGGAAGAUAGUAGAUUGGUUUUGUUGAAAAAUAGAAACUUUUGCGCCCAGUGCCAGAAUUCUUUGUGAUUACUAGAACGUGACAAAUUCUUGAAUUUUUACACAAUUCUGAUAUACAAAUUUCCCACGUUGUCCUAAUUUUUCAUAAUUUUUAGAAAUAUAGAGGUUUUUGCUUUAAUUCGCAUCUUUACAGACUGUCCUGUUUUAGUUAAAUUAUGUUUUCUUGUGUUGUUUGCUUAUUUUGAUGAAUCUAUGGGUAGUAUCGAGGGGAUGAACCAUGGAAAAGUUGGAAUACAGUAGAUAUAACACAAAUAUAAAAUAAGAAUGAGUUCACAACAGUACCUAAAAGUAAGGUUUGGAUUUGUUUUACUAAAAAAUCUCACGAGUUUUCUGUUGAGUUUUGUGUUGUGAAGUUUUCAACUUUUGGGUAAAGAUUUGAUGGACUAUGGAAUAAGGAGUGGAAAGAUCCUAAGAUUGGGGGUGCUCAAGGCACCCCAAGGUAAUAUUCAAGUACAACCAACCAUCUAAGCUUGGGGAUGCCUCGGAUGGCAUCCCCUCUAUUGUCUUCAAUCCAUCGGUAAAUGUACUUGAGGCUAUAUUUUUAUUCACCACAUGAUAUGUGUUUUGCGUGGAGCGUCUUGUAUGAUUUGAGUCUUUGCUUUUCAGUUUGCCAGAAUCAUCCUUGUUGAAUACACCUUUUCGAGAGGGACACACAUUAAUCGUGAAUUUAUUAGAAUACUCUAUGUGCUUCACUUAUAUCUUUUGAUCUAGGUAGUUGCUCUAGUGCUUCACUUAUAUAUUUUUGAGCACAACGGUGAUGUUAUUUUGAAGAAAUUAUUGAACUCUGAUGAUUCACUUAUAUUAUUUGACAGUCUCUCUAAACAGCGUGGUAAUUUUAUUGGGUUAUUAAUUUAGUCCUAAUAUGAUGGGCAUCCAAGGGGGAUAUAAUAAAAACUUUCAUAAAGAGCAUUGAAUAUAUGAGAAAUUUGAUUCCUUGCAAUUGUUUUGAGAUAUGAAGAUGGUGAUAUUAGAGUCAAGUUAGUAGUAAAUUGUGUAAUUAAAAAAAUAUUUGUGUUAAGGUUUGUGAUUCCCGUAGCAUGCACAUAUGGUCUUCUAGUUAUGUGAUGAAGUUGGAGCGCAAUUUAUUCUUGAUCGUCUUCCUUUGUGUGAAAGUCGGGAGCGCAUGAUGGUUAACUCCUACCAACCUCUCCCGUAGGAGUAUGCGUAGUAGUACUUUGCUUCAAGGGCUAAUAAACUUUUUGCAAUAAGUAUGUGAAUUCUUUAUGACUAAUGUUGAGUACAUGGAUUAUAUGCACUCUCACCCUUCCACCUUUGCUAGCCACUCUAGUACCACGCAACUUUCGUCGGUGUAUCAAACCUACCUUAUACCCUUCCUCAAAAUAGCCACCAUACCUACCUAUAUGGCAUUUUCAUACCCAUUCCGAGAUAUAUUGCCAUGUAACACCAUCAUCAUCAUCAUAUACAUGACUUGAGCAUUCAUUGUCAUAUUGCUUUGCAUGAUCAUAAGAUAUCUAGCACGAUAUUUUCAUGGCUUGUCCUUUUUUUGAUAUCUUUGCUAUGCUAGAUCAUUCCACAUCCUGGUAGAGUUAUCAUGUAUUAGUUUUAUCGAGUUGUAAGUAAAUAAAAGUGUGAUGAUCAUCAUUAUUAGAACAUUGUCCCAUGUGAGGUUAUAAAAAAUAGAGAGAGGCCAAAGGAGUCUCCCAAAAAAGAAGGAAAAAAAUAAAUAAGAAAAAAUGAGAAAAAUGAGAUAAAAAGAGAGAAGGGGAAAUGUUACUAUCCUUUUCCACACUUGUGCUUCAAAGUAACACCAUGUUCUUCAUGAUAGAGAGUCUCCUAUUUUGACACUUUCAUAUAUUUCUAGUGGGAAUUUUUCGUUAUAGAACUUGGCUUGUAUAUUCCAACAAUGAGCUUCCUCAAAUUGCCCUAGAUCUUCAUGAGCCAGCAAGUUGGAUGCACACUCACUUAGUUUUCUUUCGAGCUUUCAUACACUUAUAGCUCCAGUGCAUCCGUUACAUGGCGAUCCCUACUCGCUCACACUGAUAUCAAUUGAUGGACAUCUCCAUAGUUCAUUAAUUUUCCUAGUUGACGUGAGACUUUCUCCCUUCUUUUGUCUACUACCACCUUCUAUUCCACUUAUAGUGCUAGGUCCAUGGCUCACGCUCAUGUAUUGCAUGAAGAGUUGAAAAAGCUGAAGCGCGAAGUAUGAAACAAUUGCUUGACUGACACCGAGGUGGUACAUGAUUUAUACCUUGUGUUAAGAAGAGGGAGCAUAACAAGACGAUAUGAUUUUGUAGGGAUAACUUUCUUUAGCCAUGUUAUUUUUGAAGUUUCAUGAUUUUGCUUUCUAGUAUGCUUGAAGUAUUAUUGUUUUUAUGUCAAUGAACUUUUUUUGAAUCAUAUGGAUCUGAAAAUUCAUGCCAAGAUAAGAAGAAAUACAUUGCUAAAUAUGUUAGGUAGCAUUCCACAUCAAAAAUUCUGUUUUUAUCAUUUACCUACACGAGGACGAGCAGGAAUUAAGCUUCGGGAUGCUUCAUACGUCUCCAACGUAUCUAUAAUUUUUAUUGUUCCAUGCUAUUAUAUUAUCAACUUUGGAUGUUUUAUAUGCAUUAAUAUGCUAUUUUAUAUUAUUUUUUGGACUAACUUAUUAACCCAGUGCCCAGUGCCAGUUUCUGUUUUUUCCUUGUUUUGGCUUUCAAAGAAAAGGAAUAUCAAACGGAGUCCAAACGAAAUAAAACUUUAUGAUGAUUUUUCUUGGACCAGACGACACCUACAAGACUUGGAGAGGGGGUUAGAAGAGCCGCGAGGAGGCGACCAGCCGUAGGGGCGCGCCCUAGGGGGGGCCGUGGGCUUGUGGGCCCAUCGAGACUCCCCUAAACCGCCUCUAAGUCAUAUAAAUCCUCAAAUAUUCCAGAAACCCUAGAGGCAUCGCCAAAAAUAAUUUUCCAGCAUCGCAUGUCUCUGACCUCGUGAGAUCCCAUCUUGGGGCCUUUUUCGGUACUCCGCCGGAGGGGGAUUCGAUCAUGGAGUGCUUCUACAUCAACCUUGUUGCCACUCCGGUGAGGUGUGAGUAGUUUAACUUAGACCUACAGGUCCAUAGCUAGUUGCCAGAUGGCUUCUUCUCUCUCUUUGAUCUUCAAUACAAUGUUCUCCUCGAUGUUCUUGGAGAUCUAUUCGAUGUUGUCUUCUUUUGUGGUGUGUUUGUUGAGAUCCGAUGAAUUGUAUUUAUGAUUAGAUUAUCUAUGAAUAUUAUUUGAGUCUUCUUUGAAUUCUUAUAUGCAUGAUUUGAUAGCUUUGUAUUUCUUUUCGAUCUAUCGAUUUGGUUUGGCCAACUAGAUUGGCUUUUCUUGCAAUGGGAGAGGUGCUUUGUGAUGGGUUCAAUCUUGCGGUGUCUCAGCCAGUGACAAAAGGGGUAGCAAGGCACGUAUUGUAUUGUUGCCAUUAAGGAUAAAAAGAUGGGGUUUAUAUCUUAUUGCAUGAGUUUAUCCCUAUACAUCAUGUCAUCUUGCUUAAGGCGUUACUCUAUUUUUAUAACUCAAUACUCUAGAUGCAUUCUAGAUAGCGGUCGAUGAGUGGAGUAAUAGUAGUAGAUGCAGGCAGGAGUCGGUCUACUUGUCACGGACGUGAUGCCUAUAUUCAUGAUCAUUGCCUUGGAUGUCGUCAUAACUUUGCGCUUUUCUGUUAGUUACUCAACAGUAAUUUGUUCACCCACCGUAUGCUUUCUUCGAGAGAGAAGCCUAUAAUGAAACCUAUGGCCCCCGGGGUCUAUUCUCCAUUAUAUUUAUUCAGAUCUAUAAAAUCAAAAACACAAAAAUACCUCACUGAGUUUUAUUUACUUUUAUUUGUGUUAUAUCUCUCUGUUAGAUCUCACUAUUGCAAGUGACCGUGAAGAGAUUGACAACCCCUUUUUUGCAUUGUGUGCAAGUGUUUGUUAGUUUGUGCGCGUGCAUAGAUUGAAGACUUGCUUGUGCCUCCUACUGGAUUGAUACCUUGGUUCUUAACUAAGGGAAAUACUUAUCUACUACUUGCCACAUCACCCUUUCCUCUUUAAGGGAAAAAUCAACAUAAGCUCAAGAAGUAGCAGCGCCCCCCCAGGGCCCGCCCCUACGUCUUGUCGUCUCCUCUUGGGUCCCUUGGCCCCCACUCCAAGUCUCAUAGGUGUCUUCUGGUCCAAGAAAAAUCAUAGUUAAAUUUUAUUCCGUUUGGACUCCGUUUGAUAUCCCUUUUCUGCGAAAGCCAAAAACAAGGGAAAAAACAGAAACAAGCACUAGGCACUAGUUAAUAGGUUAGUCCAAAAAAUGAUAUAAAAUAGCAUAUUAAUGCAUAUUAACAUCCAAGGUUGAUAAUAUAAUAGCAUGGAGAAAUCAAAAAUUCUAGAUACGUUGGAGACGUAUUAGGCACCUCCGCGUUCAAGACACGUACGGCUUGGUGACGCCUUCACCUCCUCGAUCCAGCGAGCAAGGAUGAAGAAGUAGCUCAAGUUCCCGGCAGCACGGUGGCGUGGUGUCUGUGAUGGUGGAGUGAUGCGCUUGAAGCUACAUCGGUAUUUCCCCAAAGAGGAAGGGAUGAUGCAGCACAGCGGCGGUAGGUAUUUCCCUCAGUUAUGAGACCAAGCUUAUCGAACCAAUAGGAUAACCAAGCAACACAACGUAAACAACACUUGCACACAAUUAACAAAUACUCGCAACCCGACGUGUAAAAGGGGUUGUCAAUUCCUUUCGGGUACGGCGCCUGACGAUAGGCAAAAUGGACGUGAGAGAGUUGUAAUAUUGAUAGAUCGAUCACCAAAUAAAAUAAAUUGCAGCAAGGUAUUUUUGUAUUUUUGGUUUAAUAGAUCUGAAUAAAAAGAGCAAAUAAAAUAGAUUGCAAAGGCAAAUAAUAUGAGAAAGAGACCCGGGGGCCGUAGGUUUCACUAGUGGCUUCUCUCGAGAAAAUAGCAAACGGUGGGAAAACAAUUAUUGUUGGGCAAUUGAUAGAACUUCAAAUAAUCAUGAUGAUAUCUAGGCAAUGAACAUUAUAUAUGCACCACGUCCAAGAUUAGUAGGUCGACUCCUGCCUGCAUCUACUACUAUUACUCCACACAUCGACUGCUAUCCAGCACGCAUCUAGUGUAUUAAGUUCAUGAAAAAACGGAGUAAUGCAAUAAGAAUGAUGACAUGAUGUAGACAAGAUCUAUCUAUGUAGAGAUAGACCCCAUCGUUUUAUCCUUAGUAGCAAUGAUACAUACGUGUCGGUUGCCCUUCUGUCACUGCGAUCAAGCACCGUAAGAUCGAACCCACUACAAAGCACCUCUUCCCAUUGCAAGACAAAUAGAUCAAGUUGGCCAAACAAAACCCAAAUAUCUAAGAAUAAAUAUGAGGCUAUAAGCAAUCAUGCAUAUAAGAGAUCAAAGAAACUCAAAUACCUUUCAUGGAUAUAAAAAGAUAGAUCGGAUCAUAAACUCAAAGUUCAUCGGAUCCCAACAAACACACUGCAAAAGAGUUACAUCAUAUGGAUCUCCAAGAGACCACUGUAUUGAGAAUCGAAGGACAGAGAGGAAGCCAUCUAGCUACUAACUACGGACCCGAAGGUCUACAAAGAACUACUCACGCAUCAUCGGAGAGGCACCAAUGGAAGUGGUGAACCCCUCCGUGACAGUGUCUAGAUUGGAUCUGGUGUUUUCUGGACUCUGUGGCAGCUGGAAUUGAUUUUCGUUGACUCCCCUAGGGUUUCUGGAAUAUUGCGGUAUUUAUAGAGCAAAGAGGCGGUCCGGGGGCACCCGAGGUGGGCACAACCCACCAGGGCACACCUAGGCCUCCUGGCGCGCCCUGGUGGGUUGUGCUCCCUCGGAGCACCCCAAGGCGCUGCCUUGACCCAUUUGGUGUCUUCUGGUCCAUAAAAAACCUACGUAAAGUUUUGUUGCAUUUGUCCAUUUGGUAUUGAUUUCCUGCAAUGUAGAAAACAUGCAGAAAACAGCAACUGGCACUUGGCACUAUGUCAAUAGGUUAGUACCAAAAAAUGAUAUAAAAUGACUAUAAAAUGAUUAUAAAACAUCCAAGAUUGAUAAUAUAACAGCAUGGAACAAUCAAAAAUUAUAGAUACGUUGGAGACGUAUCAGCAUCCCCAAGCUUAACUCCUACUCGUCCUCGAGUAGGUAAGUGAUAAAAAUAGAAUUUUUUAUGUGGAAUGCUGCCUAACAUGUCAUACAUAUUAUUUCUUUAUAGCAUGGACAUUUGGACUUUUAUAUGGUUCAAAUAAAUAGUCUAGUUUUGAAAAGAUAACUUCAAUACUCAAGCACAUCAACAAGCAACCAUGUCUUUCAAAAUAUCAAUGCUAAAUUAAGUUAUCCCUAGCCCAUCAUGCUCAAUCAUUGAUCCAAAACACACUCAAAUAUUAGCUACACCCAAUACUCACUCACGAUCACAGUGCCCCUUAGUUGGUGCUUUAUAAGAGAAGAUGCCCUUAGUUGGUGCUUUAUAAGAGAAGAUGGAGACUCAAAUUCAAAAAUAAAAAUUGCAUAAAGUAAAAUAAAGGUCCUUCGCAGAGGGAAGUAUGGAUUUGUAGAGGUGCCAGAGCUUAAAGCGAAAAACUUAGAGAUAAAAACAUUUUGGGAGGUGUGCCUUUCCCACCAACGAAAAUGACUUAGAGCUCCCAACACAUUCCAUGCUAGAUACAUCAUAGGCGGUUCCCAAACAGAAAAUAAAAUUUAUUCCUUUUUCCACCAUACUUUCACUUUCCAUGGCUAACCGUAUCCACGGGUGCCCUCCAUACCAGCACUUUCCAAGGAAUUUAUUAUUUGACAACAUAAAGUAAAUUCAUUUUUCAUUUCGGGACUAGGCAUCCCUAAUACCUUUGUCGUACUCUCGUGCAAUGACAAGUGAAUAAACACUCAUCGUGAGAAUAACACAUCUAGCAUGGAAAAUAUCGGCCACCCCUCACCGCUCCGCGAGCGGUACGAACACACAAAAGAGAAGUUUAUUUUGAAAAUUAGAGAUGGCACAUACAAAUUUGCUUAGAACGACACGGAAAUACCGCAUAUAGGUAGGUAUAGUGGACUCAUGUGGCAAAACUGGUUUAAAGGUUUUUGGAUGCACAAGUAAAGAUCAUACUUAGUGCAAAAUGAAGGCUAGCAAAAGAUUGAGAAGCGACCAACCAAGAAACGAAUAAUCUUGUAAGCAAGCAUUAAGCAUAAGUAACACCGAAUAAUGCAGCACAAGUAGGAUAUAAUUUCAUUGCAUAAUUAUUGACUUUCGUUCUUGCAUAGGGAAUCACAAACCUUAACACCAACAUUCUUACUAAAGCAUAAUUACUCAUCAACAUGACUCACAUAUCACAUCAUCAUAUCUCAAAACUAUUACAAGGAAUCAAGUUUAUUUUGUCCAAUGAUCUUCAUGAAAGUUUUAUUAUAUCUUUCUUGGAUAUCUAUCACUUUGGAACUAAUUUUCAUGUGUUGCUUUUGAUAAGCUCAAACAAAUAUAAGUGAAGAUCAUGAGCAUAAUUUUUCUUUCUCUCAAAAUAAUCUAAGUGAAGCAAGAGAGAAUUUCUUGAAAAUUUUACUAACUCUCAAAUAAAUCUAAGUGAAGAAAGAGAGCAUUUCUUCAAAAAUUAUAAAGCACACCGUGCUAAAAAAGAUAUAAGUGAAGUACUAGAGCAAAUCCAUAGCUCAUAAAAAUUUAAGCGAAGCAUAUAGAGCAAUUCUAACAAGUCAUGGCAUAAUUUUGGCUCUCUCUCUCAAAUAGGUGUGUCUAGUAAGGAUUCAAGACUUAAAACACACAAUAAAACAAGCAAAGACUCACAUCAUACAAGACGCUCCAAGCAAAAAUCAUAGUAUGUGACGAAUAAAAAUAUAGCUUCGAGUAAAAUACCGAUAGUCGUUAGAAGAAAGACGGGAUGCCACUCGGGGCAUCCCCAAGAUUAGUUGCUUGCUCUCUUUUGUACAAUAUCUUGGGAUGCCGGGACAUCGCCAAGCUUAGGCUCUUCUUACUCCUUAUUCCUUCAUCCAUCGUAAGAUAACCCAAAACUUGAAAACUUCGAUCACAUAAAACUCAACAAAACCUUCAUGAGAUCCAUUAGUAUAAGAAAGCAAAUCACUACUAUAAGUGAUGUAUCAAACCAAUUAAUAUUUUAUUCUUGCAUUAUAUCUAUUGUAUUCCAACUUUUCUAUGGCAAAAACUCAUCAAAGAAAACCAUAGAGCCAUCAAAACAAGCACACAACGCAAAGAAAACAGAAUCUGUCAAAAAACAGAACCGUUUGUAGCAAUCUGAAUAUUUCGAAUACUUCUAUAACUCCAAAAAUUCUAAAAAGUUAGGACGACCUGAGAAAUUUGUAUAUUAAUAUUCUUCAAAUAGAAUCAACUCAAAAGCACUCUUCUGAUAAAAAUGAAAAAAUAAUUUCGUGAGCGCAAAAGUUUCUGUUUUUCAGCAAGAUCAAAUCUACUAUCACCCAACGUAAUCCUAAAGGCUUUACUUGGCACAAACACUAAUUGAAACACAAUCAUAACAGUAGCAUAAUUGUGCUAACACUCAAGAACAGAAAGAAAAAAGCAAAAGUAAAUUUUAUUCAUUGGGUUGCCUCCCAACAAGCGCUAUUGUUUCACGCCCCUAGCUAGGCAUAAAGCAAGGAUCUAAGUUUUGUCAUCUUUGGUUCGAGAUCCAUAAGAUGCCAUCAUGAUUGAUUCAUAUGGAGGCCUAAUUUUUAUCUAGGGAAGUGUUCCAUACCCUUCCUUAAUGGAAAUUGGAAUUUAAUAUUGCCUUCUUUCAUAUCAAUCACGGCACCAAUAGUGCGUGCAAAUCUCCAUUCUUAGCUUUGCCACCGUGCAAAUCUCAAACACCCUCCCCCACAAGGGGCGGGAUAGAGAUGCCUAUAACCCUUGUACAUGAGAUGUAACUGUGUACCAUACCAUAUAUGAAAAAACAGUAGGAGCCUCUCCUACUGUCUAAUUCCUCAAAAAAAUAGUGCGUAAAAACGGUCUACCAAGAAUAAUUGGACAAGACGGAUUACAAUCAAUAUCAAGAACAAUAAAAUCUAUGGGCACAUAAUUCCUAUUUGAAAGAAUAAGAACAUCAUUAAUUCUUCCCAUAGGCUUUUUAAUAGUGGAAUCCGCCAAGUGCAAAUUUAAAGAGCAUUCUUCAAUAUCGGUAAGACCAAGCACAUCACAUAAAGAUUUCGGAAUUGUAGAAACACUAGCACCCAAGUCACAUAAAGCAAAACACUCAUAAUUUUUAAUCUUGACUUUGAUAGUAGGUUCCCACUCAUCAUGUAAUUUUCUAGGAAUUGAAACUUCUAAUUCCAACUUUCUGCAAAAGCUUUCAUCAUAGCAUCAACAAUAUGUUUAGUAAAAGCUUUAUUUUGUUCAUAAGCAUGGGGUGAAUUUAUCAUGGAUUGUAACAAAGAAAUACAAUCAAUCAAAGAGCAACUAUCAUAAUUAAAGUCUUUGUAAUCCAAAAUAGUGGGCACAUCACUAUUUAAAGUCUUGACCUCUUCAAACCCACUUUUAUCAAAAUUUUCGACAAGAUUUUCACCCUCCAAAUUAUAGGGACGCCUUCUAACUAAAGUUGAAUCUUCUCCAGUCCCUUUUUCAUCAAUCUUAAUUUUGCUAAACAAGGAAUCAAUAGAAGAAACACCAAUCAUUUUAAGAUCUUCAUCAUUUUUAUGAAAGCAAUCACUAGAAAACGCCUUUUCUAAAAAUUCUCUUCUAGCUCUAAGCAUAGAGGUUCUUUUCUUACUUUCAUCCAUAGAAAAAUGAAGAGCUUUAAUUGAUUCCUCAAAUUUAGGCACAAAAAAUUUCAUCUUGAGAUUUUCCACAUCAUGAGCAAUUCUAUCAACACUUCUAGACAAAUCAUCAAUCUUAUUCUAUUUUUCUUCUAUGGUAGCGUUGAAAACUUUUUGCGCAUUGAUAAAUUCUUUAAUAUUAUUCUCAAGAUCAGAGGUGUUCCUAUUAUUAUUGUAAGAUUGAUUUCCAUAGGAAUUACCAUAAUUAUUAGAGGAAUUACUAGGAAAAGGCCUAGGAUUAAAAUUACCUCUAUAAGCAUUGUUAUUGAAAUUUUUUCGAGAGAUAAAAUUCACAUAUAUGGCAUCACUAUUUUGCUCAAUCAAACUAGACAAAGGCAUAUCAUUGGAAUCAAUAGGAGCACUUUUACUAGCAACCAAUUUCACAAGAGCAUCAACUCUUUCACUCAAAGAAGAAAUUUCUUCAAUCGAAUUAAGUUUUUUACUAGUAGGAGCUCUUUCGGUAUGCCAUUGUGAAUAAUUUGCCAUGAUAUUGUCAAGCAAUUUGGUGGCUUCACCCAAAUUAAUUUCCAUAAAAGUACCACCCGCGGCGGAAUCUAAAAGAUUACAAGAAACAAAAUUCAACCCCGUGUCGGUGUACUAGAGUAGGGGUACCCUAGUAUCCCGAACUUGUGCACGGGCAGUUGCAGCGCCCCGCGGCAAGGCUUACCGGACGACCGCUAGGGUCCUCCGUGGGUUCCUUUGGAGCCAUUCAAGAACAAAGUAUUUAAGAUGAAGAGACAAGGCCCCGGCAAGAGGAGCUUGCCGGGAAGAGACAAGGCCCCGGCAAGAGGACUUGCCGGGAAGGCCAACCACGGCACCUCAAGAAACUUGCCGCGAUGCACCGCGCGUCCCGACAAGGUCCGGCGAGCAACAAGCUUUCGGACGCGACAAGACGACGACCCCGGCAAGGUACUUGCCGGGGCCAUCUGCCACUCCAUACCCGCACUCCAGCGCACCCGCCCGCGUGUCGCCAUGAGGCUUUCUCAGGGGCACGUGGCGGGAGCCUGUGCAGCCAGGGGUACACGGUGGCAAGCGGAGAUGAAGAGAAGGCCAUCAUGGCAAACGGUGGCGCUCCUAGCGGUUACUUUUUGCACUGUUUAGGCAACCCAGACCGACAUUCAGUGACCUUGUCCCCUGCCGUCAGAGGUAGGUAGGGCACACUGUAUCCACAGUAGCGGUAGCUACACCUACCGCAUUCUUUUCCAUUUUUACCCUUCUAGUCUACGUUGCCGCCUGUCGGUGACCCCUUGAGAGUAUAAAAGGAGGCCCAUGAGCAACGUAGAGGAGGGUUCGGUUCGAUUCGGUUCAGGUCCAGCUCAUCCGAAACACCAAGAACAUUCUCACGCUCGGUCUGGUAGCGUUCAUCGCUCCCGAGCAAGAACUCAAUACAAUCAGACAAGCAGCAGUAGGGUUUUAUGCAUCCGUGCGGCCCGAAGCUGGGUAAAACUGCUCGUGUGUACUGCCUCGAUCCGCUCUUCGUGCGACCUCCGCCCCCUUCCGAACCGAAAGGGGCCCGGUCCCCAUAGGUGUUCGUGGAUCAGCUUCCCCGACAUCUUUGGCGCGCCAGGUAGGGGGCGUCGAGAUUGUGUGAACCCGAUCCGGCGUGCACGCGAGCUAAAUCUUCAUCGUCUUCAUCGACAUGCCACCGAAGAAGAAAGAUUCAGAGGCAGCUGUUCCGUCUGCGUCGCUUUCAUCGCCUCCGGAGCAAACGGGUGGUGGAGUGGACGCCGGCGGAAGAACGGGCGUCGACGAGGGAGCUCCUAGUGCGGCCAAGUCCAAGGAAAAGGCGGCACAGACCUCGGCGUCCAUGCGCGUACCGCGCCCAUCUCAGGAAGCGCGGGACCAGCAGCGUCAUGGCGUUCGCAGCGCCAUACGUCCGCUGGGCCAAGAUCAAGCUGGUGGUUCUCGUGGCGUCCAAGACCAGCAUGCGCGUCAACAUGCUGGCUCGAGCGAAGUGCGGUCGCCUGGACGGGACACUGCUCAUUCUAACGUAGUUAGGAGUCCGAGCAUGUCCCGCUCCUCGCACCGUUCACCUCUGCCGCCCACCACUCCAGCAGAAGCCUUGGCGCGAGCUCAACUGCUCCUAGACUACCCUCCGACGGCGGACAAGACCGACGAGUGGAGGGCCACUAUCCAGAGCCUCAUCGGCUUCGCCAACGGCGACACUGCGCGGCAACCAAGCACCUCGCUGCCGCGGCAAGACUGCCGGACGAGAGCCGAUGGCAACAAGACCGGGGGAGGUGCGACUUCCAUGCACUCUCGACUACGAAGGCCAAAAUCGCCGACUCGUCGGGUCCACCCUGACAGCGGCUCCGCCGUGUCGUCGGACCCACGAGCUCGUCGCGACCAGCGCUAAGUUCUCCGCGAACGGCAACAAGAGGACGCUCGUACUCGCAUCGAGCGCCGAAGAGAAGCGCGACGUCAAUCCGACAAGCGCGCUGGGCCCUCUGUUGACAUGCAUGCGCCAGGGGAGCCAGGCGAUCUGCCGUACGCGGUAGGUUGUCCUGCGUUCACUCGUGAGCUGCGGCAAGUCUAGUGGCCCAGCACAAAAAACUUCAAGCCAGACGUACUGGAGAAGUACGACGGCAAGACGCAUCCGUCAAAAUUCCUCAGCAUCUACACCAUCGUGGUGCAGGCUGCCGGGGGACGGGAUGACAAGAUCCUCACCAACUACUUCCCGCUGGUGCUCAAGCCCAACGUCAGAUCCUGGCUCAUGCACUUGCCGGACAACUCAAUAUCCUCCUGGGCUGAUCUGUGCCAUCAGUUUGUUGGCGCCUUCACAGGCGGCCACAAGCCACAUGGCCAAGAAAGCGAUCUUCAUCUGCUCGCCCAGAAGGAAGGAGAGCCACUACGCAAGUACAUUCAGAGAUUCAGCCGUGUACAGCACAACAUCCUAGACGUCCACCCUGCCGCGAUCAUCAGCGCGUUCCAUCAGAAUGUGCAAAACCACAGGAUGAGGGAGGAGAUGGCGAUGUGUAAGAUCAGAGACGUCAGCGAGCUUUACACCCUGGCCGACAAGUGUGCGCGCGCUGAAGAGGGGAGGAGGCUCCCCGGAGAGAACACAGGAGCAGGAGGAUCCGACGGUGAGGAUGCCGCACCGGCAAGGAAAGGCCGGCGGCGGAACAACAGAAGGAAAAAGGGCAAGGAAGUGCUAGCUGUCGAGCAGACCGGCGACGGAGGUGGCGCCAAGGGAGCUAAAGCUAGUGGCUCCGACAAGGAGGCCCAGCCUGUGGCGGCCGCCGACAAGCAGGACAGCUCUAGCAAGCAGUAUUGUAAGAUCCACCGCACCAAGGGUCACGAUCUCCAAAACUGCAAGAAGGUUGAGCAGCUUGUUGAGCUGCAAAAAGCUGAGUACGAGCGACGCGACAAGGAAAAGGCCCAGGAAGGUGCUGGAGGAUCCGGCAAGAAACGCCCCGACCGGGGAGGAUGCCGCGGCAAGGCCAAGCAGCGGCAAGGAGACAGACCUCCCCGCGACCGCGACAAGGAUGAAGAUGACGACGACGACGAAGACAUGGAUGAUGACGAGGCCGACGAGCAAGAGUUUCAGAGAGCCACAGAGGUCUUGUGUGUUGAUGGUGGCGCCUCUCUGCAUACUUCGCACUGCCAACUCAAGUAGUGGAUGCGGGAAGUAGAUGCAGCAGAGCCAUCCAUAGAGUCACGAAAGCCCCUAAAAUGGUCCAGCACGCCUAUCAUCUUCGAUAUUGAGGACCACCCUGAUCGCGUAACUGCGGUCGGGUGCUUGCCGAUGUUGGUUUCUCCAACUAUCCGCAACCUCAAUGUCACAAAGAUGCUAGUUGACGGCGGGCCGGCUUGAACCUGAUAUCCUCCGCGGUCCUCCAGAAACUCCAAAUCCCUGACAGCGAGCUCGAAGAGACCAGCACAUUCCAAGGAAUUAGCCCGGGAAGGAGCAAGCCGAAGGGAAAGAUCACGCUGCCGGUCACAUUUGGCAGCGAGCUGAACUUCAGGACUGAGAGGGUCACGUUUGAUGUUGCCGACUUUCCAUUACCUUACAAUGGAAUCCUUGGCCGUCCAGCACUCGCCAAGUUCAUGGCAGCCUCUCACUAUGCAUACAACAUGCUCAAGAUGCCAGGCCCGAUAAGUGUCAUUUCUGUCCCUGGCGACAAGAAAGAUGCCCUUAUCUGCGCCGACAAGAUCUACCGGGAAGCAGCAGCCACAGCAAAACGCAGGACACUUGACGCUGAAGCUCCUGGGGGGAAGAAGAAGACCAAGUCCGGCAAGAGCUCUGAUGCCCACUCCGGCAAGCGCACCUCUCCGGAGUGCUGCGCUACCGUCGAGGACGCACCAUCGAACUCCACCGGCAAGUUUAAAAAGACGAUGGCAGCUCCACUAGAGACCAAGAAGGUGUCCGCCAAAGAGGACGGCACCGGUGGUACCUUCACCAUCAGUGCCACUCUCCACCCCAAAUAGGAAAGCGCGCUCAUCGCUUUCCUGCGAGCGAACGUCGACGUGUUUGCAUGGCAACCGUCUGACAUCCCCGGUGUUCCCAGGAAAGUGAUUGAGCACAACCUAGCCGUUUGUCCUCAUGCGCGGCCCGUCAAGCAGAAAGUCAGGAAGCAAGCAGUGGAGCGCCAAGAGUUUAUUGCAGAAGAAAUCAAGAAGCUCGAAGCUGCAGGCCUUGUCAGAGGAGUGCUCCAUCCCACGUGGUUGGCCAAUCCUGUGGUUGUGCGCAAGGCCAACGGGAAAUGGAGACUUUGUAUAGACUUCACUGAUGUUAAUAAAGCUUCUCCCAAAGAUCCAUUUCCCUUGCCGCGCAUUGACCAGAUUGUAGACUCCACAGCCGGAUGUGAUUUGCUUUCAUUUCUUGAUGCAUACUCAGGAUACCAUCAAAUCUUCAUGGCAGAAGAGGAUGAAGAGAAAACAGCAUUUAUCACCCCAUGUGGCACGUACUGUUUCGUAUGGAUGCCCUUCGGGUUGAAGAAUGUUGGAUCAACAUUUGCAAGGGUAGUCCAUGUCGCUUUUGAGCCCCAGAUACACAGAAAUGUGGAAGCCUACAUGGAUGAUAUAGUGGUCAAAAGCAAGGACAAGGCUACUUUGAUUCAAGAUCUAGAUGAAACUUUUGCAAAUCUAAGCAGGAUCAACCUCAAGCUUAAUCCCAAGAAGUGCGUGUUUGGAGUCCCUUCCGGCAAGCUUCUCGGGUUCUUUGUGUCACAGCGGGGGAUUGAAGCCAAUCCCGACAAGAUCAAAGCCAUCGAGUAGAUUGAAGCACCAAAGCGUGUCAAGGAUGUACGAAAGCUUGCCGGUUGCGUGGCUGCUCUCAGCAGGUUUAUCUCUAAGUCCGCAGAGUGCGCCUUGCCAUUUUUCAAAAUAUUGAAAAAGGCAGGUCCAAAUUCAUGGACUCCGGAAGCGGAGGCCGCGCUACAGGACUUGAAGAGGUACCUAUCCUCCACUCCAAUACUUGUCGCACCUAAGCCACAAGAAAAGUUGAUGCUAUAUCUAGCAGCAACCAAUCAAGUGGUUAGUGCUGCAUUAGUAGCAGAGAGGGAGGCGGACGAUGAGCCGGCAACCGCGGCAAGUGGAUCCAGCGACAAGCAGGGGGCUUCUCCGACAAGCUCUGGUCCCGACAAAGUUGGAUCUGCGCAGGCGUGCAAGGAGGUGCAGAAGAAAAUGGUGCAGCGCCCAGUUUACUUUGUGAGUACCCUUCUGCAGGGGGCUAGAUCAAGGUAUUCUGGCGUGCAGAAGUUGCUUUUUGGCCUUCUCAUGGCCUCGAGAAAGCUGCGCCAUUACUUCCAGGCGCAUGAGAUAACAGUUGUCACUCGCUUUCCAUUGAAGAGGAUAUUGCAGAAUCCAGAAGCAACAGGCAGGAUUGUCGAGUGGGCACUGGAACUGUCAAGCUUUGGCCUCAAGUUUGAGAGCACUUCAACUAUACAGAGCAGAGCAUUGGCAGAAUUCAUAGCGGAGUGGACGCCAACACCAGAUGAAGAAACUCCAGAAACGAGCAUCCCCGUCAAAGAGGCAAGCAAAGAAUGGUUGAUGUACUUUGAUGGUGCCUUCUCGCUGCAAGGCGCCGGUGCUGGUGUGCUGCUUAUCGCACCCACCGGAGAGCACCUCAAGUACGUAGUUCAGAUGCACUUUCCCAAGGAGCAAGCAACGAACAAUACCGCAGAGUAUGAAGGUUUGCUUGCCGGCCUCAGAAUCGCGGCAGACCUUGGGAUCAACAAGCUCAUUGUCAGGGGUGACUCGCAGUUGGUCGUCCGCCAAGUAAACAAAAGCUAUCAAAGUCCAUUGAUGGAAGCAUAUGUUGAUGAAGUGAGGAAGCUAGAAGCACACUUUGACGGCCUGCAAAUGGAGCACGUUCCACGAGCUCAGAACAAUAUUGCUGACGGUCUGUCAAAGUGCGCAGCACUAAAGUUACCUGUGGAACCAGGGAUUUUUGUGCUCAAGCUGACUCAACCAUCCGUAACACCGUCGACUGGACAGAGUAAGAAGAGAAAGUUGGUUUCCGGUGACUAUUUGCCGGCAGAGCUUCCCGAAGCCGCCGCCAAGAAGGUCCCCAAGAUCGACACCAAGAGUGCUGAGGAGCAGUCUGCUCCGGUGAACCUCUCGGUUUGUUCCGUUGAAGCAAACGCUCCCGACAAGUUUUGCUCCGGCAAGCUUGAUGGGGAACAUCACGCUCCGGCUGAACCGCAGGUUCUUGCCGUAGAAGCGGAUGUUCCCACAGCAACAGAUAUGCCUUUAGCCCUUGUUGUCGAGCCGCAAGCUCCAGCAUGGGCGCGGCAGAUUGUCCGUUUCCUUCAGACAGGAGAGCUUCCCGAAGAGCAAGAAGAAGCAGAAAGAGUAGCCCGGCAGUCAAGUAUGUACAAGUUUGUCGACAACACACUGUACAGAAUAAGACUCAAUGGUGUGAAAUUGAAGUGCCUUCACCGGGAAGAUGGACAACAACUGUUGGCAGAGAUACAUGGAGGCAUAUGUGGUCACCACAUUGGUGCAGGACCACUUGCCGGCAAAGCGUUCCGACAAGGUUUCUUCUGGCCGACAGUCCUCCAGGAUGCAACUACACAAGUAACCAAGUGUGAAGCGUGCCAGUUCCAUUCCAAACAGAUACACCAGCCAGCUCAAGCUCUCCAGACGAUCCCUUUAUCCUGGCCAUUUUUGGUCUGGGGGCUCGACAUCCUCGGCCCCUUUCCCUGAGCUGUCGGGGGCGUUGAGUUCUUGUACGUCGCCAUCGACAAGUUCACAAAGUGGCCGGAAGUGGAACCAGUGAGGAAGGUGACGGCAUAGUCAGCAGUCAAGUUCUUCAGGUCGAUUGUUUGCCGUUUCGGGAUCCCUAGCAGGAUCAUCACCGACAACGGCACGCAAUUUACGAGCCGCACCUUCAUGCAGUACGUCCAAGAUCUUCGCGCCAAGGUCUGCUUCGCUUCUGUUGCUCAUCCGAGAAGCAAAGGUCAAGCGGAGAGGGCAAAUGCUGAAGUGCUGCAAGGCCUCAAGACAAGAACUUUCGACAGGCUGCACAGGUGCGGAAGAAACUGGAUCCAGGAGCUGCCGGUGGUUCUUUGGUCGAUCAGGACGACGCCAAAUCGAGCCACCGGCCAGACACCUUUCGCUCUAGUCUACGGAGCAGAGGCAGUUCUCCCCACGGAACUCGUUUACGGGUCACCUCGAGUGCUCGCUUAUGAUGAGCUCGAGCAAGAGCAGCUGCGGCAAGAUGACGCGCUGCUCCUUGAGGAAGACCGUCUUCAGGCUGCUGUGCGAGCCGCUCGCUACCAGCAACCUUUGCGUCGCUACCAUAGCCGCAAAGUUAAAGCCAGGAGCUUCGAGGAAGGCGACCUUGUUCUUCGGCGUGUUCAGUCUGCCAAGAAUUCCAACAAGUUGACGCCGAAGUGGGAAGGCCCUUAUCGGGUGAAACGAGUCACUAGGCCUGGCGUUGUCCGCCUUGAGACCGAAGAUGGCAUUCCGGUGAGCAACUCCUGGAACAUUGAACAUCUUCGUAAGUUUUACCCAUAGGGCGCGGUUGCCGGAAGCUUUUCCGGCAACCACCUUUUGUACAAGUCUUGCCGCUGUUGCAUGUAAUCCUUUGUACAAAGCCGGGCGCAGACCCCGUGCACCAGUAAAGUUCAUGUGCCCCGCACAUCUUGUCAGUUUUUAUGCUAUAAUCCUUUUUUUCCAUAUGUUAUCUGACACUUUGUGCAGCACCAGACCCCGGUAAGUGAUAAUGAGCCUAAGGCUCCAUAUCAUUACUUUAUUUCUCUGUCUCUUUCUCAAAAGAAGGAAGGUUCCUUCGCCCACAAGGUUUACCGGGGGAGGAAGGAGAAGAUAAUGGUGUGGACCGGGCCGUUCAAGAGAGUUUCUCCUUGCCGGGAAGCAGACAACAGAAAACCUAAGUUGCUAAAGAUUGCGCAAUCAGUUUUUAAGAUUUUGGGCUAUUUUCCUUGAACGACCGUGCUUUGUAUGGGAAACCUAUGCGCGGAGGAACCAACUCGUAGCUAGUUGCGCCCUUACUUUGUUUCGAGUCCGCUCAACAACUUAAGUGAGCUGCGACUAGCUGCGACAAGGUUGCUUGUCGGUAGCGACCCCGCCAGCAGGCUGCUGAAGUUCCGCACUCGGCGCUCGCGGCAAGGGUGCCUGCUCCGGCAAGUUUCCCUGAAAAGCGUAGGGCAGAACCAUACAAAGCCAAGAGUCGAGUAAAGGAAGUAACACCACAAUAACGAGCCAUAAGGCUCCAUAUCAUUAUUUUAUUUCUCUGUCUCUUUCUCAAAAGAAGGAAGGUUCCCUCGCCCACAAGGUUUGCCGGGGGGAAGGAGAAGAUAAUGGUGUGGACCAGGCCGUUCAAGAGAGUUUCUCCUUGCCGGGAAGCAGACGACAGAAAAGCUAAGUUGCUAAAGCUUGAGCAAUCAGUUUUUAAGAUUUUGGGUUAUUUUCCUUGAACGACCGUGCUUUGUAUGGAAAACCUGUGCGCGGAGGAACCAACUCGUAGCUAGUUGCGCCCUUACUUUGUUUCGAGUCCGCUCAACAACUUAAGCGAGCUGCGACUAGUUGCGACAAGGUUGCUUGUCGGUAGCGACCCCGCCAGCAGGCUGCUGAAGUUCCGCACUCGGCGCUCGUGGCAAGGGUUCCUGCUCCAACAAGUUUCCCUAGAAAGCGUAGGGCAGAACCAUACAAAGCCAAGAGUCGAGUAAAGGAAGUAACACUGCAAAUUUUUACCUAAGAUAGAGUUAUAUUACAAAAAUAACUUGUCGCACCUCUAAUAAAGUGUUCCCAUGACAUGACUAGCAGUGGCAAGAAAAGAAGAACGGACGGCCUAAUCUACACGACCGCCGUCGACCCUUUUGACCUCGUUCACCCUGUCCACAAUGGGUGCGACGAGGGCCUUAAGUGCGUCAAGAUCAGCGUCCGCCGGCAGCCUCUUGAGGACGUUGGUGAGGUUGAGGCCCGGAUUGCGGAAGGCCACCUUCACCAGCAUCUUCUCCAGAACUUCGGCACAAAUCGAGCGCGACUCGUCGGCCAGCUGCUUUGGGAUCCGCUCCCGGAGUUGUUGAAGUGUCGUCGCCAUGCCUUUGAAGAAUAGAGUGAGCUUGGCGCUGGGUUGGAGGUUCUCGUCGGAGGAGUACCCGAAGCCUUCCACCCCCAAUUGCACCAGCUCCUCUUCGAUGACUGCAGCAAUGUUCACGAGGCCCUCCGUCCAGAGCUCCACAGUAUCUCUGAGAAGAUUCUGGGUUUCGGCGGCCCUCGCCAGCAGUGCCUCAUUGGCCUUGAUAUCCUUCUUCAAGUCCGCCUCCCGUUUCUUGGCGCCGUCCAACGUCUCCGUCAAGGUGGCCAGCUUCAGCUCCAGAUCAGCGUUGGAAUCCUUGGCAGCGCGCAGCUCUUUGCCCUUCUCGGAGAGUUGGCCCUGCAGCUCACCGUGGGCAAGGGCGUCCUUCUCGCGCUCCAGCUUGAGCGCGGCAAGCUCUUCGCCACCUACCUUCAGAUCAGCCUCCAGCUGCGCCACCUUUACCUCCAAUUCCUUCUUGGCAGUCUCGGCAGCCGCAGCCACAUCCUUUGCUUCUUGGAGCGUCUCGCCAAGUGCCAGUUCGCACGCGGCGAGCUCCUCCUCGUGGCUGUCGAGGUUCACUUUCCGCUGAGCCAGCUGGCCUUCUCGCGCGUACAGCUUCUCGCCGGUGAGCCGCUGCUGCUCUUCAGCUUCGGCCUUCUCGAGGAGGAAGGCCUUCCGCUCCUUAGCAAGCUGCUCCCGCUCCUCCGCCAAGGCCCGGAGAGCUUCCUGGCGAAGACCCCAGAUCUCCUCCGCGCGCUUCUCUAUAUCCACGCUCGCCUUCGCGACGAGCGCUUCCAGGGACUCCAACUUGACUUGCUGGGCGCGAUAGAGCGCCAGCAGCCUUCGCAGCAGCCGCUCCUCCUAGGGCUCGUCACUGCUGCUUCCCGGCGCGUCAACGAUCGACAACCCAGCGGAGGCGAGCCCAGGGGAGCUUGAUGAAGAUGCCCUCGCCAGCCUUCAGAUAGGCACCGGGCUGGGGCUCCUCGGAGCCUGGCGCUGCGGCAGGGGCGGAGGGAUCGGCGGUCGGUGCAGCGCCUGGCGCUCCUGCGGCCUCAGGGCCGUCAGUGCGAUCGCCAGAUCCCCCGCCAGCUUCUUCGGCGGCAGCCUUGGCGGCCUCUUCGCCGGCGGGCACAUCUGCACCGGCUCCUUCUGCGGUGGCCGCGGCAUCAUCAGUGUUGUCGCGCGCGUCUUCCUCGCCGCCCGCCUCGGUCUCCAUCGGAUCCGCGGAGGGUGGAUCUGACGACCGGAGAAGAAUGAGAAGUCAAACAAGCACUCAAGAAGAAAAAUCAGCAGAAGAAUACAAGGAAAGUUUCGGGCAAGAAGGACUACUUGUGCUGGGAUCCGCUGUCAUGAGCUCCACCACCGGCGAAUCGUUGGCGCUGUCCCUUGCCGGAGACUCCUCCCUUGCCGGAGGCUCCUCCCUUACCGGAGAACGCUUCCUUGCCGGGGAGUCCGCCCUUGGCGGUGUAGUCAAAGCAGACGACGAGUCGGAGGUGAUCACCACGCCCUCCUGAUGAAGCUGUUCUGCUCCUGCACAAACAAACCAGUGAUCAGAUGUCAACAAAGGAAAAGAGCAACCACGCACACCCAGAAGCAAAAAGUAAACCAUAUACUUACGCUGGGGGCUGCUCUGCGAAGUAAUGGUAGGAUCCGGCAAGGUGGUCUCGGGCGCGCCUCCUACCGUCGCAGUGGGCUCGUCCUUGAUGAUCACCACCUGAGCCUUGGCCCUCUUCGCCGCCCUCUGGGCCAGAGUCCUGAAAAGGGAGGGUCCAGGGUGGGUCAGAUCAGAUGCAAGACAAGAAUAGCAAGUUGAAGAACUACAAGAACAACAAGGGAAUCUUACUCUUCUUCCUCUUCCUCGUCGGAGCUGAGCGCGGAGAGGUCGAAGUUCGGCCCACCUCCGGCGCGACGAGGUGGAGGGGUGGGAUCCUUGGCCGCUUGGCGGGGACUGCGGCGCCAGCCCGAGAUGACCCCGCCCCAGUUGCCACUGCGGCGGGAGGCGCUCCCGCAGCAACCGUACUCGCCGCGGCAGAGCGCGUCUCACGGUGCUGCGGCUGUUGGCCCACUUGCCGCCCUGCUGCGUCCCCGAUCCUGCGGAGGCGCCUUCUUGGCUGCACUGGGGGCUGCGCUCCGGGCCCUGCUCCCGGCAAGCUCCCCGGAGAUGGCGGGCCGCUCGCACCCUCGGCGGGCUCGCUCAACUCGGCGUCGGGCGCGGCAAGCUCUUCUUCGUCUUCAGGCCACUCCCACUCGGCAAGACUCGUCACCGAUGCCGCGUCCGCUUCCUCCACCGUGAACCCAAAUUCACCCGCAGCUGCGGCUGCCGCCGCCUCUUCCGCCCUGGUGGCGAUGCGUUCCAUCUCUUGAUCGGUGGUGUCGCGGGUGAGGAGCUUCUUGUCAUCAGCAUUGACCGCUACUUCCACUAGGCUGUCGAAGAACUGCUGCACAAUGUCUCCGGCAGGCUCUUGCCAAGUUGGAGCGAUCCCGUGCGAAUCACACAACGGCAUCAUGGUGCAGAUGUGGUCGCAUGAGGAGUUGUUGCACAGAGGAACGACGCCUGCCGGCAACCUGAACCACUCGGGAUGCUGUGGGUCGUGCUUGAAUAUCUCCUUGAGUAUCCCGUCCAACUCUAUGACGGUGAAAUUGAAGUUGAGGCCUGGGCGCAACCUCAUGAUAUCUGCCGGGCCUCCAAAUUCCCAGGCGGGUCUCCCCCUCGCCUGCAGAGGGGUGAUGCGCCGGCGAAGGAAAUCUGCGCCGACAGCUCCUACAGUCAGCCCGGCAAGCCUGAGACGCAAGAUCCGGGUGGUGGCGAUCUUCAGCUUGUCGUCGUCCAUGGACAGAGCGCUCCAGUCAUUGCCACGCACUUCUGGGGCUUGGCGCAGGGCGGUGAACGGCUGUGGGCUCUCCUCUACAACCCAGCACCAAUCUGCUCUCCACUCGUCCCACUUGCUGUGGAGCUCCCCCUCCAGAUAAGUCUCCUUCUUGCCGGCCCGCGAGAUCCAGGCGAUCCCGCCGGCAAGAGGUUCCCCUCUCUCAACACGAGGCAUAAAGAAGUGGCGGAAGAGAGCUACGUUGGGGUGGACUCCGACAAAGUUUUCGCAUAGAUGGGCGAAAACUGGCAUGGUCAGAACGGCGUUGGGGGUGAAGUCAAGGAGGUGGAGUCCAUAGGUAUUCAUGACGUCGCAGAAGAAAUCAGAGAAUGGCGGGCAGAGCCCGCAGUAGAAGAACACGGCAAAGAAAGGGUACCCGCCAACUGGAGCUGCUUGCAAGGCGACGGCGGAGAGUACCUUCGUGCGCGGAUGCGCCCGUGUCUCCAUCGACCAGAAGAGAUAGUACCACUCCCUCAGCUCCUUCGCGGAGAGCUUGGGGGGGAAGUGGCCCGCUCCUUCCGCAGUGCCUCAAGCCGCUGCGCUUCGGUCGACUUCACAGCUUUCACGGCCGCAGCCUUCGUGGCCUUCCCCUUCCCGGGCUUUGGAGGCAUGGCGGAGGCGGUGGGGGAGAUCGACGGCGCUGGUGGUGGCGGCAGCGACGGGGGCGGAGCGCUGCUCUCUUUCAACUCUGCAAGCGGAGGAGGGCGACGGAGAUUUCUGAGAUUGCAGCAGCGAAGGGCGAAGGUGGGGGAAAUGCCCCUGUUUCCCCUGCUUAUAAGGAGGAGGGGGCGAAUGUUACGCUCAUUCCGAAUAAAGAACCACCCACGAUCUCUCCCACCCUGUUUUGGGCCUGGCCCAACAGCGCUCGGCACCGUGUGUGGCCCAGGCCCGGGGGCUCCUGUUGGUGUACUAGAGUAGGGGUACCCUAGUAUCCCGAACUUGUGCACGGGCAGUUGCAGCGCACCGCGGCAAGGCUUACCGGACGACCGCCAGGGUCCUCCGUGGGUUCCUUUGGAGCCAUUCAAGAACAAAGUAUUUAAGAUGAAGAGACAAGGCCCCGGCAAGAGGAGCUUGCCGGGAAGAGACAAGGCCCCGGCAAGAGGAGCUUGCCGGGAAGGCCAACCACGGCACCUCAAGAAACUUGCCGCGACGCACCGCGCGUCCCGACAAGGUCCGGCGAGCGACAAGCUUUCGGACGCGACAAGACGACGACCCCGGCAAGGUACUUGCCGGGGCCAGCUGCCACUCCAUACCCGCGCUCCAGCGCACCCGCCCGCGUGUCGCCAUGAGGCUUUCUCAGGGGCAUGUGGCGGGAGCCUGUGCAGCCAGGGGUACACGGUGGCAAGCGAAGAUGAAGAGAAGGCCAUCGUGGCAAACGGUGGCGCUCCUAGCGGUUACUUUUUGCACUGUUUAGGCAACCCAGACGGACAUUCAAUGACCUUGUCCCCUGCCGUCAGAGGUAGGUAGGGCACACUGUAUCCACAGUAGCGGUAGCUACACCUACCGCAUUCUUUUCCAUUUUUACCCUUCUAGUCUACGUUGCCGCCUGUCGGUGACCCCUUGAGAGUAUAAAAGGAGGCCCAUGAGCAACGUAGAGGAGGGUUCGGUUCGAUUCGGUUCAGGUCCAGCUCAUCCGAAACACCAAGAACAUUCUCACGCUCGGUCUGGUAGCGUUCAUCGCUCCCGACAAGAACUCAAUACAAUCAGACAAGCAGCAGUAGGGUUUUACGCAUCCGUGCGGCCCGAAGCUGGGUAAAACUGCUCGUGUGUACUACCUCGAUCCGCUCUUCAUGCGACCUCCGCCCCCUUCCGAACCGAAAGGGGCCCGGUCCCCAUAGGUGUUCGUGGAUCAGCUUCCCCGACACCCCGCGUAAAAAAAUUGUAUGACCAUCCAAAGAUUUAACCCAUGAGUUGGGCAAUUCCUUAGCAUCAUUUUCACCCUGUCCCAAGAUUGUGCAACAUGCUCAUGUUCAAGUUACUCGAAAUUCAUGAUCUGGGUUCUAAGGGAUAUAAUUGUUGUGGGCGGAAAAUACUUAGUGAUAAAAGUAUCUUUGCACUUAUUCGAAAAAUCGAUACUAUUGCGAGGCAAAGAAGAAAACUAAGUUUUUGCAUAAUCAUGCAAAGAGAAUGGAAAUAAUUUCAUCUUAACCACAUCACUGUCCACAUAUUUUUUCUUUUGCAUAUCGCAUAAUUCCAUGAAGGUAUUAAGAUGAGACGUGGCAUCCUCAUUAGGAGUACCGGAAAAUUGAUCUUUCAUGACAAGAUUCAGCAAAGCAGUAUUAAUAUCACAAGAUUCCGCACUAGUGGCGGGAGGAGCAAGCGGAGUGCCAAUAAAAUCAUUGUUCUUGGUAUUUGAGAAAUCACACAACUUGGUGUUCUCUUAAGUCAUUGUGACUACGCAACAAGAUUGCACUCAAAAACAGAUCCGGUAAGAAAACGGCGAACGAAAAAGAGGGCGGAUAAAACGGCAAUUUUUUGUGAAGUGGGGGAGAUAAACGAGAGGCAAAUGGCAAAUAAUGUAAAUUGCGAGGAGAUGAGAUUUGUGAUUAGGAACAUGGUUUAUGUUGAAGAUCCUCCCCGGCAACGGCGCCAGAAAUUCCUUUUGAUGUGCUUGAAGCUACGUCGGUAUUUCCCCAAAGAGGAAGGGAUGAUGCAGCACAACGGGGGUAGGUAUUUCCCUCAGUUAUGAGACCAAGGUUAUCGAACCAGUAGGAGAACCAAGCAACACAACGUAAACCUCAACUACACACAAAUAACAAAUACUCGCAACCUGACGUGUAAAAGGGGUUAUCAAUCUCUUUCGGGUACGACGCCUGAAGAUAGGCAAAACGGACGUGAGAGAGUUGUAAUAUUGAUAGAUCGAACGCCAAAUAAAAUAAAUUGCAGCAAGGUAUUUUUGUAUUUUUGGUUUAAUAGAUCUGAAUAAAAAGAGCAAAUAAAAUAGAUUGCAAAGGCAAAUAAUGUGAGAAAGAGACCCGGGGGCCGUAGGUUUCACUAGUGGCUUCUCUCGAGAAAAUAGCAAACAGUGGGAAAACAAUUACUGUUGGGCAAUUGAUAGAACUUCGAAUAAUCAUGACGAUAUCCACCCAAUGAUCAUUAUAUAGGCAUCACUUCCAAGAUUAGUAGACUGACUCCUGCCUGCAUCUACUACUAUUACUCUACACAUCGACCGCUAUCCAGCAUGCAUCUAGUGUAUUAAGUUCAGGGAAAACGGAGUAAUGCAAUAGGAACGAUGACAUGAUGUAGACAAGAUCUAUCUAUGUAGAGAUAGACCCCAUCGUUUUAUCCUUAGUAGCAACGAUACAUACGUGUCGGUUCCCCUUUUGUCACUACGAUCAAGCACCGUAAGAUCGAACCCACUACAAAGCACCUCCUCCCAUUGCAAGACAAAUAGAUCAAGUUGGGCAAACAAAAACCAAAUAUCGAAGAAGAAAUAUGAGGCUAUAAGCAAUCAUGCAUAUAAGAGAUCAAAGAAACUCAAAUAACUUUCAUGGAUAUAAAAAGAUAGAUCUGAUCAUAAACUCAAAGUUCAUCGGAUCGCAACAAACACACCGCAAAAAGAGUUACUUCAUAUCGAUCUCCAAGAGACCAUCGUAUUGAGAAUCAAACAAGAGAGAGGAAGCCAUCUAGCUACUAACUAUGGACCUGAAGGUCUACAAACAACUACUCACGCAUCAUCAAAGAGCACCAAUGGAAGUGGUGAACCCCUCUGUGAUGGUGUCUAGAUUGGAUCUGGUGUUUUCUGGACUCCGCGGCGGCUAGAAUUGAUUUUCGUCGACUCCCCUAGGGUUUAUGGAAUAUUGGGGUAUUUAUAGAGCAAAGAGGCGGUCCGGGGGGCACCCGAGGUGGGCACAACCCACCAGGGCGCGCCUGGGCCUCCUGGGUGUCUUCUGGUCCAUAUAAAAUCACCGUAAACUUUCGUGGCAUUUGGACUCCGUUUGGUAUUGAUUUCCUGCGAUGUAAAAAACAUGCAGAAAACAGCAACUGGCACUUGGCACUAUGUCAAUAGGUUAGUACCAAAAAAUGAUAUAAAAUGACUAUAAAAUAAUUAUAAAACAUCCAAGAUUAAUAAUAUAACAGCAUGGAACAAUCACAAAUUAUAGAUACAUUGUAGACGUAUCAUGGAGCAAUCUCAGCAGGGCUUUGCCAAGCACUGACUGAACGUGGAGGAGUAACGGGAGGGAGACGGGGCAAGCAUGGAAGGGUUGCUGCACCCAACGCCUCCCCACCUUUAUAUAGGCGUGGAGGGGGCUAGUGGCUUGCCCUCCAAGGCCCUAGGGUCGUUGGCCAAAGGGGAGGAAGGAAGUCCCUCCUUUCCUUCCCCACCGAUCGCUAUCCCACCUUUUUAGGGAUCCUGAUCUUAUGCCUUUGGGAUAUGAUACUAUUCCUUUUAAGGGAGGAUCUUCGUGCGCCUAGACUAGGGUUGUGGGGACUUUCCCAACUACCCACGCUCAUGUGGGUCCCCAUGCGGGUGGGCCCUACUCUGGAACCUUCUAGAACCUUCUCGGUACAAUUCCAAACAAACUCAAACUUUUUUCGGAAUCCCAAUAACAACUUUCUAUAUAUGAAUCUUUACCUCUGGACCAUUCCAGAGCUCCUCGUGAUGUACGGGAUCUCAUCCGGGACUUUGAACAACCUUCUGUCACCAACACAACAACUCAACUAUACUUUGAUCGUCACCAAACGUGAAGUGUGUAGACCCUGCGGGUUCGAGAACUAUGCAGACAUGACUGAGACACCUCUACGUUUAAUAACCAAUAGCGGGACCUGAUUGCCCAUAUUGGCUCCUGCAUAUUCUAGGAAGAUCUUUAUCGGUCGAACCAUGAUGUGAAGGAUUCAGCUAAUCCUGUAUGCAGUUCCCUUUAUCCAUCGGUAUGUUACUUGCCCGAGAUUCGAUCGUCGAUAUCUCCAUACCUAGUUCAAUCUCAUUGCCGGCAAGUCUCUUUACUUGGUCCGUAAUACAAGAUCCUGUGACUAGUCACAUUGCUUGCAAGCCUUUUGUGAUGUUGUAUUACCGAGUGGGCCCUGAGAUACCUCUCCGUCACACGGAGUGACAAAUCCCAGUCUUGAUCCAUGACAACUCAAAAGACACCCUCGGAGAUACUUGUAGACCAUCUUUAUAGUCACCCACUUAUGUUGCGACAUUGAUACACACAAGGUACUCCUCCGACGUUAGUGAGUUGCAUGAUCUCAUGGUCAUAGGAACAGAUACUUGACAUGCAGAAAGCGAUACCGAUAAACUUGAUACGAUCAUAUGCUACGCUUAUGGUUUGAUCUUGUCCAUCACAUCAUUCUCCUAAUGAUGUGACUCCGUUAUCAAAUGACAACUCAUGUCUAUGGCUAGGAAACCAUAGCCAUCUUUGAUCAGCGAGCUAGUCCGGUAGAGGCUCACUAGGGACAUGUUGUUGUCUAUGUAUCCACACAUGUAUUUGAGUUUCUAAUCAAUACAAUUACAGCAUGGAUAAUAAACGAUUAUCAUGAACAAGGAAAUAUAAUAAUAGCCACUUUUUUAUUGCCUCUAGGGCAUAUUUCCAACACUUCCAUGUCCAUGUCUCCCCCUCUACUUCCUCUACGCCUACCUACCUCCUAUACUUCCUCCUUCCAUACUUCUUCUCCUCCCACCGCAUAUCCCGGCGAGUCGUUGUUCCAAAGAAGCCAGCUACCCCACUCGCAAGUGUGUGGGUCGUGUACUCCAUCGCCACACUCUUCCACUGAAUGACCCAUCAAACCACAGAAAUAGCAAAACUCUGGCAGCUUGUCAUAAUGAACAGGAUAAUUCUUGCGUUCUUUCAAAGUGAUUGUAACAAAUUAGACCAGAGGUUUAUUAACAUCCACAUAAACUCUUACCCUCAGAGUGCUCGUCGGGUUGAUUUUGCCUUCAUUAACAAUGACCGUGAACGGUGGUUCCCCAUCUUGGCUGCAACCUUCUCGGCUAGUUCCUUCUUAGCUGUUAAACCGUCCAGCAUACCUUUGAACCAUGCCCAAAGUGGUAGCUUGUUUAGCUUAUACUUAGCUACAUCAGUAAAACCAUCAUACUCUUGGAUAGUGACAUGAGAAGAAUUACGAAAAUCCAUGGACCACCUUCCAUGAUCCUCUUCCAAUCACCCAGGUAAUGGCACUGUACCAAGAAUAGAUUUGGGCCCUUCACAUUGAACGUUACACCCUGUGCUGAUGCCCAUGUGUUCCUCAUCUGCCUCAAGAGGGCAUCAUGACUGAAGGCCUUCAUUGUAUGAACACGGAAAAGCCCUAACCAACGGACUCCUUUGAUCAGCUCAUCCACUUCCUCGGACAGGUCCAGAUCAUCCCCCUCCUCCCCAUGCAGAUCUAUCCCCAUGAAUUGAUCUUCCAGAUCCACUUCUAGUCCGUAUGAAUCCCAGAACCCCCCUCUCCCAGGUCAACAUCCCUCUCUUCAGAGCCCCUUCUCCCAUCUCCUCCAUUGCACCAGCCGCACCGACCUCCGCCGACCUGCUGCCCUCCCCCUUCCCCGUCUCCCCAUCUUUCUCUUCUCCCGCUACUGCCUCCUUCUCCUUCCUAAUCUCCCCCUCUCAACUAUUUUCUUGUGGUAAGUCAGCCAUGCAAACUGAGAUCCGCAGGCCUGAAGAUAUUGUGAUUCCGACCAGCGGAGAAAUCCGACCGCCGUGAAGUAAUUUCGUGGACUCCGGUCGUAGCCGCCAGAGGGUAGGUGGAACCCUAGAUCGCCUAGGGGUUUCUCAAGAAAUGAAAAUAUGUACUCCUUCCGUUCCUAAAUAUAAGUCUUUUUGAGAGAUUUCACUACAAACUACAUACGGAUGUAUAUAGACAUAUUAUUGAGUGUAGAUUCACUCAUUUUGCUACGUAUGUAGUCCAUAGUGGAAUGUCUAAAAAGACCUAUAUUUAGGAACAAAGGGAGUAUUUCCAAAUGUUUUUUUGGUUACAGGCGGGAUUAUCUUUUGUACAACUUAGAAUUUUUUUUUCAGAAAAAUCAAUUCAUGGAUUCAUAGUGAAUGCGUACAAGUUUCCACAAAAUUAGUUUUGAAUUUGUUUGAAACUUUAAAAUAAGUUUUUUUUAUUUUUUUUAGAAAAAGAGGCACCAAGAUGCCCGAGCACUACAACUUCACGUCCUGGGCUCAGAGCCCAAAGCGGCAAGGACUGUGGGCCGACGUGUGCUGAGAAAGCAACAAGGAUUUGGUGGGAAAGACUGGGCCAGGGUCCAGGAUGCCAAUUGUGGGACGCGUCGGAUUCCAACGCCGGCUUUAUAUACAAGGUCUCCCUAGGUUCCCCGAUCGAUCGAUCCAGAUCUAGAAGAGGGAAACCACAGGAGAGAAGAAGAAUCAAGCCAGGCGAGCAGAGGAGAGGGAAGCCAUGGAUGUGCGCGAGGGGACGCGGAGGAUGAGGGGUGCUUCCAUCCCUGCUCCGCUCAAGGGGGAUGGCGAGAGCCUGCUGCUGAUGUAUCUGCCUCAGCCGGCGCCGGCAUCGGCGUCGGCGGCGAUGAUGCCCACGCCGCCGCCCUCGUUGGAGGACUUUGAAGCUUUAGGAGAAGAUGGCAAGCCGUUGUGGCCGUCCAAGGAAUUCCUCCGGCAGAUGUUGGUGGCCAUCGCCCCGACCGGAUCGAUUCUGCCCACUGUCUAAUUAAUUACUACGAGUAGCUUUCUUUCCACUCGAUCGUACUACGAGUAGCUUUCUUUCUACUCGAUCGUCUGCCCAUAUGUAAUAAAUUGUGACCAUCGAUGAGGGCGACUACUUUAUUUGUAUGCACUGUCUUGUUUUAAUCGAUGAUGGACUGCCUACUGUCUAAUAAAUUGUCGUUUGUUUUGCAAAGCAAAUGUAACGCGUUAGUAUGAUCCUAAUUCCUUGCUUGUUCCUCUGCAUAUUGAUUGCUCUUGGUGCAGAUGAACGUUUCACCUACAGCUGCUGGGAACUUGAUUAUAACCGGC
rnacentral:lncRNA from 1 species